rnacentral:lncRNA from 1 species
CUUUUUGCAACAACAACCCCAACAGUCGGUCCAAGGUGUCUCCCAACCCCAACAACAAUUGCAGCAGGAGCAAGUCGGACAAUGUUCUUUCCAACAACCUCAACCACAACAACUUGGUCAACCACAACAGGUACCACAGAGUGUUUUCUUGCAGCCACACCAGAUAGCUCAGCUUGAGGCGACGACUUCCAUUGCGCUACGUACCCUACCAACGAUGUGCAAUGUUAAUGUGCCGUUAUUCGACAUCAUGCCAUUCGGCGUUGGCACCGGAGUUGGCGUCUAAUGAUAAGAAAAGGUCUCGAGAAAUAUAUAGUUGCAUCAGCGUUGUUUAAUCGAUGUAUAUGUCGAUGUAGCGGUGACAAAUAAAGUGUCACACAACCUUAUGUGUGACCGGCCCAAACUUGUUGUUUAAAUUCUGGAAUAAAUAUAAAUAAAGCUUUAUCUAGACAAUAUUCAUAUUGACGUUGUCUGGACGUCGACUUGAGUGCCACACUUGCAAGUUCAUAUGGUCGUCUUGCCUGGUGAGAACUUCAACGUGGUGCAUUAAUUAAUUAUUCAUGCAUUGCAACCUGGUGAUUGUAAAAUUUUGGUUUUAGUGAAGCAUGGACUUACAUAUAUAAAACUCUUUAGUGGUUGGAAAUUUGGGAUGUUAUUUUUUUUAUUGGUUUGUAUCGAGGUCCAAGGGUACAUGCCAUUGUCUACAAAAACAAGCAUGCCUAUUUUUCGAGAAAAAGGACAUAUUUUCCUUUAACUUAAGAUCAGUUAUUUAUCAACAUACACAAGUGGAUGUUGUACACAACACGCCCAAAGGAAUAGCAGCAAACAAAACCCAUAUCAUAUGGGGUUGACCUGAGAUCUGAUUUGGGCAUGCGGCUUGACUCGACGGCAAACAAUCACCCAACAAUUCUCGAUCGAGAGCAACUACAACACAGUCACAAUUCACAAGCUAGUGUUCCCCUAGCACUCUACCAUAGCAAAGCAGCCAUUUGGGAUGAUGCAUAUUUAUCAUCCAACAACCUUCCCCAGGGCUCCAAACAACAGACUGCAGACAGUUUUAUCAACAACAUUCGACAUGCCAGCAAAAUCUCCCCAGUAACCAACACUUCAUUCAAAUGUACCAUCAGUGUUCAUUCAAACAGAUACCUGAUAGAUGCUGAAGGAGAUGACUUGAUUCACAUUACAUAUGUCUGAAUCUGAACAAGAUAGAAAUCAAAGUUCAUGACGACUACCUGAAAAGUUUGUCAACAAGUUGAAGCCGUAUUAAUUCCUCCCAGGCCUGCCAAACUGAAUGACUACCUGAAAAGACAGACACACUUUGCAUCUACAUCGACUCUCUGCUCGAAAUGGUGUUCUUUUGCUUCAGAAUCUCCCCUCAAGUUCCUGAGAUCCAUCCACGGAUGUCGUUCACAUUGUUCGCCAUGGCCUCUGAUGAUAAAUAGCCUCUUGAGGACCCUCUCGCACCUGUAAGGAAUCAUCAUCGUUUUGCAAGAAAUAUAUGUAGCGUGCUCACAAACUCUGAAAAAGAACACGGUUCCAUUGCUAAAACAGCUCAUGAAAGACAUCACCAUUGAAAUCAAAUAUAUAAUCGCACAUCAAAACACUACCAGAAAACUCAUAGCAUGUUCCUUCAAACAGGCCUCCAAACUACUGAGUGCAGAAUUUUCCUCAACAACUUAUAACUUUAUUAGUUCCUACUGUGAAAGCUGGAGGUCUUCUCAACUAAGUAACGACGCGAAAACCAGAUACAUAGAUAGCUGCAAGAACUGGCAAAACCUGGUUGAAUGCUUGAGAAAGUUGGAACAUAAAAUUUGGAAGAACUGGCAAAACCUGUAGGUGUUUGCACAAUAGCUCUUCGAUCAUAUGACCGCCCAUGCUAGAACCUAGAACCUUGAUCGGAUUUCCUGCAUGUGCUAAUGGUUAGGAAAAUGCCACAGAUGACUCCUGCUAUCACUACAAGAAAUAUGGUCAACAAUGACUCUCCUUUUUGGUCAUUGAAUCGUCAUUAUUUUCAAUUUAUGACCUUCUUAUGACCAAAAUGAGGAGGUCAACAGUUGGCCGUCAAGAACGAACAAACUUGACCUUUCUAAAGUUUUGGUCACUGUUUUCAUGACCAAAACAAUUAGGUCAUGGCCAAAAUUUUGGUCAUUACCCAUGUGCCUCCUCCAUGUAGGAUUUGACAUGGCUAAGGUCAUGUGGCAUCAUCCACGUGGCAAACAUAUGACAUGGCAGAAAUAGUGACAUGUACCACAUGUCAGAUAUGACAUGGCAUGGGUUGGGAUGCAAUAAAAUCAAUAUAAAUUUUUACAAGCCCAAUCAGCCAAGCCCAAAAAGUGUGGCCUAUAAAAGAAUUGCAUUUUGUUGGGCCAGAGGUUAUAUGCAAUACAUUAUUUCCACAACAUUAUUCUGAUCCAUCUACUGUACCAACAUUAUGUGAUGUGCACAACACAUUCAGCUACUGUACCAACUUUCAUUCCCCAAUUUAAAAUUACACAAAUAAAUUCCAAACCAAAAUUGCACAUCCCAGACAAAAGGUAUUACACAAAACAUAUCAUAUUCAGCACUAAAAGAAGAAAGUGACAUCAUAUAACGACAGUGUGGCUCCAUUGUCUUCCUCUUCUAGAAUAUUGAGACAUCCUGGCACUCAAAGGGACAACACAUGAGAGGCAAAUUAAACAUAACAUGAAAUAUGAAAAAAUGCAACAAGCGGAGCAGACUCCAAACAACAUAUAAGCAAGUCAUGGAUGCAAGAAGUGAUCAUUUUAGGGGCAUUAAUGUGCACGAACCAAAGUAGGUUUCUUCCAUAAAUCAGGUUCCGAGUAUUAAAUACUAGUAAAAUCAAAUUCAUAUCAAGCUGAUGUGCUAUGUGUGUUGAUUCCAUAUUCCGCAUCCAGCUAACUUUUGCAUCAGAAGAAAAAGAAGAACGUGUUGGCAUCAUGACUAUAGUUCAAUCCCGAUAUAACAAACUAGGGCAACAGUUGCAUACAACUAAUAAAGGGCUUGUCAGAUUACUUAAAUUUGUAGAAUUAAUAGGUGCCCAAAGCUUAUAUGCAAAGAGACUAAGCAAAAAACAAAAUCUUCUCCUAUUUUGACGGAUAUCAGUCACAAGAGAGAAAAUGGAGGAUUACCAGGUUGGAUGAGUGCACAUGUGAACAUGCAAUACUUGUCGUCGCAUCCGGAAAGCUCAUAGUUGAUGUGCUCCUAGAUCUAAAUCGCCCUCCCUACACACACAACCAGAGAUCCUUACUCUGCUGAGAAACAAUACACGGUAAAUAAAAUGGUGUGGUUUAUACCUAUAAAAGAAUAAAACAUUCACUAUUUUAAAAUAAUUAGCUACAUGCACAGUACAUAAAUCAUACAUCCACAUAUGUGGUAUUUACAUCAUACAUCAACAUGCGUGGUAUUUUUCAUAACGUUGUUUCAUACUUUGCACAAACAGCAACAAGUCAACAAAGAUGCAAUAUAAAUCAGGUUUUAUCAAACUAGUAUUAAUGUAUACGGGGCUGCCACAAAAUGCUUUACAUUCGUGAGUAUCCAGUAGAAUAGAAACAGAGUUGGUGCUACUACCGAUGUUGUUGGUUGGUUGUCCAAAUACACUGGUUUAUGUUACUACUCGAGCAGGUAGGGUAGGCACCCCAUGGAAGCAUAUGAGCAGACCUUACACCACGACUUUAUAUCUAAUAAAAACACGACGAGUUUAUUUCAACCACGUUUUAAUAAAAGAUACUAAUCCAAUAGAAACACGACGAGUUUAUUUAUCACUAAAGUGAACGCAGACCUUACACAACGACUUUAUAUCUUGAUUAACCUUGAAUCGUGGAGUAUAUUAUCAAUGUACAAGCCAAAUUCAUUAUCAAGAGUCACCAUAUAUUUGUGAUUAAAGUCAUCAGAAUAGAAUUUAGCUAAUUUCAGCAACUUCUCCUUACCAAAACGACGGAAUAAUUGGCUAGGGAUCAAAGCAGAUAUGCAUGGAAGCAACUCGAAAUUUACCUCAUUAGCAUCAUCAUCAUACAAAUCAUCAGCAACAAAUCAGUUCUAUGCCUUACCCUCUCAUCUGCUCCACGCCUCUCGGUUCUAUCUCCUGCAGCCACCACCACCCAGUCGGUCAUCAAUCUGCAACCGCCUGACCACUGGACGGCAUCUAUAGUCAGCUCAAACAACAAAUAUGCCCGCCACUCUGUUUGCACAAGAAUUCAGUCAAAAAUUCAGUAUACAUGCAUACAAUGACAAAAAAAAAGAAUCAGAAUGCAUGAGCAUACUGUAAAAAAAUUCAGACUGCACCAUCGCAUAAGCAUACUUUCGAAAAAUUCGGAAUGCAUAACCAUGCUGACAAAAAUUCAGAAACAAACAUCAUCCAAACUAAGCUGGUAUGAAUUUGAAAUACACUCAAAAGGAGUUUCCUUUUUAUUCAGAAACAAGUCAUUUACACCGUCCAACAACUCUCCAAUACAAAAAAGAAUCAGAAUGCAUGAGCAUACUGUAAACAAAAAUCAGAAUGCACCAUGCAUAAGCAAACUGUCAAAAAAUUCAGAAGGCAUAACCAUGCCAGCGGUCCUGCAUCGGCCAAAUCUAGGAGCAUGACACAUAUCCCUUGCAAUUCCACGAACCUAAACUACGCAGUAAGGAUUGGUGGGGUUACCUCCUAAUUGGUACAUGAACUCCAUCCUAUCAAGCACCGGAUUCCGUGAUCACAUGUGCUCGCGAGCAGAACAACCGCGUCCUAUACUAUCACGAAUUCCAUAUGUGCAUUUGAUGUGGCAUGAACCAGAACCAGAACCAUAAAUUCAAAAGAAACAAAUUCAUAUGAUGAGAUGAAUGUAUCAGUUCACGAAGAACAAACCUAGUUUCAGAGUUGGGGAUGAUGAAUUGACAGGGUGAAGCUGAUGCAGACCUACAGUAUCGAGUAGGGAGCCACCAGUGUCCAGCGAUGUUGGUAGCCAGGUCGGAGCAAUGGAGGUCGAGCGUCACGGCAUGCGGUGGCCGAGACGACGGUCGCAGCAUGCGGUGGCCAAGACGACGGUCGCAACAUGCAUGACAAGAUCGAGCCACUCCAUGGCGUCCGGGCAGGGGAGGAAGCGACCCUGCCGUCCAUCGCGUUCUAGUGCUUGGGAAACAAUGGAUCUGAGAUUUAAGAGGGGAUGUGGUGAGGAGGAGAAGGAAGGAGGUAUGUGACGAGGGAAGAGAGGGGAUCUGACUCACCGGAGCAACGACGGGGCCACGCUGGCGACACGCUGGCCCAAAUCCUAGUGGAUGCGAUAGAUACACAUGGUCACAGGAGGACGCGCCCACCGGAUCCAGUCGAAGGAGAUGGAGGAGCGGAUCGAGGGGAUCAUGUGGGGGUGAUGGGUGCUUCCUCCGGCCCGAGAAAUUGAUCGGGAUCGACCGCAAGAGGUGGUGGUGGUGGCGGCGGCGGUAGCGAGGAGGGUCUCUGGCGAGGUGCUGGGUGGCGAGGAGGGUCUUUAGAAUAGAUGGAUGGAUGGAUGGAUGUGUGAUGGUUGAGCAUGGAGUCAUCGAUCCGUGUCCAAAAUGAAUGAUCAAUGAGAAUAGAGUUUAUGUAAUCGUGUUGGAAAUAGGUACUUUUGUAAAGAACGUACCAAGUAUUUUUUGCAAAAUUAAGCUUCAUGUUAUUGAUGUGGUUGCAUCUAUCAUGUCAUCGAAAGUUUUCAUUAUUUUUUAACGAAAAUUUUGUUUUCAUUUUUCGAGUGGUCAAAAUGAGUUUUGUGUGAAGGACCUACCAUAUAUUUGUUGUAAAAUUGAAGAAAAUAAAUUUUAUAAUAUACUAGGACAUAUUUAAUGUACAAUUGAAGCUGGACUCACAUCGUAGAUUGGAUUGAUGUGCAAUUUUGAUGAGGAUGAUAAAUUGGGCAAAUGAAAGCACUAUACAAAUUUGAUAGCAUUUGGAUAAAUAGAAAUGAUACUUCCUUGACAAUGCUCUCUAUUGAACUAAAAAUUGGGAAAAUAUUGAGGGAAAUAGGAUACAUUAAAAUGAGAUACACUUUGGUGGAGGGAUAUUUUAUGGGCAGUGUCAUGUCCUGGUAAGUUGCGAGAAAUUAUAAAGCAAUACAAAAUAUAGUUGCUUCACAAACUGAAAAUAUUACGAGAAACAAAGAUUGGAUUGUGAGCUUAGAUGGAUUGUUAGAUGGGGACAAAUUUUUGUGGAGAGCUAUGAUUUGGGCAUAUAGGAUAUGUGGUAAAAAUUCAGCUCGUUAGGAGAUGCCUAGUAAGUACUUCCUUCACAAAGCUUCUAGCUGAACAAAAAACUUUGGAAAUUUGCUGAGGAUGAUUUAAUAGGCAAAUAGAGCUAAAGCUUUUCAUGAGGCAAUGAUUUGCGGGCAUAAAUAGAGCUACGCAUGCUAAUGACCAUUUUGUGCAAUGAGAUUAUGACCUUCUUGAGAGAGAUGGUCAAAAUUUUAUAGGGUUUGGACCCUCUUAGACACCUCAUGACCUUUUUGUAUAUUUUAGUCAUAGAUCUAUGACCAAUAAAACCGCCGUCAUUAUUUUUUGUCAUAAACGAACUUAUUUCUUGUAGUGUAUGUAUCUGUAUAACAACAAUAGGGAGAUCAAAAUGCAUAGAAGCGAAAUGGCAAGGAAAUCACCAACCUGCAAAUUAUUGAGUUACGCAGUGUAUGCGGUAUGCACUAUCAAUGACAAUGUAUGGACCAAGUUAGAAUUAGAAUGAACAAAACACCAAAACAGUAAUCACUUACAGAUUAUGCUUUUGUAAUAAAAGGAUGCACCGUUUCCUGUAAUUUUAUCAAAGGAAAAUGUGGCAUGCCUAUAAACUAAAAUAAACAACAGUAAGAAAAAAUCAUUAUUUUAAAAUGUUGGUAGCGGCUGUCAGGUCGGCGGUGUGAAACCGUAAAGAAGAAGGUACCUGUGUUUUUGUGCUGAUUUUGCAAGUUUAUCUGCAGUUUCACACUAGAGACACAGUAGUUGUGAAUUAUAGCCUGGUAAGAGCAGCCGCACAUGAUGAUCCUCAGUUAAUUGGCCGCACCUUCCAGCCGCGGUAGCACCUGCGACAGGUGCGUGUCCGCGUCGAUGAACCUGCUGUCCGCAACAUUCAGUGACGCCGCCAGGCCGAGGUAUACAGUCCGGUAAUGCCACCAUCCACUUGUGCCAUGCGCUCCCGUCUCAGGGCGUGAACUGGCGGAGCCUGUGUUCAUGUAAUAUUGCACACAUAGGACAUCGAUGCCUCAGUCCCGUCCAGGUACUAUGAUGACGUCUUCCGGAAUCUAACCGACGAUUCCCUUCCUUUGCGCUGCUGAAAAUGACCUUUAGUGCUAGUUGGUGGCUGCAACCGGGACUAAAUGUUAUUUUCAGCAACCCAAAGGACGGGAAGCAGAGCCCUAUAAUCCCGGUUGCUGACCUCAGCCGGGACUAAAGGGGGGCCUUUAUAGGCAGAGGUGGCUUGGACGGCUCAAGGAUCAUGCCACCACUAGAUGCCGAGCGGCCGGCGCGGCGGUGCGGCCACGCGUGGGAGUCAUGUUAGUGGCACAUCUACGGUACAUCAUGAUAUUUGACGAUAGCAAACUGAAUUAAAUUGUUUGAGUGUCAAUCGAUCUUAUCCAUAAGAUCAGACAGAAUAGACGGUCGGGUUUCAUUUCAGGUUACUGAAAAAAGAGAAGAGAAUCAAAACUUCAAGCGACCUUGCAUAUACUCCCUCCGUUCCUAUAUAUAAGUUUAUUUAAAGUUUCUAUUAGGGAACUACAUACGGAGCAAAAUGAGUCAAUCAAUAAUUUGAUGUAUGUCUAUAUACAUCCGUAUGAAGUUACCUAGUUAAAUCUCAAAAAGACUUAUAUUUAGAGGGAAGUAGUAGGGAAGCACGAGAAUCUUCUUUGUUAGCACCACAAUUUUAUACAGAUGGUCAAUGUGCACUUCCUUUUCAAAUUAACACUUACGAUUGAUAUAUUUUAUGUAGUACAGUACUGCAAGUCAAACUAUACGUGAAGUACUACGUAGGAUUACAUAUGCUGUUCACUGUAUCCGAUUGGCACCUCCGGUGGCGGGUCCAAUCAACACAUGCGGUGCAUUAAUUGUAGGGCGCUGCAACUACAACAUGCAGCUCAGCUUAUUGGGUGGCAGCAGUUGAAGUUUCCAUUUUAACAUUGCCCGUGUCAGGCUAUGGUAAGUAGACUGCACUUCCAGUUUGUUUGGUCAUUGGGUCCUGUUACUUGUACAAGAACAAUGGAUAGAUACCAAGCUAGCCGGAAUAAUAAGAUGCCGUCAACAUCAUCAACGGGAAAUAUAAAAAUGUGAAAAAAAGAUGAAAAAUAGGAAGAAUCUGUAUACUUGGAUCUUCCAAACUGAUAUUAUACCAAUGGUUCUGCUGACUGCUUCCAGGCCUGAACUACUCUAAUUCCAACUAACUUAUCAAGCGAAAGUAUAAACGAAAUUGGUACAAAUUUGAUUCUCUUUUAUUUCAAAACUAGAGGUAAACAUUUCCGAAAACUACGUGAUCUAUCCAAGGUAUUAAUCUGUCAAACAUCCAAUCAAUUCGUUUUGGUAGAGACAGUAAGAGAAUUCUGCUGCCACCCUUAAAAAUGCGCUUCCAUUUCUUAAGCUAAGAUGAUGAGAUUUCUUUUCAACUCCUCCAACAAAACUGAGAGUUUGAAAAUAAAUUUUCCUAACUGAACGUGUAGAUUUUCCAUGCCGGACCCACAUAUCAGCCGCUGGUGCACAUAACUGGUUGUACUAUUCUAUUACUUAGAUCAAGUCAAUGGAACUUCUCAAUUAUUUAGAACUUCGAUCCGCUUCUGCGUGCUAUAUAGAUCAUACUAAGCCUGUUUCUUCAUGGAUCCAUCUGAAGCAUCUAAUCUCACAAAUUCGUGGUCUCUUACCAUUGUUGCAGGGUGGACGUGACUGGACGCAGUGGUAAGCCCCAAGCUCCUUCGUGAGUGUCCUAGAUUACUAGCACAUUAACUUGUCAUUUAUUCGGUAAUUGUAGUAUUUCGUUCAAGUUUUUUGGAGCUAUAUACCUUCCAAAUGCAAUAAUACAUACAUUUUUUUCACUCUAUUUUCUACAAGGGGCGGCUAUGGAUAAGGUUGAACUGGCUAACGUUGCAAAGCCGGCUGAUGAGCCCACUCUAGGAGCAGCUUCGUCCUCAAUAUCAGUUGCUCGAGGAAUGGAAGGUAUGGAUCCAGUUAGAGAAUGUAUGUAGCUCGAACCAAUAUAUAUCCGUUCGUACUCGUACCUAUCUUUGGAUUUUUCUCCUUGGAGCUUCUUGAUUAGCAAGUUGAACCACCGACCUUUUAGAGUUUUAGUUCACAAUGGAACAAAGGUGAACAAGCUAGCUGCUAUGCUAACAAUGCUUGGAUAUUAGCUUCCUUCAUAUAAUCUAGUUUCCUUCCUUUGCUCAGUAGGCGAUCGAAAAUUCGAUUUGCUUCUUGCUGUCCGGUUGCUAUGAGCUUCUGCCUUCUUAUUGAUUUCACCUAGUGCAGCCGCCAUUAUUGAAUCCACUGGGAGCUUCUUGCUACUUAUUUUGCGCAGUUGUUAUUUUUAUGAGGACGGUCUACUGUUGUUGUGUGCGUCACACUAGAUAGAACUGUCUGAAGCAUUUUAUUUUUUGUUUUUCUUACUGACUUUUGGUAAUGUAUUCAUAAUAUGCGCCUCCGGAUAGUAUAGGGGUCAAAAAUGUACUUUUCCAUCAUCUAAAAAAUUAUAACUUUGAUUUGUGAUAGCUUGACUAAGAGUACAGUUCCUGUAAAAAAAUCUUCGUAAAAAUGGUUUUACGGGGUACCCGUAUAGUGGAAGUUGACAGCAGGUGAGAUGUUUUUUAGUUCCCCUCAAACUUCCCCCAAAAGUGGUUUUUGGCGAUGGCAUGACGACGACGGCAAACUCUAGCAGCGGGCGGGCGGCACGAGCGUACUCCGGUGAUGGUUAGGUGACGUGAAACUUUUUUUGGAAAGGCCAUCUUCGCAUAGACUGAGGCAAUGUUUUGGAGAAAUUACAGGACCCGCAAAAAUAAUUGCACGUUUCAGAAAAGUAUUCAAGAGCUUUUUUCAAUCCAACUUCACCUAAACAAUGGUUAUUUUCCGAUAUAUGGGAACUGUUAGAGAUGCUGUUAAGACGGACCUAGAAAUAUCGAUAUUUGUGGAGAAAAGUGAGCACUCAACUAGGAACACGUACAUGAUAUAAAUUGUGAAUUUACACUUUACUAUUUGGGAAUAAUUAAGUUGUCUACGCUAGUACUAAAUCAAAAUUUAGUUGGCAUUGAAGGUGGCACCGUGAUUCAAAUGCUAAACAAAGAAGGCUAGCGAUUUAUUCUUGGUUUCUACCAGAUGCUACAUCUUAAGCACCUUCAGAGCGUAAAUAAUUGUGAUCAUAUACAUGUAAAAUGAUAGCAAGCCCGGUGUUGUUGGUUUGAAUAAUGUCGGCUGCAUGUCGGCGUUCCGUGCCACCAGUAAGGUGGCUUCACGGUCUGACAUACAGGCCCCAUGACAGGCUGUCAAUGCACAUCACCACCCGUGGAGGACUCACGAACCAAGGCACAGAGAAUGAAUGACUUGAAAGUAGGAUUAUAACUACGAUGGUUAACGAGCAAAGGGCAUGCAGCUACGUCAGCAAUGGAAGCCACCUUCUUGCAAGACGACUCAUUCGGUAGCAUUUGUUAGCAUGUAUCAGUUGUAUGCUCCUUGCAUACAUGACCUAGUUGGACCUGGGUGAGCCGAUACAAGCUACUAACUAUAGUGUGGGCAUAGUUUGGUUGCCUGCCUCCUCCCUAGCCUGCUUGUGAAGAAACACAAGCACAAUGUUUGGUUAUGGGCUUGAGGGGAAUGUUGCGUGCCCGAUAUUUUGUUAGAUGCAACACAUUUUGUGUGGUAACCUCCGAGUGAUGAGGUUACCAGCACACUGAGAACCAGGAGAUGGUAAAAACCAUAACUUAACUCAAGAAAAGUCGUAAAAAAAAACAAUUCAAUGAUUAAUUGGAACAACCCAUGCAGAGAAAACUUCCUACAUAUCCAUGGGAAAGGCCUCAUCAUGCUUCUCGNNNNNNNNNNNNNNNNNNNNNNNNNNNNNNNNNNNNNNNNNNNNNNNNNNNNNNNNNNNNNNNNNNNNNNNNNNNNNNNNNNNNNNNNNNNNNNNNNNNNUGAUGAUAUCAUGCCAGCUUGGAACCUUUUCAGAGUUCAUUUGAAAUGCUUUUCAAUUUCAUGGUUUUUAGCUCAAAAUAAUCAGUAAAUGCAUGAAAAAUAACAAAUGAAGUCAGAAAGGGUUGUAAAUCGAUGAUGUGGCUUUGAACGGUGCAUUUUGAACACAGAAAAACUAUGGAGUUCAAAUAAGUUCAAAAAAAUGAAAUCCCUUUGUAACAAACGAGUUUCCGUAUGAAACCCUGAUACUUCCAAAGAGAUUGUCCGUUUUGUACACGAAGUGCAUUCAGUUUUUGCCGUAACCCUCUCAACUUUCUCGCACAUGCUAUGUGGGUGAAAUGAUGAUACCAUGCCAACUUGGAACCUUUUCAGAGUUCAUUUCAAAUUCUUUUCAAUUUCAUGGUCUUCAAGCUCAAAAUAAUCAGUAAAUGCAUGAAAAAUAACAAAUCAAGUCAGAAAGGGUUGUAAAUUGAUGAUGUGGCUUUGAAUGGUGCAUUUUGAACACAGAAAAACUAUGGAGUUCGAAUAAGUUCAAAAAAAUGAAAUCCCUUUGUAACAGACGACUUUCCAUAUGAAACCCUGAUAUUUCCAAAGAGAUUGUCCGUUUUGUACACGAAGUGCAUCCAGUUUUUGUUGGAAUUAUGCCCUAGAGGCAAUAAUAAAUAUAGUUAUUAUUAUANNNNNNNNNNNNNNNNNNNNNNNNNNNNNNNNNNNNNNNNNNNNNNNNNNNNNNNNNNNNNNNNNNNNNNNNNNNNNNNNNNNNNNNNNNNNNNNNNNNNCCCGCUCCGGAUACAAAGCCUGAGCCUGCCACGGAUACAAAGCGGGAGUGUGCCACCAAGAACGCUCCGCCAACGAUUCCUAAGCCAGAGAGCACCCCAAAGCGCAAACGGUCGCCCCUCCCAAAGGUAUCUCAUGCUAAUAUUCCUAUCGGACCUUAUGAUCGUACCCCCGAGGAAAACGCCAGGAUAGCAAAGGAACAUCAUGAUGCGCAGAUGAAAAAGAAGGAACCCGAGCCCCGCCCGGAAUACACCUAGAAGCAAAUAGCAUUUGCAAAAUAAUUCACGACCCUUCCAUCACAAUAUGACUUACACCAUUAGCUUGAUGACUAUACACGCACAUUGCAGAAGGAAGUGAAAAAGAGCAGAUCACGUGCAAGCCCUCCACAUGACGUCGGCCAGCACAACACGAGUCCAUCUCGAUCACCGUCGCCGGACUUGGGUCGUCCGUCUCCGCCGCCGCCCGCUCCGGAUACUAAUUGGGAGCGUGCCACCAAGAACGCUCCGCCGAUGAUUCCUAAGCCACAGAGCACCCCAAAGCGCAAACAGUCGCCCCUCCGAAAGGUACGUUAUGCUAAUCUUCCUAUCAGCCCUUAUGACUUACACCAUAAGCCUGAUGACUAUACACGCACAUUGCAGAAGGAAGUGAAAGAGAGCAGAUCACGUGCAAGUGCAAGUGGGAGCAAAUCAAGUUCAACUACAAGCAAGAAAAAAUCAGACGUUCCUCAGCUUGGACAACAGGCCAAACAGUCGAUCCCACCCCUCAAGGUGUUAACCGAGAAUGUUCCCCCUCCGGUGGAGGGGCUAGCUUUAGAAAGACCAAAGCAGUUGGCGGCUGCAUGUGGUGUCUCGGUUGAAGAAUUGCUUUCUUCCCAAGAUGACAAGAUACCCAAGGCUGUGGUAGCCCCUAAGCCACAGCUUGUGAUGGGUAAGCCUUUGGUCAGCAAAGAUGAUCUCCCAACAAAUAUGCGUUACUUGCAUCAAUGGUACUUAAGUGAAUCAAAGAAUGGGAGAACGANNNNNNNNNNUUGAGUGUCCCACAGGAGUACUACGGCCGCCCCGAACAAAUCCAUAUCGACUUUGAUGAACUCUUCCAGAUGUACAAUGGCGACGCCCUCGACAAAUCGCUUAUGAGUUGCUAUUGUCUGUUAGUUUUUCAAUUCGUUGUCUACAUAUAACUUGUUUAGUUAUUUCAAUUNNNNNNNNNNCCGAGUGUCCCACAGGAGUACUACGGCCGCCCCGAACAAAUCCAUAACGACUUUGAUGAACUCUUCCAGAUGUACAAUGGCGACACCCUCGACAAAUCGCUUAUGAGUUGCUAUUGUCUGUAAGUUUUUCAAUUCGUUGUCUACAUAUAACUUGUUUAGUUAUUUCAAUUCAUUGUCUAUAUAUAACUUGUACUCUAUUAUGCAGAAUGAAUAUUCUGGAUUGUAAAUGUAAGAGCAUCCUAAAUAUUGGGUUUAUUGACCCAGAUAAAAUACAUAUAGCGACGCUAACUAAUUAUCCCAAGGAGAUGGAGGAAAACCUUCUAAGGUUUCUAACAGAUCAAAAUUUCUUUGACCACAUACUGUUUCCAUACAACUUCAGGUGAGGGUGUUUACUCUGUUGUGUCCAUUCACUUAUAAGUGUAAUUGAUAAGUUACUGACACACAUAUAUAUAUACAUGUGCAACUUUCCUUGGAUUCUGUUGGAUAUUCAAAUUGAUAAGGGAAGAGUUGAUGCCUUCGACCCAUUAUCGAGACCCUUGAAACAGUUCCAAAGCCUGCAGGACAUGCUCCAAGGGUAAUUUCAAUCAUUCUUGCGCUCUAUCGGUCCUUUCGAUGAUUUUCUGAUAUAUCAAUUAAUGAAAAACUUAGCAAAUCAUUAUCCUUGUCGGGCAGGGUUUGGAAGCGGUUCAAGUGCGUGACNNNNNNNNNNUCUCUUUCGAUGAUUUUCUGAUAUAUCAAUUAAUGAAAAACUUAGAACAUCAUUAUCCUUGUCGGGCAGGGUUUGGAAGCGGUUCAAGUGCGUGACUCCCGGUAUCGAGUAUGAGAAGCUGACCUUUAGAGCGGUUCAGGUAAGUAGUAGUAUGAUAUACUUCUAUUUUCAAUACAUUUAUGAUGCUAGAUUAUUAUUUUGAUGAUAUAUAUUCUAUUCUCGUAAAGUGCGACCAGCAGCCACGGGGAACGCNNNNNNNNNNCAUGAGAAGUUGACCUUUAGAGUGGCUCAGGUAAGUAGUAGCAUGAUAUACUUCUAUUUUCAAAACAUUUAUGAUGCUAGAUUAUUAUUUUGAUUAUAUAUAUUCUAUUCUCGUAAAGUGCGACCAGCAGCCACGGGGAACGCAUCUAUGCGGAUACUAUGUUUGCGAGACCAUUCGCACGUUUAACUCUGAGCACAAGGAUCACAGAUUCGACGUAAGCAAUGAACAUUCACACCUCUAUUUUUACCCGUCAUUCUUUGUUAUCAUGAUUGAUAUUCAUAUUCAUCUCCUCUUCUUAUAUAGCACACGGCCAUGAGGACGAAGGUCCUACCAGAGCAACGCGCGAUUGCUGUUGCAGAGGAGCUUGCGACCUUUCUGAGGACGGAAGCUAUAGAUGACAAAGGACGAUUUAGUGUNNNNNNNNNNNNNNNNNNNNNNNNNNNNNNNNNNNNNNNNNNNNNNNNNNNNNNNNNNNNNNNNNNNNNNNNNNNNNNNNNNNNNNNNNNNNNNNNNNNNGCCGAGUUUCGUGGUCUAUAGCGCACUGUUUUGGGGUCUCGGGUCGAUAUUUGAUGCACCAUGAACCCUGUGCACGACCAUCGAGAUGUCGCAAAAACUUGUUGUUUUUGUCGUUUCGGGCUAGUUUCAUGUGCUCUAGCGCAGUGUAUUAGGAUCCCGGCUCGAUUUUUUAUGCUCCAUGAACCCUAUUCACCCCUAUUGAUACGUCGCAAAAACUCGUUGUUUUGGGGUGCCGUGUCGAUUUUUGAUGCUCCAUGAACCACGUGCACUGCUAUCGAGACGUUGCAAAAACUCAUUGUUUUUGUCGUUUCGGAUCUGUUUCGUGGGCUAGAGGGCACUGCAUUGGGGUCCCGGGUCGAUUUUUGAUGCUCCAUGAACCGUGUGUACGACUAUCGAGACGUCCCAAAAACUCGUUGUUUUUGUCGUUUUGGCCGAGUUUCGUGGUCUAUAGCACACUGUUUUGGUGUUCCGGGUCGAUUUGUUAUCGACCAUGAACCAUGUGCACGCCUAUCGAGACGUUCAAAAAACUCGAUGUUUUUGUCGUUUCGGGCGUGGUUCGUGGGCUAUAACGCAGUGUUUUGUGGUCCCGGGUCAAUUUUUGAUGCUCCAUGAACUGUGUGCACGGCUAUCGACACAUCGAAAAAGCUUGUUGUUUUUGUCGUUUCGGGUCAGUUUCAUGGGCUAUAGCGCACUGCAUUGGGGUCCCAGGUCGAUUUUUGAUGCUCCAUGAACCCUGUGUACGGCUAUCGAGACGUCGCAAAAACUCAUUGUUUUUGUCGUUUUGGCCGAGUUCCGUGGUCUAUAGCACACUGUUUUGGGGUCCCGGGUCGAUUUUUGAUGCACCAUGAACCUUGUGCACGGCUAUCGAGUCGUCGCAAAANNNNNNNNNNNNNNNNNNNNNNNNNNNNNNNNNNNNNNNNNNNNNNNNNNNNNNNNNNNNNNNNNNNNNNNNNNNNNNNNNNNNNNNNNNNNNNNNNNNNNNNNNNNNNNNNNNNUUUGCCGUUUUGGCCGUGUUUGGUGAUCUAUAGCAUACUGUUUUGGGGCUCAGUGUCGAUUUUUUAUGCACCAUGAACCAUGUGCACGGCUAUCGAGACGUUGCAAAAACUCGUUGUUUUUGUCGUUUCUGGCAUGUUUCGUGGGCUAUAACGCACUGUUUUGGGGUCUCGGGUCGAUNNNNNNNNNNNNNNNNNNNNNNNNNNNNNNNNNNNNNNNNNNNNNNNNNNNNNNNNNNNNNNNNNNNNNNNNNNNNNNNNNNNNNNNNNNNNNNNNNNNNCGGUGCACCAUGAACUGUGUGCACUAGUAUCGAGACGUUGCAAAAACUCGUUGUUUUUGUCGUUUCGGGCCUGUUUCGUGGGCUAUAACACACUGUUUUGGGGUCUCGGGUCGAUUUUUUAUGCUCCGUGAACUCUGUGCACUAGUAUCAAGACGUCGCAAAAGCUCGUUUGUUUUGUCGUUUCGGGCCAGUUCGUGGGCUAUAACGAACUGUUUUGGGGUCUCGGGUCGAUUUUUGAUGCUCCAUGAACUGUGUGNNNNNNNNNNUGAGACGUCGCAAAAACUCGUUGUUUUGGGGUCCCGUGUCGAUUUUUUAUGCUCCAUGAACCACGUGCACGGCUAUCGAGACGUCGCAAAAACUCGUUGGUUUUGUCGUUUCGGGCCAGUUUCAUUGGCUAGAGCGCACGGUUUUGGGGUCAUGGUUCAAUUUGUGAUGCUCCAUGAACCGUGUGCACGACUAUCGAGACAUCGAAAAAGCUCGUUGUUUUUGUCGUUUCGGGCCAGUUUCAUGGGCAAUAGCGUACUGCAUUGGGGUCCCGAGACGAUUUUUGAUGCUCCGUGAACCCUGUGUACGACUAUCGAGACAUUCAAAAAACUCGAUGUUUUUGUCGUUUUGGUCGAGUUUCGUUGUCUAUAGCGCACUCCAUUAGGACCCGGGUCCAUUUUUGACGCACCAUGAACCUUGUGUACGGCUAUCGAGACGUCGCAAAAACUCAUUGUUUUUGUCGUUUUGGCCGAGUUUUGUGGUCUAUAGCACACAGUUUUGGGGUCCCGUGUCGAUUUUUUAUGCUCCAUGAACCACGUGCACGGCUAUCGAGACGUUGCAAAAACUCGUUGUUUUUGUCGUUUCGGGCCUGUUUCGUGGGCUAUAACGUACUGCUUUGGGGUCUCGGGUCGAUUUUUGAUACUCCAUGAACCGUGUGCACUAGUAUCGAGACGUCGCAAAAACUCGUUGGUUUUGUCGUUUCGGGCCACUUUCAUGGGCUAGAGCGCACUGUUUUGGGUCCCGGGUCAAUUUUUGAUGCUCCAUGAAUCGUGUGCACGGCUGUCGAGACAUCGAAAAAGCUUAUUGUUUUUGUCGUUUCGGACCAGUUUCAUGGGCUAUAGCGCAGUACAUUAGGGUCCGUGGUCGAUUUUGAUGCUCCAUGAACCCUGUGUACGGCUAUCGAGAAAUCGCAAAAACUCGUUGUUUUUGUCGUUUUGGCCGAGUUUCGUGGUCUANNNNNNNNNNCCUGGGUCGAUUUUUGAUGCACCAUGAACCAUGUGCACGGCUAUCGAGACGUUCAAAAAACUCGAUGUUUUUGUCGUUUCGGGCGUGUUUCGUGGGAUAUAGCGUAUAGUUUUGGGGUCCCCGGUCAAUUUUUUAUGUUCCAUGAAUUGUGUGCACCACUAUCGAGACAUCGAAAAAGCUUGUUGUUUUUUUCGUUUCGGGCCAGCUUCAUGGGCAAUAGCGUACUGCAUUGGGGUCCCGAGACGAUUUUUGAUGCUGCAUGAACCCUGUGUACAACUAUCGAGACGUUCAAAAAAUUCGAUGUUUUUGUCGAGUUUCGUGGUCUAUAGCAUACUGUUUUGGGGUCUCGGGUUUAUUUUUUAUGCUCCAUGAACCACGUGCACGGCUAUCAAGACGUUGCAAAAACUCAUUGUUUUUGUCGUUUCGGGCCUGUUUCGUGGGCUAGAGCGCACUGUUUUUGGGUCGCGGGUCAAUUUCUGAUGCUCCAUGAAUCGUGUGCACGACUAUCGAGACAUGAAAAAAGCUCGUUGUUUUUGUCGUUUCGGGCCAGUUUCAUGGGCUAUAGCGCACUGUUUUGGGGUCGCGGGUCAAUUUUUUAUGCUCCAUGAAUAGUGUGCACGACUAUCGGGACAUCGAAAAAGCUUUUUGUUUUUGUCGUUUCGGGCCAGUUUCAUGGGCUAUAGCGUAAUCCAUUGGGGUCCCUGGUCGAUUUUUGAUGCUCCAUGAACCCUGUGUACGGCUAUCAGACGUCGCAAAAACUCGUUGUUUUUGUCGUUUUGGCCGAGUUCCGUGGUCUAUAGUACACUGUUUUGGGGUCCCGGGUCGAAUUUUGAUGCACCAUGAACCUUGUGCACGGCUAUCGAGUCGUCGCAAAANNNNNNNNNNGUUGUCGUUUCGGUCCAGUUUCAUGGGCAAUAGCGUACUGCAUUGGGGUCCCGAGACGAUUUUUUGAUGCUCCAUGAACCCAGUGCACGGCUAUCGAGACAUCGAAAAAGCUUGUUGUUUUUGUCAUUUCGGGCUAGUUUCAUGGGCUAUAGCGCACUCCAUUAGGUGCCGGGUCGAUUUUUGAGGCACCAUGAACCUUGUGUACGGCUAUCAAGACGUCGCAAAAAAUCAUUGUUUUUGUCGUUUUGGCCGAGUUUUGUGGUCUAUAGCACACAGUUUUGGGGUCCCGUGUCGAUUUUUUAUGCUCCAUGAACCACGUGCACGGCUAUCGAGACGUUGCAAAAACUCGUUGUUUUUGUCGUUUCGGGCCUGUUUCGUGGGCUAUAACGCACUGUUUUGGGGUCUCGGGUCGAUUUUCGGUGCAUCAUGAACCGUGUGCACUAGUAUUGAGACGUCGCAAAAACUCGUUGGUUUUGUCGUUCUGGCCGAGUUUCGUGGUCUAUAGCACACUGUUUUGGGGUCCGGGUCGAUUUUUCAUGCACCAUGAACCCUGUGCACGGCUAUCGAGUCAUCGCAAAAACUCGUUGUUUUUGUCGUGUUGGCCGAGUUUCGUGGUCUAUAGCACACAGUUUUGGGGUCCCAUGUCGAUUUUUGAUGCUCGAUGAACCAUGUGCACGGCUAUCGAGACGUUGCAAAAAUUCGUUGUUUUUUAUGCUUCCGGCCAGUUUCGUGGGCUAUAACGCACUGUUUUCGGGUCUCGGGUCGAUUUUUGAUGCACACAGUUUUGGGGCCUGUGUACGGCUAUCGAGAAAUGGCAAAAACUCGUUGUUUUUGUCGUUUUGGCCGAUUUUUUUGGUCUAUAGCACACUGUUUUUGUGUGCCGGGUCGAUUUUUGAUACACCAUGAAACAUGUGGACGACUAUCAAGACGUUAAAAAUACUUUAUGUUUUUGUCGUUUCGGGCGUGUUACGUGGGCUAUAACGCAAGGCAUAGGGGUCCCGGGUCGAUUUUUGAUGCACCAUGAACCCUGUGCACGGCUAUCGAGUCGUCGCAAAAACUCGUUGUUUUUGUCGUUUUGGCCGAGUUUCGUGGUCUAUAGCACACUAUUUUGGGGUUUAGUGUUGAUUUUUUAUGCUCCAUGAACCACGUGCACGGCCAUCGAGACGUUGCCAAAACUCGUUGUUUUUGUCGUUUCGGGCCUGUUUCGUGGGCUAUAACGCACUGUUUUGGGGUCUCGGGUCAAUUUUUUAUGCUCCAUGAACUGUGUGGACUAGUAUGGAGACGUCGCAAUAGCUCGGUCGUUCUGUCGUUUCGGGCCAGUUCCGUGGGCUAUAACGCACUGUUUCGGGGUCUCGGAUCGAUUUUUGAUGCUCCAUGAACUGUGUGCACUAGUCUCGAGACGUCGCAAAAACUCAUUGGUUUUGUUGUUUCGGGCCAGGUCCAUGGGCUAGAGCGCACUGUUUUCGGGUCGCGGGUCAAUUUUUUAUGUUCCAUGAACAGUGUGCACGACUAUAGCGCACUACAUUGCGGUCCCGGGUCGAUUUUUGAUGCUCCAUCAACCCUGUGUACGGCUAUCGAGACGUCGCAAAAACUCGUUGUUUUUGUCGUUUUGGCAGAGUUCCGUGGUCUAUAGCACACUGUUUUUGGAUCCCGGGUCGAUUUUUGAUGCACCAUAAACCAUGUGCACGCCUAUCGAGUCGUCGCAAAAACUCGUUGUUUUUGUCGUUUUGGCCGUGUUUCGUGAUCUAUAGCACACUGUUUUGGGGCCGAGUGUCGAUUUUUGAUGCUACAUGAACCACACGCAAGGCAAUCGAGACGUUGCAAAAACUCGUUGUUUUUGUCGUUUUGGGCCUGUUUCGUGGGCUAUAACGCACUGUUUUGGGGUCUCGGGUCAAUUUUUUAUGCUCCAUGAACCGUGUGCACUAGUAUCGAGACGUCGCAAAAACUUGUUGGUUUUGUCGUUUCGGGCCAGUUUUAUGGGCAAGAACUGGUUGUUUUGGGGUCGCUGGUCAACUUGUGAUGCUCCAUGAACCGUGUGCACGACUAUCGAGACAUCAAAAAAGCUCGUUGUUUUUGUUGUUUAGGGCCAAAUUCGUGGGCUAUAACGCGCUUCAUUGGGGUCCCCAGUAGAUUUAUGAUGCUCCAUGAACCCUGUGUACGGCUAUCGAGAUGUUGCCAAAACUCGUUGUUUUUGUCGUUUUGGCCGAGUUUCGUGGUCUAUAGCGCACUGUUUUGGGGUCUCGGGUCGAUAUUUGAUGCACCAUGAACCCUGUGUACGGCUAUCGAGACGUCGCAAAAACUCGUUGUUUUUGUCGUUUCGGGCUAGUUUGAUGUUCUCUAGCGCACUUAUUAGGGUCCCGGGUCGAUUUUUUAUGCUCCAUGAACCCUAUUCACCCCUAUUGAUACGUCGCAAAAACUCGUUGUUUCGGGGUCCCGUGUCGAUUUUUGAUGCUCCAUGAACCACGUGCACGGCUAUCGAGACGUUGCAAAAAACUCAUUGUUUUUGUCGUUUCGGACCUGUUUCGUGGGCUAUAUCGCAUUUUUUAUGCUCGAUGAACCGUGUGCACUAAUAUCGAGACGUCGAUAAAACUCGUUGGUUUUGUCGUUUCGGGCCAGGUUCAUGUGCUAGAGUGCAGUGUUUUGGGGUCGCGGGUCAAUUUUUGAUGCUCCAUGAACCGUGUGCACGACUAUCGAGAUAUCAAAAAAGCUCGUUGUUUUUGUUGUUUCGGGCGAGUUUCAUGAUCUAUAGCGCACUGCAUUGGGGUCCCGGGUCGAUUUUUGAUGCUCCUUGAACCGUGUGUACGGCUAUCGAGACGUCGCAAAAACUCGUUGUUUUUGUCGCUUUGGCCGAGUUUCGUGGUCUAUACCACACUGUUUUUGUCGCUUUGGCCGAGUUCAAAAAACUCGAUGUUUUUGUCGUUUCGGGCGUGUUUCGUGGGCUAUAACGCACUGUUUUGUGGUCCCGGGUCAAUUUUUUAUGCUCCAUGAAGUAUGUGCGUGACUAUCNNNNNNNNNNNNNNNNNNNNNNNNNNNNNNNNNNNNNNNNNNNNNNNNNNNNNNNNNNNNNNNNNNNNNNNNNNNNNNNNNNNNNNNNNNNNNNNNNNNNAAGGUUCGACGUUGUUUUAUGCGUAUUUGAGUUAUAUGGUUGGUUACCGAAUGUUGUUCGGAGUCCCGCAUGAGAUCACGGACGUCACGAGGGUUUCCGGAAUAGUCCGGAAACGAANNNNNNNNNNNNNNNNNNNNNNNNNNNNNNNNNNNNNNNNNNNNNNNNNNNNNNNNNNNNNNNNNNNNNNNNNNNNNNNNNNNNNNNNNNNNNNNNNNNNNNNNNNNNNNNNNNNNNNNNNNNNNNNNNNNNNNNNNNNNNNNNNNNNNNNNNNAAUGUACCGGGAAUGACGAAUGGGUUCCGGGAGUUCACCGGGGGGGGGGCAACCCACCCCGGGGAAGCCCAUAGGCGAUAAGGGUGGCGCACCAGCCCUUAGUGGGCUGGUGGGACAGCCCAAAAGGGCCCUAUGCGCCAUACAAAGGAAAAUCAAAGAGAAAGAAAAAAAAGGGAGGUGGGAAGGAACGGAAGGACUCCCACCCACCAAACCAAGUCCAACUCGGUUUGGGGGGGGAGGCUUCCCCCCUUGGACUCGGCCGACCCCCUUGGGGCUCNNNNNNNNNNGGGAAAGACUCCCACCCACCAAACCAAGUCCAACUCGGUUUUGGGGGGGGGAGGCUUCCCCCCUUGGACUCGGCCGACCCCCUUGGGGCUCCUUGAGCCCCAAGGCAAGGUCCCCUCCCUCCCACCUAUAUAUACGCAGGUAUUGGGGCUGAUUUGAGACGACUUUUCCACGGCAGCCCGACCACAUACCUCCACGGUUUUUCCUCUAGAUCGCGUUUCUGCGGAGCUCGGGCGGAGCCCUGCCGAGACAAGGUCAUCACCAACCUCCGAAGCGCCGUCACGCUGCCGGAGAACUCUUCUACCUCUCAGUCUCUCUUGCUGGAUCAAGAAGGCCGAGAUCAUCGUCGAGCUGUACGNNNNNNNNNNUCCUGCUGAGACAAGGUCAUCACCAACCUCCAGAGCGCCGUCACGCUGCCGGAGAACUCUUCUACCUCUCUUGCUGGAUCAAGAAGGCCGAGAUCAUCGUCGAGCUGUACGUGUGCUAAACGCGGAGGUGCCGUCCGUUCGGUACUAGAUCGUGGGACUGAUCCCGGGAUUGUUCGCGGGGCGGAUCGAGGGACAUGAGGACGUUCCACUACAUCAACCGCGUUCACUAACGCUUCUGCUGUACGAUCUACAAGGGUACGUAGAUCACUCAUCCCCUCNNNNNNNNNNNNNNNNNNNNNNNNNNNNNNNNNNNNNNNNNNUUCACUAACGCUUCUGUUGUACGAUCUACAAGGGUACGUAGAUCACUCAUUCCCUCUCGUAGAUGGACAUCACCAUGAUAGGUCUUCGUGCGCGUAGGAAAAUUUUUGUUUCCCAUGCGACGUUCCCCAACAGUUUUUGCGGUAACCCUCUCAACUUUCUCGCACAUGCUAUGUGGGUGAAAUGAUGAUACUAUGCCAACUUGGAACCUUUUCAGAGUUCAUUUCAAAUGCUUUUCAAUUUCAUGGUCUUAUAGCUCAAAAUAAUCAGUAAAUGCAUGAAAAAUAACAAAUGAAGUCAGAAUGUGUUGUAAAUUGAUGAUGUGGCUUUGAAUGGUGCACUUUGAAGACAGAAAAACUAUGGAGUUCAAAUAUGUUAAAAAAAAUGAGAUCCCUUUGUAAGAGACGAGUUUUCGUAUGAAACCCUGAUACUUCCAAAGAUAUUGUGUGUUUUGUACCCGAAGUGCAUCCAGUUUUUGCCGUAACCCUCUCAACUUUCUCGCACAUGCUAUGUGGGUNNNNNNNNNNGGGAACCUUUUCGGAGUUCAUUUUAAAUAGUUUUCAAUUUCAUGGUCUUAUAGCUGAAAAUAAUCAGUAAAUGCAUGAAAAAUAACAAAUGAAGUGAGAAAGGGUUGUAAAUUGAUGAUGUGGCUUUGAAUGUCCAUUUUGAACACAGAAAACUAUGGAGUUCAAAUAAGUUCAAAAAAAUGAAAUUCCUUUGUAAUAGACGAGUUUUCGUAUGAAACCCUAAUACUUCCAAAGAAAUUGUCCGUUUUGUACACGAAGUGCAUCCAGUUUUUGCCGUAACCCUCUCAACUUUAUCGCACAUCACUAGUGGGGACGGGGCCUUUAGCCCCGGCCCGUAAGGGGCUUUAGUCCCGGUUCACCAACCAGGACUAAAGGGGCGGGACUAAAGGCCUAACCUUUAGUCCCGGCCCUGUUACAAGCCGGUUCGUUACACGGGCCGGGACUAAAGAGUUUCAGAUUUUGCUUAUUUUCGGGUUUUUCUUAAUGAAAUUAUUUUUGGGUUUUAGGGUUUUAGGGUUUAGGUGUUCGGGAGAUUAACGUGAUGCCUCGUUUGGUGUUCGGGAAUUAGUUUUCAUAUAAUUUAAAUAGAAAUAAUUAUGCAUAUAUAUAUAAGGUUAACUUAUCUUACAAGCGAGCNNNNNNNNNNNNNNNNNNNNNNNNNNNNNNNNNNNNNNNNNNNNNNNNNNNNNNNNNNNNNNNNNNNNNNNNNNNNNNNNNNNNNNNNNNNNNNNNNNNNAUUUAUUAUUGCCUCUAGGGCAUAAUUCCAACAGUCUCCCACUUGCACUAGAGUCAAUAAUCCAGCCCUCACAUCAUCAUGUCAAUUACAUUGUGAUAAAUCUAACACCCAUACAGUUCUGGUGUUGAUCAUGUUUUGGCCGUGGAAGAGGUUUAGUCAGCGGGUCUGCUACAUUCAGAUCCGUGUGCACUUUCAUAUAUAUACGUCCUCUCCCUCGACGUAGUCGCGGAUGAGGUUGAAGCGUCGUUUGAUGUGUCUGGUCUUCUUGUGAAACCGCGGUUCCUUUGCUAAGGCAAUGGCACCCGUGUUGUCACAGAACAAGGUUAUUGGAUUCAGUGCGCUUGGCACCACUCCAAGAUCCGUCAUGAAAUGCUUCAUCCAGACACCCUCCUUAGCCGCCUCCGAGGCAGCCAUGUACUCCGCUUCACAUGUAGAAUCUGCUACGACGCUUUGCUUGGAACUGCACCAGCUUACCGCACCCCCAUUAAGAAUAAAUACGUAUCCGGUUUGCGACUUAGAGUCGUCCGGAUCUGUGUCAAAGCUUGCAUCGACGUAACCUUUUACGGCGAGCUCUUCGUCACCUCCAUACACGUAGAAACAUCUCCUUAGUCCUUUUCAGGUACUUCAAGAUAUUCUUGACCGCUGUCCAGUGAUCCACUCCUGGAUUACUCUGGAACCUGCCUGCCAUACUUAUGGCCAGGCUAACAUCCGGUCUAGUGCACAACAUUGCAUACAUGAUAGAGCCUAUGGCUGAAGCAUAUGGGACGAAGCGCAUAUGCUCUCUAUCUUCAUCAGUUGCUGGGCACUGAGUCUUACUCAAUCUCGUACCUUGUAACACUGGCAAGAACUCUUUCUUGGACUGUUCCAUUUUGAACCUCUUCAAAACUUUAUCAAGGUAUGUGCUUUGUGAAAGUCCUAUCAGGCGUUUUGAUCUAUCCCUAUAGAUCUUAAUGCCCAGAAUGUAAGCAGCUUCUCCUAGGUCCUUCAUAGAGAAACUUUUAUUCAANNNNNNNNNNACCUGCCAUACUUACGGCCAGGCUAACAUCCGGUCUAGUGCACAGCAUUGCAUACAUGAUAGAACCUAUGGCUGAAGCAUAGGGGACGGAGCGCAUAUGCUCUCUAUCUUCAUCAGUUGCUGGGCAGUGAGUCUUACUCAAUCUCGUACCUUGUAAAACUGGCAAGAACCCUUUCUUGGACUGUUCCAUUUUGAACCUCUUCAAAACUUUAUCAAGGUAUGUGCUUUGUGAAAGUCCUAUCAGGCAUUUUGAUCUAUCCCUAUAGAUCUUAAUGCUUAAAAUGUAAGCAGCUUCUCCUAGGUCCUUCAUAGAGAAACUUUUAUUCAAGUAACCCUUUAUGCUCUCCAAAAACUCUACGUUGUUUCCAAUCAGUAAUAUGUCAUCCACAUAUAAUAUUAGAAACGCCACAGAGCUCCCACUCACUUUCUUGUAAAUACAAGAUUCUCCAACCACUUGUAUAAACCCAAAUUCUUUGAUCACCUCAUCGAAGCGUUUGUUCCAACUCCGAGAUGCUUGCACCAGUCCAUAAAUGGAUCGCUGGAGCUUGCACACCUUGUUAACAUUCUUAGGAUCGACAAAACCUUCGGGUUGUAUCAUAUACAACUCUUCCUUAAGGAAACCGUUAAGGAACGCCGUUUUGACAUCCAUUUGCUAGAUUUCAUAAUCGAAAAAUGCAGCUAUUGCUAACAUGAUUCUGACGGACUUAAGCAUCGCUACGGGUGAGAAUGUCUCAUCGUAGUCAACUCCUUGAACUUGGGAAAAACCCUUUGCCACAAGUCGAGCUUUAUAAACGGUCACAUUGCCGUCAGCGUCCGUCUUCCUCUUAAAGAUCCAUUUGUUUUGAAUAGCCUUGCGGCCCUCGGGUAGUACCUCCAAAGUCCACACUUUCUUCUCAUACAUGGAUCCUAUCUCGGACUUCAUGGCUUCUAGCCAUUUGUUGGAAUCUGGGCCCACCAUUGCUUCUUCAUAAUUUGCAGGUUCAUUGUUGUCUAACAACAUGAUUGUCAAGACGGGAUUACCGUACCACUCUGGAGCAGCGCGUGAUCUCGUCGACCUGCGUGGUUCAACAGAAACUUGAACUGGAGUUUCAUGAUCAUCAUCAUUAACUUCCUCCUCNNNNNNNNNNCGAUAAGACGGGAUUACCGUACCACUCUGGAGCAGCACGUGGUCUCGUCGACCUGCGUGGUUCGAUAGAAACUUGAACUGGAGUUUCAUGAUCAUCAUCAUUAACUUCCUCCUCAACCGGCGUUGCAACGACAGAGGUUUCCCCUUGCCAUGCGCCACCAUCCAGAGGGAUGAGAGGUUCGACAAACUCGUCAAGUUCUAUCUUCGUCCCACUCAAUUCUCUCGAGAGAAACUCCUUCUCGAGAAAAGCUCCAUUUUUAGCAACAAACACUUUGCCCUCGGAUUUGAGAUAGAAGGUGUACCCAACUGUCUCUUUUGGGUAACCUAUGAAGACGCUCUUUUCCGCUUUGGGUUCCAGCUUUUCAGGCUGAAGCUUUUUGACAUAAGCAUCACAUCACCAAACUUUAAGAAACGACAACUUUGGCCUUUUGCCAUACCACAGUUCGUGUGGUGUCGUCUCAACGGAUUUUGAUGGUGCCCUAUUUAAAGUGAAUGCAGCUGUUUCUAAUGCAUAAGCCCAAAAUGAUAACGGCAAAUCAGUAAAAGACAUCAUAGAUCGCACCAUCUCUAAUAGAGUACGAUUACGACGUUCGGACACACCAUUACGCUAUGGUGUUCCAGGCGGUGUUAACUAUGAAACAAUUCCAGAUUGUCUUAAGUGAGUACCAAACUCGAAACUCAGAUAUUCACCCCCACGAUGAGACCGUAGGAACUUGAUCUUCUUGUUACGAUGAUUUUCCACUUCACUCUGAAAUUGCUUGAACUUUUCAAAUGUUUCAGACUUGUGCUUCAUCAAGUAGACAUAACCAUAUCUACUCAAAUCGUCAGUGAAGGUGAGAAAAUAACGAUAUCCGCCGCGUGCCUCCAUGCUCAUCGGACCACACACAUCGGUAUGUAUGAUUUCCAACAAGUCACUUGCACGCUAAAUUGUUCCGGAGAACGGAGUCUUAGUCAUUUUGCCCAUGAGGCAUGGUUCGCACGUGUCAAGUGAAUCAAAGUCAUGUGACUCCAAAAGUCUAUCAGCAUGGAGUUUCUUCAUGCGCUUUACACCAAUAUGACCUAAGCGGCAGUGCCACAAAAAUAUGGCGCUAUCAUUGUUAACUCUAACUCUUUUGGUCUCAAUGUUAUGUAUAUGCGUAUCAGUAUCAAGAUUCAAUAUGAACAAUCCUCUCACAUUAGGUGCAUGACCAUAAAAGAUGUUACUCAUAGAAAUAGAACAACCAUUAUUCUCUGACUUAAAAGAGUAACCGUCUCGCAAUAAACAAGAUCCAGAUAUAAUGUUCAUGCUCAACGCAGGCACUAAAUAACAAUGAUUUAAGUUCAUCACUAAUCCCGAUGGUAGUUGAAGUGACACGGUGCCGACGGCGAUUGCAUCAACCUUGGAACCGUUUCCUACACGCAUCGUCACUUCGUCUUUCGCCAGCCUCCGUCUAUUCCGCAGUUCCUGCUUCGAGUUGCAAAUGUGAGCAACAGAACCGGUAUCGAAUACCCAGGCACUACUACGAGAGCUGGUUAAGUACACAUCAAUAACAUGUAUAUCAAAUAUACCUGAUUUUUCUUUGCCCGCCUUCUUAUCUGCCAGAUACUUGGGGCAAUUGCGCUUCCAGUGACCCAUACCCUUGCAAUAGAAGCACUAUGUUUCAGGCUUAGGUCCAGCCUUGGGUUUCUUCGACGGAUUGGCAACUGGCUUGCCGCUCUUCUUCGAAUUGCCCUUCUUGCCUUUGCCGUUUCUCUUGAAACUAGUGGUCUUGCUCACCAUCAACACUUGAUGUUCUUUACGGAGUUCAGACUCUGCGACUUUCAGCAUCGCAAACAACUUGCCGGGAGACUUGUUCAUCCCUUGCAUGUUUGUAGUUCAACACAAAGCCUUUAUAGCUUGGCGGCAGUGAUUGGAGGAUUCUGUCAGUGAUAGCUUCUUGCGGGAGUUUGAUCCCUAGUUCAGCUAGACGGUUUGAGUACCCAGACAUCUUGAGCACAUGUUCACUGACAGACGAGCUUUCCUCCAUCUUGCAAGCAUAGAAUUUAUCGGAGGUCUCAUACCUCUCGAUCCGGGCGUUCUUCUGAAAGAUAAACUUCAACUCCUGGAACAUCUCAAAUGCUCCAUGACGCUCAAAGCCACGUUGAAGUCCCGGCUCUAAGCCAUACAAGAAUGCACAUUGAACUAUUGAGUAGUCCUCCUUACGUGCUAGCCAAGCGUUCUUAACAUCCUGAUCAGCCGUAGCGGGUGGUUCAUCUCCUAGCGCAGCANNNNNNNNNNNNNNNNNNNNNNNNNNNNNNNNNNNNNNNNNNNNNNNNNNNNNNNNNNNNNNNNNNNNNNNNNNNNNNNNNNNNNNNNNNNNNNNNNNNNCAUCAUCACGUGCUUGUUGAUCUCCAUCACCAAAGCACCGGCAUGAUCUUCUUGUCACCGGCGCCACACCAUGAUCAUCCAUCAACGUGUUGCCAUCGGGGUUGUCGUGCUACUUAUGCUAUUACUACUAAAGCUACAUCCUAGCAAAAUAGUAAACGCAUCUGCAAGCACAAACGUUAGUAUAAAGACAACCCUAUGGCUCCUGCCGGUUGUCGUACAAUCAACGUGCAAGUCGAUAUUUUCUAUUACAACAUGAUCAUCUCAUACAUCCAAUAUAUCACAUCACAUCAUUGGCCAUAUCAUAUCACAAUCAUACCCUGCAAAAACAAGUUAGACGUCCUCUAAUUUUGUUGUACGAGUAAUGUCAGUCCAAGCCGCUUCAAUCCAACAAUACCGCGGAAUCAAGAAAAGACUAAGGAGGGCAGCAAAGCGCACAUCACCGCCCACAAAAACUUUUGUGUUCUACUCGAGAAGACAUCUACGCAUGAACCUAGCUCAUGAUGCCACUUUUGGGGAACGUCGCAUGGGAAACAAAAAAUUUCCUACGCGCACGAAGACCUAUCAUGGUGAUGUCCAUCUACGAGAGNNNNNNNNNNNNNNNNNNNNNNNNNNNNNNNNNNNNNNNNNNNNNNNNNNNNNNNNNNNNNNNNNNNNNNNNNNNNNNNNNNNNNNNNNNNNNNNNNNNNAAGCUUGCUGCUAUGCUAACAAUGCUUGGAUAUUAGCUUCCUUCAUUUAAUCUAGUUUCCUUCCUUUGCUCAGUAGGCGAUCGAAAAAUCGAUCUGUUUCUUGCUGUCCUGUUGCUAUGAGCUUCUGCCUUCUUGUUGGUUUCACCUAGUGCAGCCGCCAUUAUUGAAUCCACUGGGAGCUUCUUGCUACUUAUUUUGCGCAGUUGUUAUUUUUAUGAGGACGGUCUACUGCUGUUGUGUGCGUCACACUAGAUAGAACUGUCUCAAGCAUUUUAUUUUUGUUUUUCUUACUGACUUUUGGUAAUGUAUUCAUACUAUGCGCCUCCACAUAGUAUAGGGGUCAAAAAUGUACUUUUCCAUCAUCUAAAGAAUUUACAACUUUGAUUUGCGAUAGCUUGACUAAGAGUACAGUUCCUGUAAGAAAAUCUUCGUAAAAAUGGUUUUACGGGGUAUCCGUAUAGUGGAAGUUGACAGCAGGUGAAGUGUUUUUUAGUUCCCCUAAAACUUCCCCCAAAAGUGGUUUUUGGCGAUGGCAUGACGACGACGGCAAACUCUAGCAGCGGGCGGGCGGCACGAGCGUACUCCGUUGACGGUUAGGUGACGUGAAACUUUUUUGGGAAACGCCAUCUUCGCAUAGACUGAGGCAAUGUUUUGGAGAAAUUACAGGAUCUGCAAAAAUAAUUGCACGUUUCAGAAAACUAUUCAAGAACUUUUUUCAAUCCAACUUCACCUAAACAAUGGUUAUUUUACGAAAUAUGGGAACUGUUAGAGAUGCUGUUAAGACGGACCUAGAAAUAUCUAUAUUUGUGGAGAAAAGUGAGCACUCAACUAGCACCACAUGAUAUAAAUUGUGAAUUUACACCUUACUAUUUGGGAAUAAUUAAGUUGUCUACGCUAGUACUAAAUCAAAAUUUAGUUGGCAUUGAAGGUGGCACGGUGAUUCAAAUGCUAAACAAAGAAGGGUAGCGAUUUAUUCUUCGUUUCUACCAGAUGCUACAUCUUAAGCACCUUGGGAGCGUAAAUAAUUGUGAUCAUAUACAUGUAAAAUGACAGCAAGCCCACUGUUGUUGGUUUAAAUAAUGUCGGCUGCAUGUCGGCGUUCCGUGCCACCAGUAAGGUGGCUUCAUGGUCUGACGUACCGGCCCCAUGACAGACUGUCAAUGCUCGACAUGCUCGACGGUGAUGUGGUGCACAUCACCAUCCGUGGAGGACUCACGAACCAAGGCGCAGAGAAUGAAUGACUUGAAAGUAGGAUUAUAACUACGAUGGUUAACGAGCAAAGGGCAUGCAGCUACGUCAGCAAUGGAAGCCACCUUCUUGCAAGACAACUCAUUCGGUAGCAUUUGUUAGCAUGUAUUUUGUUAGAUGAAACACAUGUUGUGUGGUAACCUCCGAGUGAUGAGGUUACCAGCACACUGAGAACCAGGAGAUAGUAAAAACCAUAACUUAACUCAAGAAAAGUCGUAAAAAAACAAUUCAAUGAUUAAUUGGAACAACCCAUGCGGAGAGAACUUCCUACAUAUCCAUGGGAAAGGCCUCAUCAUGCUUCUCACACUUGGACACCACCUCGACGUUAUCGUCCUUGAAGACGAUCACAUUUAGCAUGUCGGGUGUCACUAGCUUCAAGGAGACUAGGUAUAUGUGAUCCAGAUUUGGUGACGAGCGGUGAAGGAGGCCCAACCCUGAUUGAGGGUGAGCCUAUCGUUGAUCCACCAGACCAUCACCCUCGAGGCAGCACUAGUGUUUGUCUUCAUCCUGAAUUACUUUAGGACAUCGGUGAAGUGAUUGGUGGGCUCCAGUGCCUUCGACAAACAGUCCAGCUUUGGUGCAAGCAUGGCAUUGUAGAAGUGGGUUGGCCCGGCCCUCAUGGAGAAGCUCGUAGUUUUUUACCGCGUUUGGGCAUUGCCGAGCUAUACCACCGCCUUUCCCUUCUUGUCGGAUGUAACCACCUCUUUGCCAUUGGAGUUCCCUGAACUACCCUGGUUGAUCUACAUUAUGAACAACAUGACUGAAGGUAAAUGAAGGGAUAAAUGCAACACACAUCAGGGACGGAGCCAACAUUCAUGCAUAGUGGGGGCAAGUUUGUUCAUGGAAGGGGUAAAGUUCAUAUAAAGUGAAACUUUGUUACUACAACAACUAUAAUCAUAGUAGAAGAAUCAAUUUGUUAGGGGGUCUAGCCCCCCUCGCCACCCCUAUAUUCCUCCUUGCACACAUAUGAGCACGAUCUAUGAAGAAUGCAUAAUUUAUUAAACCCCACCCACCACAUCAUUCAACUACCUUUUCCAAUCGUUUGUAUAUCUUUGUCUUCUACCAUCUCCUGUUAUAUAUAUUUGUCUCUUAGUCUUCUAACGUCUACUAUUCCAUAAGUCUGUAUCACUAUCUCUUUGUCUCACCACCUCUCCAUGCACGAACCCCAUCCAUGAACGCACUCCACUGCCACUUCAAACCAUCUAUAUAAUAUAUGGCUCUCUUUGUAUACUACCGUCGCCUCUCUAUUUCGUCUUUAUCUCACCACCUCUCCAUCGCCAUGAACCUCAUCCAUAAUCCCUUCCACGGGCAUUGGAUUUACCCCCUCCUCCAUCGUACUCGAUCCUGUUGAAACCACUUAAAUCCAUCAGAUUUCCUGAAUCUAGUAUCAAAUCUAGCCGGAGAGACAGAUUAAAUACCUAAUGUGCAAAUCGAGUUCGGGCAUGGUAUAAGAAAGGAAUCGUAGGCAACUAAAUUAGUUGAGUACAAGGAGAGAGGGCUUACCGCCAUUGCCAAGUGCGUGCUACUGAGGUGGUAAAACCGGUUAACGUCGCCAUUGCUCAAUGCCCAUAUUUCACGCUCGCCACAGAUGGUGUGAGAUUGGAGAGUGGGGGAGAGACCGGUGAGAAGAGGGAGAGAGUAGUUAUGUCCAUGCUUGGGAAAACAACACAUCUCGAGCAUGGCUUGUUGCUAGCAAUUUGCGACCAAUGCCCACAUAUCACAAGUUCCAGCGCUCGGGCCCGGAUGUGGAAAAACGAUUGAUUUGAUCAUUCCUACUCAUGGGGGCCAAGCAACACAUACUACAAAUCAAACAAAAACUGCAUCAACACACCUGGCUGGAUCUAAUACGUGCUAUCAAAUGCACUGUCGAUGUCUCCUACAUGACGGAACCUGCAGCUUUAAUGGUAUCCAAGCGGAGAUGCCAAUCCUGGGAUCUGUCAUGUCCCUGCACCAACGUAAGGCAGCGUAGGCAUGUCGAAGCCGAUUGAUAGAUAACUUGUGGUACAGUUCCCUUCGUACCAUCCUAGAUAUAUAACAGCAUCUACAGUCAGACUUCUCAAAUCCGUCUCAAACCUCCGGAGACGGGCCAUCCGGUCAAUGAUCCGUACAAAAAAAUCUACCUAACCGGAGUUCUCAAACUGCAGACAAAUGCCAGGAUUGAACGGCAUCCCUCAUAUCCAACCCAAAUCUAGGGUGGAUAUGAGGCAGUUUGGGCGCGCUCGGGGCCGUCCGCCCGGUCCACCGCUGGCACACUCUGAUCCCACAAAUCCCCCCUAAGCAAAUCCUAGGCUCACUUCACUCCGCUCCCCCACACUCGUGUUUCCCCAAUCCGUCCCAACCCGAGCGACGAUGACCAUGUCCAGCACCGGCAGUAAUUCCGAUGUUAGCUUCGGAAACAAGGACGAGUUGGCACUCCAUAUCGCGCUGGAUCACUCGCGGGUCGAUACAUGCAACAUGUCCGGUUCAGGUGCAAUGUCACCCAUCACCGAUCGCCACAACACUGACUCCGAAGCUGCUCCUUCACGGCUUGCGUGUGAAUCUGCGAGGGCGGACCAAUCGACACCACCCACUCAACGACCUGCUUCAUCUCCCCGCCGAUGUUCCGUGUACGCAGCGGUGGGUUCUAGGGAGAUGGAGGCACACGUCACCCACCACGGGAGGCAGACAGCAAGGGAGAUGGGCCUCGCAUCUGAUGUUGGUGUGUAGUCCGGCUGCCGCCACCAUAUGAUGCCGCUGCCAAUGAUGAGGAGCGUCUCCUUCAGUGGGUGUAUCGUCGGUCACUUACCACGGCGGAGACGGACGCCCGACGGCUGCGGAGGAUCAAUGUCAAGCAGCUCUAGCUCGACAUUGAGUAUUUUGAGCCGGAGGGCAUCGCUUGUCACUUGCAGGGCUCCAUCAUCAUCUGCGAUUUCUCCAACCAUGAUAGGUCCGACUCUGUCGGCUCCGACAUGGACCCACGUCCUUCCAGAGACGCCUACAACAGCGGCAGCAACCGGAAAAGCAAAGGGUCGGCUAGAAAGUGUUGAUGCUCCGCCCUUUCAUAUCUUGCUAGUAGUAUCUACUCCCUCCGUUCCUAAAUAUAAGACCUUUUAGAGAUUGCACUAUGAAAUACAUACAAAUGUACAUAGACAUAUUUUAGAGUGUGGAUUCAUUCAUUUUGCUUCGUAUGUAGUCUUGUAGUGAAAUAUCUAAAAGAUCUUAUAUUUAGGAAUGGAGGGAGUACAUCCUAGUAUUAGUUAGCAUUUGACGGAGAAUAUAAACUGUAUGAGCUAUGACCAAUCUUUUUUUGAUGUUUAUAUGUAAAUUUAUGCCCGUUUGCUAUUGGUUUAGAGUACGUUUCCUGUUGAUUUUUCUCGUCUGGUGAUCUACCUACUACGUUGCAUGAUCUUGUAUGAAUACAGGAUUUUAGAUAUGAGACGCGUUCGGGCGUAUAAGAUCUCAAAUUUGACAAAUCUGGCUGUAGAUGUUCUAAGUGCUCCCCGUACUGUUCAGCAUGUCCAAAAUUAAAUAACGUGACCAAGAGAGUCUAAAAGUCUAGGAAAUACCAACCUCUGUUCCGAAUUAGGCAAUACUCCCUCCAUUCAGGUUAAUUAUUGGAGGAACGAAUGUAGCAAGAUUUAUUUUAAUUCGAGAUACAUCUAUUUUAUUCAUUUCCGUGGCAAGUAAUUGGGGAGGGGAUGAGUAGUUAACUAGUCCGGUGAUCUACUUCUCCAUCGAGGUUACAUUCUGCUGGCCCUCACAACGCGCCAAGGUUUUUCAUGUGUAUAUGAAUAUGCUUACGGCUUUUAUUUAUAAUUUUCUUUUAUUAUCAAUGUAUGAGCAGACUGCAUUUACGCUAUCGGUCAGGAGCAGAAAGCCUUGGACAGACUCAUCAUGGAGGUCGGCAAUGACUCUGGAGACAAGAACGUUCGCCUGGAUGGACUUCAGAUAUCCAUGACAUGCAUUGCUAAAAUUGCUAAGGUGAGCUUCCUUUAUUAUUGUAUAUAUGUCUUUCUAUGUCGCCGUACGUGACCAGCAUUGCAUACUAAUACUAGCAUUAUUUCAUCGUAAGCACGGAUAAUGUAGUAGCAAGACAAAUAGAGAUAUUUCGGACCAAUGUAGGAAAUCCAGUGUGAUGUUUCGAAUAUUCUGGAACCCCCUCAUUUUAAUAAACCCGCUAACGAAACUCUAUGACCUUGCUUGAACAUGAUCUGUAUCCUUUACCAAUAAGGAAGCAAACACUUCAGUUUCUGCCCACUGAUCCAGAGCAUGUAUCACUGUAUCCACUUCAGUUUCUAUAAUGGGAUCAAUCCGUUGGCUGUAGAGAAUCGUUCCUGCCUGACUCACAUAUGUGCAGAGUCGCCCAGUGGUUGUGUGACAGACUUGAUCCCUUUUUUUAAAAACUUAUGAGAUUCUGUUUGGUGUGCAGGGCACUACGACAUACGAUCUGAAGAUAACCAGGAGCAUGGUCGGUGGGCUAUCACUGGAAUGGCAUCCUAAUAAAAAGCAGGUAAACCCCCCCCACCCACAGAAAAAAACUUUCUCUCAUAUUUGCUUGCCAGCCAGCAGGAUUUCAUAUGGUGGUUUAUUCCAGGGACCAAUCAACCUUGACAAAGCAGCAGGAGAAACCACACCGGCUGCUACUCCUCAAAAAACAGUUGCUAAAGCCCUAUCUGAUGUUAUGCAUAUGUUAAGAGGAAAAUGACAGAAGAUGGAGUCCAAGAACCCAAAGAAAGCAAAAAAGGACAAAAAGAGCAGGCGUAAAAACUUUCGAACUUUGUGUAUGCCCCCUUUACAUUCCUCCUAAUAAGGAGUGCAUGAUGGCCAACUCCAUUUUUAAAUUAAAUUUGUAAUUCAACACAAAGGGGAUGUAAAAUGAUGCUUCCUGCGACUUUCAUUUAUUCAGUACACUAUCAUGGUUUGAUUGUUAUUUUUACAAUGGAUUAAGUUUUGUUUAUUACUAUUAUUACCACUAAUGCUAGGGUAAACUAGAUCUUCUCCUGCCAUUAAUCAAACUUUUCAUAUUCGAUCAAGUCUUCUAUUAUAUACUAAAAGGAAAAUAUGUAUCAAAAUAUAGAUGAAUAAUCUAGAAAAUCCCACGUUAAACAUAAACGUCUCACCUUCAAUUUUGUACACAAAAAACCCACAGCCGUUAGAUUAACUUAAAAGUUCAAUAAAUUAUCCACCAAUGUCAUUGCCAUUACAUUAAAACACGUCCUCCUCAAUUUCAAGUAACCGGUUAAAAUCUGAUCUCCCGAUGUGAACGUUGCUGCCGUUAUGAUCUCAUCUCCCGAUGCCCUAUCAUGGCCUCCGCGUCCGCCGGACAGCCAAGGAUGGCCGUGAUAGUGUUGGUACUAGACAGAACAAAUUGAGCCGACGUGCCUAGGUAAAUACCAUUUGAGCUUCCAUAUUGUCUACAUGAGGUUCUAGACAAUUCUUCACUGCAAGGCAAAAAAAGGCAAUCGAGCGGUACGUACCUGUUAGGAAACAUUGUAUGGGAAACAAAAAAUUUCGUACGCACACGAAGACCUAUCAGGUUGAUGUUCAUCUACGAGAGGGAGAUCGGAUCCACAUACCCUUGUAGAUCGCUAAGCGGGAAGCGUUAAGAAACGUGGUUGAUGUAGUGGUACAGCUUCGUGAUUCAAAUCACCGUCGUCCCACGAUCCAUUCUGAUCUUGCGUCAAACGGACGGCACCUCCGCGUUCAGCACACGUACAACUCGAUGACAAUCUCCGCCUUCUUGAUCCAGCAAGAUGGCGGGGAAGUAGAUGAGUUCUCCGGCAGCGUGAUGGCGCGCCGGUGAUGGUGAUGAUCUAUUCCUGGAGGACUCCGCCCGAGCUCCGCAAAAAACCGAUCUAGAGGAAAAACUAUGAUCUAGAGGAGAGGACAACACGUGGCAAUGUUGUGUCUCAAAAGCCCUAAACCUCUAGUAUAUAUAGGAGGAGGGGAGGGGCAGCCUUGGCGCGCAAAGGAAGACCUCCUUGGGUCGGCCGAAGUGGGGAAGGGAGGAGUCCUUCUUCAAUCCCACUUGGAUUAGGACUCCUUCCUUAUUUUCCCACCUCUUUUGGAUUUUCAACUUUUUCCUCAUGCGCUUUCCUUGGAUGACUUUGUCAGCCCAUUAUACCUUAUUGCGCAUCCAAUAAACCCACGUGGACCCCUUGGGGCAUGGUGGGCCCACCCAAUGGGCCCCCGGAAGCCAUUCGUCACUGCUGGUACACUGUCGGCAAUGCCCGAAAACCUUUCGGAAUCCAAACACCAACUUCUAUAUAUCAAUCUUCGUUUCCGGACCAUUCCGAAACUCCUCGUGACUUCCGAGAUCUCAUCCGGAGCUCCGAACAAAACUUCGGUCACCAACACAUAUAAUCAACUAUACCAAAACAUCAUCUAACCUUAAGUGUGCAGACCCCGCUGGUUCGAAAACUAUGCAGACAUGACCCGAAACACUCUCUGGUCAAUAACCAACAGCGGGACCUGGAUGUCCAUAUUGGCUCCUACAUAUUCUACGAAGAUCUCUAUCGGUUGAACCUCUAUGUCAAGGAUUCAUAUAAUCCUGUAUACUAUUCCCGUUGUCCUUCGAUAUGUUACUUGCUCGAGAUUCGAUCGCCGGUAUCUCUAUACCUAGUUGAAUCUCGUUGCCGGCAAGUCUCUUUACUUGUUCCGUAAUACAAGAUCCCGUAACUAACUCCUUAGUCACAUUGCUUGCAAGGCUUGUUGUGAUGUUGUAUUACCGAGUGGGCCCCGAGAUACCUCUCCGUCACACGGAGUGACAAAUCCCAGUCUUGAUCCAUGCCAACCCUACAGACACCUUUGGAAAUACCUGUAGAGCACCUUUAUAGUCACCCAGUUACGUUGCGAUGUUUGAUAACCCACAAGGAAUUCCUCCGGUGUCCGGGAGUUGCAUGAUCUCAUGGUCAUAGGAACAGAUACAUUGACGUUUAUAGUUUGGGUCUUGUCCAUUACAUCAUUCUCCCAAUGACGUGAUCCCGUUAUCAAAUGACAACACUUGCCUAUGGCCAGGAAACCUUGACCAUCUUUGAUCAACGAGCUAGUCAACUAGACGCUCACUAGGGACAGUGUUUUGUCUAUGUAUCCACACAUGUAUUUUUGUUUCCAAUCAAUAUAAUUAUAGCAUGGAUAAUAAACGAUUAUUAUGAACAAGGAAAUAUAAUAAUAACCAAUUUAUCAUUGCCUCUAGGGCAUAUUUCCAACAGUCUCUCACUUGCACUAGAGUCAAUAAUCCAGUUCACAUCACUAUGUGAUUUUAACGAAUCCAACACCCAUACAGUUCUGGGGUUUGAUCACGUCUUGCUUGUGAGAGAGGUUUUAGUCAACGAGUCUGAACCUUUCAGAUCUGUGUGUGCUUUACAAAUCUCUAUGUUAUCCUGUAGAUGCUGCUACUACGUGCUAUUUAGAAAUAUUCCAAAUGACUACUCUACUAUACGAAUCCAGUUUACUACUCAGAGUUAUUCCGAUUAAUGUCAAAGCUUGCAUCGAUGUAACCCUUUACGACGAACUCUUUAAUCACCUUCAUAAUCGAGAAAAAAAAUCCUUAGUCCACUAGUUACCAAGGAUAACUUUGACCAAUAUUUAGUGAUUCAAUCGUGGAUCACUUUUUGUAUCGCUUGACAGGCUCAUGGCAAGGCACACAUGGGGWUAGGUACAAGCUUGGCAUACUUUAGAGCCUAUGGCUAAGGCAUAGGGGGUGACCUUCGCCCUUUCUCUUUCUUCUGCCAUGGUCGGGCUUUUGAGUCUUACUCAAAUUCACACCUUACAACACAACCAAGAACUCCUUCUUUGCUGAUCUAUUUUGAACUUCUUCAAAAACUUGUCAAGGCAUGCAUUUCAUUGAAACUUCUAUUAAGCGUUUUGAUAUAUCUCUAUAGAUCUUGACGCUCAAUGUUCAAGUAGCUUUAUCUAGGUUUUUUCUUUGAAAAACUCCUUUCAAACAACCCUUUAUGCUUUACAGAAAUUCUACAUUACUUCCGAUCAACAAUAUGUCAACCACAUAUACUUAUCAGAAAUUCUGUAGUGUUUCCACCCACUUCUUUGGAAAUACAAGUUUCUCAUAAACCUUGUGUAAACCCAAAAGCUUUGAUCAUCUCAUCAAAGCGUAUAUUCCAACUCCGAGAUGCUUGCACCAGUCCAUAGAAGGAUCGCUGGAGCUUGCAUACUUGUUAGCAUCCUUAGUAUCGAAAAAACCUUCUGGUUGUAUCACAUACAACCUUUUAUGAAGGAAACCGUCGAGGAAACAACGUUUUGACAUCCUAUGUGCAAUAUUUCAUAAAUAAUGGAGCAACUGCUAACAUAAUUCCAACAGACUUUUAGUAUCGCUACGAGUGAAAAAGUCUCAUCAUAGUCAACUCUUUGAACUUGUCGGAAACAUCUUUGCGAUAAGUCGAGCUUUUCUUAAUGGUGACUUUUCACCAUCAUCGUCUGUCUUCCUCUUAAAGAUCCAUCUUUACUUAAUAGUCUUACGACCAUCAAGUAGUUUUUCCAAAGUCUACCCUUUGUUUUCAUACAUGGAUCCUCUUUCGGAUUUCAUGUCUCCAGCCAUUUGCCGGAUUCCGGGCCCACCAUUGCUUCUCCAUAGCUCGUAGGUUCAUUGUUGUUCAACAACAUGACCUCCAAGACAGGGUUACCGUACCACUCUGUUGCAGUACGCAACCUUGUCGACCUACGAGGUUUGUAGUAACUUGAUCCGAAGAUUAAUAAUCACUAUCAUCAGUUUCCACUUCAAAUGGUGUAGGCGCCACAGGAACAACUUCUUGCGCCUUGUUACACACUGGCUAAAGUGACGGUUCAAUAACCUCAUCAAGUUCCACUACCCUCCCACUCAAUUCUUUUGAGAGAAACUUUUCCUCGAGGAAGGACCUAUUUCUAGAAACACUUUGCUUCCGGAUCAGAGAUAGGAGAUGUACCCAACUGUUUGGGAUAUCCUAUGAAGAUGCAUUUAUCUGCUUUGGGUUUGAGCUUAUCAGACUGAAAUUUUUUCACAUAAGCGUCGUAGCCCCAGACUUUCAAGAAACGGCAGCUUAUGUUUCUCCAAACCAUAGCUCAUACGGUGUCAUCUCCAGGGAAUUACGUGGUGCCCUAUUUAAAAUGAAUGCGGUUUUCUCUAAUGCCUAGCCCAAAACGAUAGUGGUAUUUCGAUAAGAGACAUCAUAGUACGCGCUAUAUCCAAUAGGGCGCGGCUAUAACGUUCGGACACACCAUCACACUAUGGUGUUCUAGGUGGCAUGAAUUGCGAAACAAUUUCCAUAUUGUCUUAACUGCGUACCAAAACUUGCAACUCAGUUAUUCAUCUCUAUGAUCAUAUCAUAGACAGUUUAUCCUCUUGUCACAACGAUCUUCACUCUGAAACAACUUUGAAUUUUUUAAUAUUUCAGACUUGUGAUUCAUCAGGUAAAUACUCUUGUAUCUACUCAAAUCGGCAGUGAAGUAAGAACACGACGAUAUCCACUGCGUGCCUCACCACUAAUUGGACUGUACGCAUCAAAAAUGUAUUACUUCCGACAAGUUACUUUCUUGUUUCAUCUCACUCGAAAACGAGGCCUUCAGUCAUCUUGCCUAUGUGCUAUGAUUUGCAUGUCUCAAGUGAUUCAAAAUCAAGUGAGUCCAAAUGAUCCAUCUGCAUGGAGAUUCUUCAUGCGUUUAUACCAAUAGGUAUGGUUUGCAUGCCUCAAACAUUUCAAAAAUGAGUGAGUACAAAGAUCCAUCAGCAUGGAGCUUCUUCAUGCAUUUUACACCAACAUGACUCAAGUGGCAGUGCCACAAGUAAGUGGUACUAUCAUUACUACUUUGGAUCUUUUGGCAUCAAUAUUAUGAACAUGUGUAUCACUACGAUCGAGAUUAAAUAAACCAUUGAAUGUAAUUAUUCAAGCAAAUAGAAUAACCAUUAUUCUCAUUAAAUGAAUAAUCGUAUUGCAAUAAACAUGAUCCAAUCAUGUUCAUGCUCAACAUAAACACCAAAUAACAAUUAUUUAGGUUUAACACUAAUCCCGAUGGUAGAGGGAGCGUGCGAUGUUUGAUCACAUCAACCUUAGAAUUACUCCAACCACACAUCGUCACCUCACCCUUGCUAGUAUCCUUUUAAUCCGUAGCUAUAAUAUCGAGUUAUUAACACUUAGCAACUGAACCAGUAUCUAAUACCCUGGUGCUACUAGGAAUACUAGUAAGGUACACAUCAAUAUCAGGUAUAUCCAAUAUAUUUUAGUCAACUUUGCCAACCUUCUCAUCUACCAAGUAUCUAGGGUAGUUCCGCCUCAGUGACCGUUCCCCUCAUAACAGAAGCACAUAGUCUCGGGUUUGGGUUCAACCUUGGGUUUCUUCAUUAGAGCGGCAAUUGGUUUGCCAUUUCAUGAAGUAUCCCUUCUAUCCCUUGCCCUUCUUGAAACUAGUGGUUUUACUAACCAUCAACAAUUGAUGCUCCUUCUUGAUUUCUAGUUUCAUAGUGUCAAACAUUGCGAAUCGCUCAAGGAUCAUCAUAUCUAUCCUUGAUAUGUUAUAGUUCAUCACGAAGCUCUAGUAUCUUGGUGGCAGUGACUUUGGAGAACCAUCAUUAUCUUAUUUGGAAGAUUAACUCCCACUUGAUUCAAGCGACUGUUGUACUCAGACAAUCUGAGCACAUGCUCAACGAUUGAGCUUUUCUCCUCUACUUUGUAGACAAAGAAUCUUGUCGGAGGUCUCAUACCUCCCAACAAGGGCACGAGCAUGAAAUCUCAAUUUCAUCCCUUAAAACAUCUCAUAUGUUCUGUAACGUUCAAAACCGUCUUCGGCGCCUUACUUCUAAGCCGUUAAGUAUUACGCACUGAACUAUUACCUAGUCAUCAAAAACGUGUAUGUCAGAUGUUCGCAACAUCCACAGACGAUGCUCGAGGUGCAGCANNNNNNNNNNNNNNNNNNNNNNNNNNNNNNNNNNNNNNNNNNNNNNNNNNNNNNNNNNNNNNNNNNNNNNNNNNNNNNNNNNNNNNNNNNNNNNNNNNNNUAUCUUUCUUUUCUGAUAAUGCCUGGGCAUCUUCUGACUCCUUGUACUCUUGAAAUUCCUUCCAUGUUCGCCUGCUUGGCUAGAUACCCCUCGAAUACUGGCACUUUCUUUGUCUUCAAAGUUUUUCAAGCUUUUCUUCCAUAGGAAAGUUCGGCCAUUUCUUUAGAGUCCACGUGAUUUGGCCCUCAGUUUGUCUGCGGCGUCUUCAUUCUCAAUUCUGGCAGGUUGAAAUGUGACAUGAGAUCAUUCCAAAGAUUUCUUUGUACCUUUCGGCGACAUAGUCACAAUCGGCUGCCCCUUUGCACUUGUUCCACUCCCAACGCUGUCGGGAGUGAUCCCAGGAUCCGCAUUGCUUCUUGAAUGWSUCMGUGUGACGGAGAGGUAUCUCGGGGCCCACUCGGUAAUACAACAUCACAACAAGCCUUGCAAGCAAUGUGACUAAGGAGUUAGUUACGGGAUCUUGUAUUACGGAACAAGUAAAGAGACUUGCCGGCAACGAGAUUCAACUAGGUAUAGAGAUACCGGCGAUCGAAUCUCGAGCAAGUAACAUAUCGAAGGACAACGGGAAUAGUAUACAGGAUUAUAUGAAUCCUUGACAUAGAGGUUCAACCGAUAGAGAUCUUCGUAGAAUAUGUAGGAGCCAAUAUGGACAUCCAGGUCCCGCUGUUGGUUAUUGACCAGAGAGUGUUUCGGGUCAUGUCUGCAUAGUUUUCGAACCAGCGGGGUCUGCACACUUAGGGUGCUACCUGAUUGCUUGGUUGAGGAGCUAUCCGGACGCCCCUCAAACCUGCAACAACCACAACACGGUGUUUCGCGACAUCCUUUACCUCGUUGAGAACCAGGUGCCUUUCAUUCUUUUAGAGGGCAUCAACGGUCGCGCCAAAAGCAGUGGUCUACUCCCGUACAUGGCAAGAUAUAUCCAGAGGCUGCUGCAUGCUCAGCUGUACAUCAGCCCAGAGAAGCCGAGGCUGCCGGAGCACCCAUCCCCACCUGCCUACACCUAGUGCACACAUACNNNNNNNNNNNNNNNNNNNNNNNNNNNNNNNNNNNNNNNNNNNNNNNNNNNNNNNNNNNNNNNNNNNNNNNNNNNNNNNNNNNNNNNNNNNNNNNNNNNNGCCAGCCAGAGGGCAAUUUCUUCAGAUCCAGUGAGAGGAAAACAAAGCUCUUUGUAGGGGAAUUUAAUCCUUGACCCUUUGGUUUGUUGGAUCAAAUUACAAGACUAACAAACUCUCCCAACCUUAGUUAUUAUCUAACAAAUAGAAAUAAUACAGUUGAACCUUCUUUACGUUCGCAUAAAAAAAACAUGUUUUUUGUCUUGGAUUUCUAUUAGUGCGUCAGUUUUGUUGGUGUUUUAGCGAAUAGUCAGAUAGGUGCUUCUAUUAAUGUCACAGACAAAGUUAGAUGUCUCCGUGAGGCCCGAACCUUUGAGGGGUGCCGCAUGAGGACUCGUGUAUUCGCAGACGCUUCGACACUGGUGAGGAUGGUGUUACUGAUGUGGUCGAUGACGUGUCUGUGCGAGAUGUAGUUAGAGAGCUAAGAAAGGGACUAAGUGAAAGUUACCGUUAACUUCUGUGAUUAUAACAUAGGUACAAACAUCAUGGAACCAUUUACUCAGGAAAAAACAAAUUGUACCAUACCCCGAAAAUUAUCUGUAAACAACAUGGUAAUUUAUGCAACACAUACCUGACAACUUACGUACCCACGGGCCUCAAAAAAUUUAGCCGACGAAAUAUUGUUCAACCCCCCCCCCCCCACCCGCCGGCACGCGCGCGCCUAACUUUUCUGUAAAUAUUAUGAUAAUUCAGGCUGUUUACUUUGACAUUGGGGAAAAACAUGUUGAAACGUACCCCAUUACUUCUGUAGAAAUAGCAUGGUUCUUUAUGCGCAGCAUACCUGAGGAUCUACAUAAAAACAACAUGUUAAAUUUGAGCCGGAGGACAAAGUGGGAGAAAACAUAUCCCUGACAACUUCUAUGUAAACAACAUGACAAUUUAAGCACGGCGAAGCUGGUAACUGGAGAUUAUAUAUAGGUCAUCAAUUUUACAAAUAUAAUAUGAAGUCUAUNNNNNNNNNNNNNNNNNNNNNNNNNNNNNNNNNNNNNNNNNNNNNNNNNNNNNNNNNNNNNNNNNNNNNNNNNNNNNNNNNNNNNNNNNNNNNNNNNNNNGGGAUUGCCAUCAAAACUGAUGCACUAGAGCUAACGAGUAUGUGAAAGCUGUUAAGAAAAACUAAUGGGUGUGCAUCCAACUUGCUUGCUCACGAAGACCUAAGGCAAAAAAGCCUAUCAUUGGAAUAUACAAGCCAAGUUAUAUAAUGAAAAUUUCCCACUAACUAUAUGGUGGUGACAAAACGAAGAGACUCUCAAUCAUGAAGAUCAUGGUGCUUAAUAUGCACAAGUGUGGAUAGGUGGUAGCAUUGUCCCUUCUUCUCUUUUUCUCUUCUCUUUUUUUUGGAUUGGGCUCUUUGGUCCUCUUUUUUUUUCUUUUUUUAAUUAUUUUGGUGGGCAUCUUUGGCCUCUUUUAUUUCCUCUCAAGGGACAAUGCUCCAUCAAUGAUGAUCAUCACACUUACAACUCAAAAACUUAGAGCAAUGAUGACUCUAUAUGGAAUGCCUUCGGUAGUGUACUGUGACAAUGAUCUAGCAUGGCAUGGACAUUAAUGUAAACAUCAUGCUAGCUAUCUUACGAUCAUGCAAUGGCAAUGUAGAAGUGGUGGCACAUGUCAUGGUGGUAGUUGCAUGGCAAUAUAUCUCGGAAUGACUUUGAAAAAGCCAUAGUAGAUAGGUAUGGUGACUGUUUUGAGGGAGGCUAAUGGUGGGUUUUGUGCACCGGCGAAAGUUGCACGGCACUAAAGAAGAUAGUGAUGGUGGAAGGUGAAAGUGCAUCUAAACCAUGGACUCAACAUUAGUCAUGAAGAACUCAUAUACUUGUUGCAAAAGUUCUAGUAGUAAUCGAAACAAAGCAUUCAACGCAUAUUCCUAGGGGAAGGGUUGGUAGGUAUAAACCAUAGCGCGAUCCCGACCGCCACACAAAGGAUGACAAUCAAUAGACUAAUCAUGCUCAGACUUCAUCACAUAGCGGUUCAUCAUACGUGCAUGCUAUGGGAAUCACUAACUUCAAUACAAGUAUUUCUAGAUCCACAAUACCUUACUAAUAUAACUUCAAUAUUACCAUAACCACAACUCAAAACUAGUUGAGAUGAAUCAAACUUCUCUAACUAUUCAAUGCACAUGAAGGUGGAAGUUUUCAUAUCCCUUUGGAUAACUACCCCUUUUGAGACUACUUUCAUAGCAUAGAUCAACUACCAAGCCAAGCACCGCCGUGCUCUAAAAGAUAUAAGUGAAGCACAAAGAGCAAAAGCAACUAGCUCAAAAGAUAUAAGUGAAGCACAUAUGAGCUGAAUUGUCUAACCAAAGGAUAUAAGUGAAGCUCGACAAAAUCACGGUGAGUGCAUGUCUCUCUCUCUAGGUGUGCAGCAAGGAUGAUUGUGACACAACAAAAAUAAAAGACUCCUAUGAUACAAGACGCUCCAAGCAAAACACAUAACAUUUGGUGAAUAAAAAUAUAGCCCCAAGUAACGUUACCGAUGGAUUAAAGACGAAAGAGGGGAUGCCUUCCCGGGGCAUCCCCAAGCUUAGGCUUUUACGACAUCCUUGAAUCAUCUUGGGGUGCCUUGGGCAUCCCCAAGCUUGAGCUCUUGCCACUCUUUAUCUUUUUGUCCAUAAGAACUUCACCCAAAACUUGAAAACUUCACAACACGAAACUUAAACAGAAACUCGUGAUAACAUUAGUAUAAGAAAGCAAACCACCACUUCCUUAGGUACUGUAGCAAACUUAAAUUCUACCUAUGUUGAUGUUGGCUUACUGUAUUUUCAAUCUUCCAUGGCUAAUACCCCCCGAUACUAUCAAUAGUUUCAUCAAAAUAAGCAACCAACACAACAAAAACAGAAUCUGUUAACAGCAGACCAGUCUGUAGCAAUCUGUAAACUUCGUAUACUUAUGUUACUUCAAAAAUUCUAAAACAUUACGACAGUCUGAAGAAUUUGCGUAAAAUCUGCAGAAAAGAGAAUCAACUCAAAAGCUCUUACAGAAAAAAAUGAAAAUUCUUUUCGUGAUCAGAAAGUUUCUGUCUUUUCCAGCAUGACCAAACGAUCAUCCCCAAGACUAAUCAUAACGGUUUUUGCUUGGCACAAACGCAAAAAGAAACACAAAAAACACAAUCAUAACAGAAUUAUGAAAGUGAGGAAAACACAAAACAGAUGGGUGAAGCUGACAGGAGGCGGGGUAGUUGUAGACCAAAAGUACGACAUGACAACAGUGGAUCUCUACAAUCUUGCGUACAUGGACGAACCAUUUGCCUAGCCAAUGAUGUCGCUCAGGUUUUCUAUGUGAAGGACAUGUCUACAUUAACGAGAAAAGGAAAUCAGCAAACGAAAAUAUCGUACCGAUGAGCCAAAACGCCACAUAGUUCUUUACAGGGAAAACGUGCUAGNNNNNNNNNNNNNNNNNNNNNNNNNNNNNNNNNNNNNNNNNNNNNNNNNNNNNNNNNNNNNNNNNNNNNNNNNNNNNNNNNNNNNNNNNNNNNNNNNNNNGAUACCAAAACCAUCGCACUAUAUAAUAACAAAAAUAAUGAAAGUGAUUAAUUUAUACAAGUAUGUAUCUAAAUCAUACAAGUAAGAUUUUUUUUCUUUUGAAAAAUAAGAUAAGAACAAGAGGCUCACCACGGUGGUGCUCGCGACGAGAUCGGCACGGGGCAAUCGACAAUGGUGAGGACAGGCACGGGACGACACCCUACGCAUGUGCAGACUCUAAGAAGUUAAUUUGAGCAUUUGAAAUGAGCUACACUAGCAGUGACAAAUGAAAGGAUGAAGUAGCUAACCUUUUAAAACACUUGUGUAGUUGGUGCACGGCCAAACCUAGACAAAUAUUAAGGAAAAUGGAGCUUGGAGGUCGAGCUUGGAGAGGAGAAAGCUUAAGUAGAGUGGCUCGGGCAUUUCGUCGAACACGUCAUGUGCAUGAACUAGAGUCACACUUCAACAACCAAAAAACAGGGGAUAUGGUGGGCAGGGGCGAGGGUUUAUAUAGGCAACACUUUAGUCCCGGUUCGUUCCACGCCCCGGGACUAAAGGCCCCUGCUUCCCGCCUUCUGGUCUGACCGAAAARGGKCCUUUAGUCCCGGGUCGUGGCUCCACCCGGGACUAAAGGGGUCUUUAGUCCCGGAUCGNGCCCCGAACCGGGCUAAGAUCCACUUGUCUAAGCGGGAGUUAGAAAANNNNNNNNNNNNNNNNNNNNNNNNNNNNNNNNNNNNNNNNNNNNNNNNNNNNNNNNNNNNNNNNNNNNNNNNNNNNNNNNNNNNNNNNNNNNNNNNNNNNUUAGCAUUUAAGACGACGUUACCUGUAACUAGGCAUUUAUUCGCCACCACUCACCCCUGUGCACGAACCAUUGUGGAGGGCAGCGCACUCUAUAUAAGCCACCUCCCCCACCUGGUGCAGGGAUUAGCAACUCAUGGUAUUCCAUAUUCCACUUGACAACAAGCUCCGAGAGCACUGAGACUUAAGGCUAUUACCUCCACCGCAGAGGGGCCUGAACUCAUACAACCUCGCCGUAGCUAAGGCUCUGCCCAUCCUUUCGUACCCUACACAUCUACUGUCAGGCUUAUACCCACGAGAGUUGGCGCCCACCAUGGGGCAGGCGUCUAAGCGACUUCCGGCGAGUUUGCGACUACAUCAUUUCAUCAUGUCUUCCGGUGGAGAUUCGAGCAUGGCUCACGAGAUCUUCUUCGGCGCUCUCUCCUUCAUCGUCGACGAUUCGGCAUGGCUUCGGGACGCCCCUCUCGACGUCGAGGCGCUUCCCCGCCGCGGGGCUACUCACUUUCGUGCCAGCGCCCGCGGCAUUCUUCUUCUCCAGCAGUCGGCUCCGGUGUCGACCUGCACCGUCGUCACGUGCCGCAACAAGCGGUCCCGCCGUCCGCGGUUCAAGCGUUGGGUGCAACACGCCCAGGUGCGCCAGAACGCGUCUUCACAAGUGGAGGUUCUAGAGUCGGUUGUGGUUGCCCCGCUGUCCCAGCGCUCGGACUCGGUUCCGACUGAGUUUCCUUCCGAGUACGCGGGUCGCGGGCCUGCAGCAGAAUUACACAUGGCCAACUCCCAUGAAGAUCCCCAUCAAGCUGGCCGGAACGAGCACGAGAUCGGCGAAACGUUCGGCGCGCGUCGUCCACCUCGCCGUUCUGCCAAUCGGCACACUCGGCGGAGCAACGUGGAGUUGUUCCGCACACCCCUUCUCAACUUGGCUGCGGCUGCCAAGAUAGCCGAUUCCCUUCAGCCGACUGAUUCAGAUACUGGUAGGSAUCAAGAUCUAUGGAGAUAGAUCGAGACACCUCAUAGGUAUUUCGCAAAUUACAUACCUUGACAAGAUAGAAGUUCAAUAUGGAAAACUCAAARRAAGGGUUCUUGCCAGUUUUGUAAGGUAUGAGAUUGAGUAAGACNNNNNNNNNNNNNNNNNNNNNNNNNNNNNNNNNNNNNNNNNNNNNNNNNNNNNNNNNNNNNNNNNNNNNNNNNNNNNNNNNNNNNNNNNNNNNNNNNNNNCCUUUGCCGAUAGCAGAGACAGAACAAUUGUAGCUUUAGGUCGGGCAUAGAUAGCUCUUUGCCAAAGGUACGAAAGUGAUACCCGUUGAUGUUAGUGCAUUUGAUAGCACGUAUUAGAUCCAGCCAGGUGUGUUGAUGCAGUUUUUGUUUGAUUUGUAGUAUGUGUUGCUUGGCCCCCAUGAGUAGGAAUGAUCAAAUCAAUCGUUUUUCCACAUCCGGGCCCGAGCGCUGGAACUUGUGAUAUGUGGGUCAUUGGUCGCAAAUUGCUAGCAACAAGCCAUGCUCGAGAUGUGUUGUUUUCCCAAGCAUGGACAUAACUACUCUCUCCCUCUUCUCACCGGUCUCUCCCCCACUCUCCAAUCUCACACCAUCUGUGGCGAGCGUGAAAUAUGGGCAUUGAGCAAUGGCGACGUUAACCGGUUUUACCACCUCAGUAGCACGCACUUGGCAAUGGCGGUAAGCCCUCUCUCCUUGUACUCAAAACCUCCACUUGUGAAGACGCGUUCUGGCGCACCUGGGCGUGUUGCACCCAACGCUUGAACCGCGGACGGCGGACCGCUUGUUGCGGCACGUGACGACGGUGCAGGUCGACACCGGAGCCGACUGCUGGAGAAGAAGAAUGCCGGCGGGCGCUGGCACGAAAGUGAGUANNNNNNNNNNNNNNNNNNNNNNNNNNNNNNNNNNNNNNNNNNNNNNNNNNNNNNNNNNNNNNNNNNNNNNNNNNNNNNNNNNNNNNNNNNNNNNNNNNNNGAAUGGCGGACCAUUUCAUUGUAUAUCUUCACCAACCUAAAAGAAGUGCGGCCGUACAUCGAGUAAGGUCUCGGUAAUUUAUUGUUCCGCAACUUCUAAUUACUUUGAACUACUCUUAUUCCCGGAUAUUUGAUAUAGUCGAUACGUCUCCGAAUUCUCGGAUGGAGCGGUCAUCAAAAAGGNUUCCGUCGAAGAGUAUGAGCUUUCUCGCAAAGCAUGGAGGCGACUAUCCCAGUUUCAUCUCUUGCUUCAAACAAAGGGUAAUUAAUUACCAUUUAAGGGCCCAUUUGAUUUAUUGGUCUAAUUUGCGGCUAAUGCAUCCAUUAUCCGGAUGACUCUAAGUCACAGACCGGGUUACAUAUAUGUUUUGAAUGGUGGGCAGUGAGAUGGUGCAGCAGCAAGCAAGAAGUCGUGGCCGCAUCUACAUGUGAAGCGGAGUACAUAGCUGCUUCAGAACACUACAAGAAAUAUGUCCAUUUAUGACAAAAAUAUAACGACCAGGGUUUAUUGGUCAUAGAUCAGUGACCAAAUAAUACAWMRMWSKCGGGGACUUAGCUGCGAUCAAGAAUCGCCUAAGUAAUAACUUUCUCCGAGUGUGCACUAAACGUAGCACUCGGGAACCGAGCCGCCAUCAAGAAUCGCCUCAGUACAAAUUUCCUCCGAGCGUGCACUACUCGUCACACUUGAAGACCUAACUGCGAUCAAGAAUCGCUUUAAUGGGAAAGCUUCCUGCGACUGUAUCCUACAGAUACACUCGGGGACUCAGCAGACCCUCAUUGAGGCUCAUGUAGAUGUCAAGACCACUGACAAUUACAUGAGUAGAAGACCCUCAUUGAGGCUCAUGUGGAUGUCAAGACCACUGACAAUUACAUGAGUAGUAGACCCUCAUUGAGGCUCAUGUGGAUGUCAAGACCACUGAUAAUUACAUGAGUACCAACUCGCUUCGAGUGAGGCCUGUCCGACUCACUCAACGACUUACCCACGAUCAUGAAUCGCCUAAGUACUCUAUUGCCUUUGAGUGUACNNNNNNNNNNNNNNNNNNNNNNNNNNNNNNNNNNNNNNNNNNNNNNNNNNNNNNNNNNNNNNNNNNNNNNNNNNNNNNNNNNNNNNNNNNNNNNNNNNNNCUCAAUGAGGGUCUUCUACUCAUGUAAUUGUCAGUGGUCUUGACAUCUACAUGAGCCUCAAUGAGGGUCUGCUGAGUCCCCGAGUGUAUCUGUAGGAUACAGUCGCAGGAAGCUUUUCCCAUUAAAGCGAUUCUUGAUCGCAGUUAGGUCUUCAAGUGUGACGAGUAGUGCACGCUCGGAGGAAAUUUGUACUGAGGCGAUUCUUGAUGGCGGCUCGGUUCCCGAGUGCUACGUUUAGUGCACACUCGGAGAAAGUUAUUACUUAGGCGAUUCUUGAUCGCAGCUAAGUCCCCGAGUGCGAAGUUUAGUGCACACUCGGGGAAAUUUAAUACUUAGGAAAUUCGUGAUCGCAGCUAAGUCCCCGAGUGCAACGUUUAGUGCACACUCGGAGAAAGUUAGUACUUAGGCGAUUCGUGAUCGCAGCUAAGUUCCCGAGUGCGACGUUUAGUGCACACCCGGAGUAAGUUAGUACUUAGACGAUUCGUGAUCGCAGCUAAGUCCCCGAGUGCUAGAAAACCGAUCUAGAGAAAGAAUUAUGAUCUAGAGGAGAGGGCAACACGUGGCAAAGUUGUGUCUCAAAAAGCCCUAAACCUCUAAUAUGUAUUGGAGGAGGGAAGAAGCAGCCUUGGCGCGCCAAGGAAGACCUCCUUUGGGUCGGCCGAAGUGGGGAAAGGAGGAGUCCUUCUCCAAUCCCACUUGGAUUAUGACUCCUUCCUUGUUUUCCCACCUCUUUUGGAUUUUCCACUUUUUCCUCAUGGGAUUUCUUUGGAUGACUUUUUAGUCUAUUAUACCUUAUUGCGCAUCCAAUAGACCCACGUGGACCCCUUGGGGGUGGUGGUCCCACCCAGUGGGCCCCCAGAACCNNNNNNNNNNNNNNNNNNNNNNNNNNNNNNNNNNNNNNNNNNNNNNNNNNNNNNNNNNNNNNNNNNNNNNNNNNNNNNNNNNNNNNNNNNNNNNNNNNNNUUACACACUGGCUAAAGUGACGGUUCAAUAACCUCAUCAAGUUCCACUACCCUCCCACUCAAUUCUUUUGAGAGAAACUUUUCCUCGAGGAAGGACCUAUUUCUAGAAACACUUUGCUUCCGGAUCAGAGAUAGGAGAUGUACCCAACUGUUUGGGAUAUCCUAUGAAGAUGCAUUUAUCUGCUUUGGGUUUGAGCUUAUCAGACUGAAAUUUUUUCACAUAAGCGUCGUAGCCCCAGACUUUCAAGAAACGGCAGCUUAUGUUUCUCCAAACCAUAGCUCAUACGGUGUCAUCUCCAGGGAAUUACGUGGUGCCCUAUUUCUAUACGGACAGACAAAGGGAAUUGUAUACGGGAUUGAUUGAAUCCUUGACAUCGUGGUUCAUCCGAUGAGAUCAUCGUGGAGCAAGUGGGAGCCACCAUGGGUAUCCAGACCCCGCUGAUGGUUAUUGGCCAGAGAGGUGUCUUGGUCAUGUCUACAUGUUCCCCGAACCCGUAGGGUCUACACACUUAAGGUUCGAUGACGCUAGGGUUAUAGGGAAUUGUUAUAAGAGGUUAUCGCUAGNNNNNNNNNNNNNNNNNNNNNNNNNNNNNNNNNNNNNNNNNNNNNNNNNNNNNNNNNNNNNNNNNNNNNNNNNNNNNNNNNNNNNNNNNNNNNNNNNNNNGGAUCCUGUACAACGGCACAUUAACACUGCACAUCGUUGGUAGGGUACGCAGCGCAAUGGAAAUCGUCGCCUCAAGCUGAGCUAUCUGGUGUGGCUGCAAGAAGCACUCUGUGGUACCUGUUGUUGUUGGCCAACUUGUUGUGGUUGAGGUUGUUGGAAAGAACAUUGWCCUGGAUSUCCAUAUUGGCUCCUACAUAUUCUACGAAGAUCUCUAUCGGUUGAACCUCUAUGUCAAGGAUUCAUAUAAUCCUGUAUACUAUUCCCGUUGUCCUUCGAUAUGUUACUUGCUCGAGAUUCGAUCGCCGGUAUCUCUAUACCUAGUUGAAUCUCGUUGCCGGCAAGUCUCUUUACUUGUUCCGUAAUACAAGAUCCCGUAACUAACUCCUUAGUCACAUUGCUUGCAAGGCUUGUUGUGAUGUUGUAUUACCGAGUGGGCCCCGAGAUACCUCUCCGUCACACGGAGUGACAAAUCCCAGUCUUGAUCCAUGCCAACCCUACAGACACCUUUGGAAAUACCUGUAGAGCACCUUUAUAGUCACCCAGUUACGUUGCGAUGUUGCUUUNNNNNNNNNNNNNNNNNNNNNNNNNNNNNNNNNNNNNNNNNNNNNNNNNNNNNNNNNNNNNNNNNNNNNNNNNNNNNNNNNNNNNNNNNNNNNNNNNNNNGGCGUCGGGGUCGUGGGCGGGGGUCAGGGUCCUUUUCUUUCUUCUUCUCCUCUCUCCUCUUUUUCUUCUUCUUCUUGUAUAUCCCUUGUGACCUCACUCGGCCUCCAUAACUCUAACUUUCUAUUAACCCUCGUUACUAGAAAUGGAAACUAUCUAGAAUCUAGUGUUUUUUUUAAGAUUUUUGCUUUCCUCCUUGAAAGAAGAGACCACCAUUGCAAAAGCACAAAGAAGCAACCGAUGCAUAUAUCUGAGGAUAAGUUUCAUUUUUUAUAUGUGCCACCGGAAUUUUCUAUUUUCCAAAUGUUGCAUCCAUGACAAGGAGGGGCCGGGCCCACCUGUCAUCGACACGGCGAGUGGCAUGUAUGUAUCAUGUGGCAGCAGAUAAUUAAAUUAAUGGACAACACAUCAUCUUGGAUUAAUCACUUUUGCUUUGAUAUGAUUUAAUUAAGGUUAGUGGGAAGAAACAAAAAGGCCUAGCUAGGAGACUGAAUCAUCUCUUGUUCUGAUCAGAAAAUGUACAUCAACCUCAGAUCCAAAUGGACUCCCAUGGUUCAUGGAUUCAUCGUCUAAAGCUAUCUAGAGUCAGGUACAAGGAAAGUUCAUCGUCAGAUGCACUGAAAUGAAAAAAAGAAAGAAAAAAAAUUGAACUCACCAGGGAAGUUGCCGUGGGAGGGUGUGGCCGCGGGGAGGGGGUGGACGCGGGAGGGGUGGUGGCCGGCCGGGACGGUUGUGGCCGCGGGGAGGGGGUGGCCGGCGAGGGAGGCGUGCUAGNNNNNNNNNNNNNNNNNNNNNNNNNNNNNNNNNNNNNNNNNNNNNNNNNNNNNNNNNNNNNNNNNNNNNNNNNNNNNNNNNNNNNNNNNNNNNNNNNNNNCCGGAAGCAAGGGAAUGGUACGGCGACGGGGUCGCCCACAUGACGCCGGAGGAGUUGGCGAGGAUGCUGCUCCAUGAUGGGUGCUACCUGUUGGGUUGGUUGGGGAACUAUCCAGACGCCCCUCAAACAUCCUGCCACGACCACAACACGGUCUUUCGUGACAUCCUUUACCUCAUCGAGAACCAGAUGCCUUUCUUCGUUCUUGAGAGGAUUCACGCCCCUUGGGUGCGCAGGAGGAGGCGAGAGGAGUGGAUCAAUCAAAGGCAAGAGAUCCGGCGAGCGUAACGAGAAAACCCUCGCCACUGAGGUUUAAGUAAGGUUCCGACUGCGUCACUGGCAGGUGGCCCCGAAACCCUAUCCCCCGACCAACCGCGGCGAUAUCAGUGGAGAAGAUGAAGGUGCAAGAAUCGAGGCGUCAAGCGCUACUCGAGCGCGAUGUCGGCAUCCCCACUGAGCGCGCGGUAACCGAAAUUUAAGGAUCCCGGAAAAUCCGCCGCUGUCAGUUGACUGGUCACGUCAGGAAWNNNNNNNNNNNNNNNNNNNNNNNNNNNNNNNNNNNNNNNNNNNNNNNNNNNNNNNNNNNNNNNNNNNNNNNNNNNNNNNNNNNNNNNNNNNNNNNNNNNNCCAUCACGCUGCCGGAGAACUCAUCUACUUCCCCGCCAUCUUGCUGGAUCAAGAAGGCGGAGAUUGUCAUCGAGUUGUACGUGUGCUGAACGCGGAGGUGCCGUCCGUUUGACGCAAGAUCAGAAUGGAUCGUGGGACGACGGUGAUUUGAAUCACGAAGCUGUACCACUACAUCAACCACGUUUCUUAACGCUUCCCGCUUAGCGAUCUACAAGGGUAUGUGGAUCCGAUCUCCCUCUCGUAGAUGAACAUCAACCUGAUAGGUCUUCGUGUGCGUACGAAAUUUUUUGUUUCCCAUACAAUGUUUCCUAACAGGUACGUACCGCUCGAUUGCCUUUUACAAUAGCAAAAUUAAAUGACAAAAAAAAUAUUUCUUCUUCUUGUAACCCUAAACUAAUUUUUCCUCUUCUUCUAUUUCUCCUCUUCUUCUACUUCUUCUUCUACUUCAACUUCUCCUCUUCUUCUACUACUUCUCCUCUCCUCUUCUUCUAUUUUCCUCUUCUUCUCCUCUCCNNNNNNNNNNNNNNNNNNNNNNNNNNNNNNNNNNNNNNNNNNNNNNNNNNNNNNNNNNNNNNNNNNNNNNNNNNNNNNNNNNNNNNNNNNNNNNNNNNNNUUCUUAUAUGCAUGAUUUGAUAUCCUUGUAAGUCUCUCCGAGUCUUGGGUUUUGUUUGGCCAACUAGAUCUAUGAUUUUGCAAUGGGAGAAGUGCUUAGUUUAGGUUCAUACCGUGUGGUGACUUUCCCAGUGACAGAAGGGGCAGCAAGGCACGCAUCAUGUUGUUGCCAUCAAGGGUAACAAGAUGGGCUUUUAUCGUAGAUAUGAGAUUGUCCAUCUACAUCAUGUCAUCUUGCUUAAGGCGUUACUCUGUUCUCAUGAACUUAAUACACUAGAUGCAUGCUGGAUAGCGGUCGACGUGUGGAGUAAUAGUAGUAGAUGCAGAAAGUAUCGGUCUACUUGUCUCGGACGUGAUGCCUAUAUGUAUGAUCAUUGCCUUAGAUAUUGUCAUGACUUUGCGCGUGUCGUGGGUAUAAGCCUGACAGUAGAUGUGUAGGGUACGAAAGGAUGGACAGAGCCUUAGCUACGGCGAGGUUGUAUGAGUUCAGGCCCCUCUGCGGUGGAGGUAAUAGCCCUACGUCUCAGUGCUCUCGGAGCUUGUUGUCGAGUGGAAUAUGGAAUACAAUGAGUUGCUAACCCCUGCACCAGUGGGGGAGGGUGGCUUAUAUAGAGUGCGCUGCCCUCCACAACGGUUCGGUACACAGGGGUGGAGUAGUGGCGAAUAAAUGCGUACGUUACAGGUAACGUACGUCUUAAAUGCUAAUAAAGGCACAUGGAAAUGUAUGACCGUUUCCCUCGAGGGGGGUUACGAUGCACAGAGUGGAAUCCAGUUGGUUAGUUUGAUAAACUCCGAAUGGUAAUCUCCGACUGGAUGGUCGAGGAUCUGUUACCGACUGGAUGAAGGGAACWCCUUAGUUCAGUCGGAACUGACUAAGGGCCUUGUCCCUUAUGAGGGGUAGUCCUUGGGUUGGACCUAYAGGGCAGGCCUAUGACCCUACCCUAGGACUAUGACCCCAUCAGCGCGGUUCUAUCAAUUUGCUCGACAGUAAUUUGUUCACCCACCGUAAUAUUUGCUAUUUUGAGAGAAGCCUCUAGUGAACACUAUGGCCCCCGGGUCUACUUCACAUCAUAUUCAAGACACUUACAGAAGCUGAGAGAGAGCAAAAGAAGCGGCAGAAGGAUGAGGAGAAUGACAAGUUCAACCAGUUGCUUGCCAGGAUUNNNNNNNNNNNNNNNNNNNNNNNNNNNNNNNNNNNNNNNNNNNNNNNNNNNNNNNNNNNNNNNNNNNNNNNNNNNNNNNNNNNNNNNNNNNNNNNNNNNNUGGGCCUUAGGACCACCAGCGCCUAGGGUUUCCCCCUCUCCCCACCUCCUGCGCCUUGGGCUGAGUGUGGGAGGCGCACCAGCCCACCUAGGGGGCUGGUCCCCUCUCGCACUUGGCCCAUCUAGCCUCCCGGGGUCGUUGCCCCCUUCCGGUGGACCCCCCGGGGGCCACCUCCGGUGGUCCCGGUGCGUUACCGGUGACGCCCGAAACACUUCCGGUGUCCGAAACCAUCCGUCCUAUAUAUCAAUCUUUGCCUCCGGACCAUUCCGGAGCUCCUCGUGGCGUUUGGGAUCUCAUCCGGGACUCCGAACAACUUUCGAUAACCUCGUAUAACAAUUCCCUAUAGCCCUAGCAUCAUCGAACCUUAAGUGUGUAGACCCUACGGGUUCGGGGAACAUGUAGAGAUGACCAAGACUAGCMUCUGUGGCCAAUAACCAUCAGCGGGGUCUGGAUACCCAUGGUGGCUCCCACUUGCUCCACGAUGAUCUCAUCGGAUGAACCACGAUGUCAAGGAUUCAAUCAAUCCCGUAUACAAUUCCCUUUGUCUGUCGGUAUAGAACUUGCGCGAGAUUCGAUCGUCUGUAUACCUAUACCUUGUUCAAUCUCGUUACCGGUAAGUCUCUUUACUCGUUCCGUAGCACGUCAUCGCGUGACUAACUCAUUUAGUCACAUUGAGCUCAUGAUGAUGUUCUACCGAGUGGGCCCAGAGAUACCUCUCCGCCACACGGAGUGGCAAAUCCCGAUCUCGAUUCGUACCAACCCAACAGACACUUUCAGAGGUACCCGUAGUGCACCUUUAUAGUCACCCAGUUACGUUGUGACGUUUGAUACACCCAAAGCACUCCUACGGUAUCCGGGAGUUGCACAAUCUCACGGUCGAAGGAAAAGACACUUGACAUUAGAAAAGCUUUAGCAUACGAACAAUACGAUCUAGUGCUACGCUUAAGAUUGGGUCUUGUCCAUCACAUCAUUCUCCCAAUGAUGUGAUCCCGUUAUCAAUGACAUCUAAUGCCUAUGACGAGGAAACCAUGAUCAUCUAUUUACUAACGAGCUAGCCAACUAGAGGCUUGCUAGGGACAUAUUGUNNNNNNNNNNNNNNNNNNNNNNNNNNNNNNNNNNNNNNNNNNNNNNNNNNNNNNNNNNNNNNNNNNNNNNNNNNNNNNNNNNNNNNNNNNNNNNNNNNNNGGUGCCCCACCCCUCCCCCCUGCCCUGGCCGCCGCACCUCCCAUCUGGGGGGCUGCCGCACCACCUAGGGUGGGAACCCUAGGGGUGGCACCCCCCUCCCCUCCUCCUAUAUAUAGUGGGAGUUUCGGUGCUCUUUUACACACAGUUUUCUCUCUCCCACGACGCAGUCGUGCUCUUCUUUCUCCUCCUCUCUGCCGGUGCUUGGCGAAGCCCUGCCGGGAGACCUCGUCUCUCCAUCGACACCACGCCGUCGUGCUGCCGGAGAUCUUCCCCAACCUCUCCCUCCUCCUUGCUGGAUCAAGGUGCGGGAGACGUCACCGGGCUGCACGUGUGUUGAACGCCGAGGUGCCGUAGUUCGGCACUAGAUCGGAAUCACACCGCAAUCUGAAUCGCCGCGAGUACGACUCCAUCAACCGCCUUCUAGUAACGCUUCCGCUUAGCGAUCUUCAAAUGUAUGAAGACGCACUCACCCCUCUCUCGUUGCUGGUCUCUCCAUAGGAAGAUCUGAAUAUGCGUMGGMWAMRCUUUGAAUUUAUGCUACGUUACCCAACAGUGGCAUCCGAGCCNNNNNNNNNNNNNNNNNNNNNNNNNNNNNNNNNNNNNNNNNNNNNNNNNNNNNNNNNNNNNNNNNNNNNNNNNNNNNNNNNNNNNNNNNNNNNNNNNNNNUAGGGCGAAUUCUGCUGCCAACCGUUACCACCCUCAUAAUCCUGCUGCUAAGAGAUUUCUUUUCAACUCCUCCAACAAAACUGCGAGUUUGAAAAUAGAUUUUCCUAACUGAACGUGUAGAUUUUCCAUGUCGGACCCACAUAUCAGCCGCUGGUACACCUAGCAUGCAUGCACAUAACUGGUUGUACUAUUCUAUUACUUAGAUCAAGUCAAUGGAACUUACGAAUUAUUUAGAACUUCGAUUCGCUUCUGCGUGCUAUAUAGAUCAUACUAAGCCUGUUUCUCCAUGGAUCCAUCGUCUGAAGCAGCUAAUCUCACAAAUUCGUGGCCUCUUACCAUUGUUGCAGGGUGGACGUGACUGGACGCAGUGGUAAGCCCCAAGCUCCUUCGUGUGUGUCCUAGAUUACUAGCACAUUAACUUGUCAUUUAUUGGGUAAUUGUAGUAUUUCGUUCAAAUUUUUUUGGAGCUAUAUACCUUCCAAAUGCAAUAAUACAUACAUUUUUUUCACUCUGUUUUCUACAAGGGGCGGGUAUGGAUAAGGUUGAACUGGCUAACGUUGCAAAGCCGGCUGAUGAGCCCACUCUAGGAGCAGCUUCGUCCUCAAUAUCAGCUGCUCGAGGAAUGAAAGGUAUGGAUCCAGUUAGAGGAUAGUAUGUAGCUCGAACCAAUAUAUAUCCGUUCGUACUCGUACCUAUCUUUGGAUUUUUCUCCUGGGAGCUUCUUGAUUAGCAAGUUGAACCACCGACCUUUUAGAGUUUUAGUUCACAAUGGAACAAAGGUGAACAAGCUUGCUGCUAUGCUAACAAUGCUUGGAUAUUAGCUUCCUUCAUUUAAUCUAGUUUCCUUCCUUUGCUCAGUAGGCGAUCGAAAAAUCGAUCUGUUUCUUGCUGUCCUGUUGCUAUGAGCUUCUGCCUUCUUGUUGGUUUCACCUAGUGCAGCCGCCAUUAUUGAAUCCACUGGGAGCUUCUUGCUACUUAUUUUGCGCAGUUGUUAUUUUUAUGAGGACGGUCUACUGCUGUUGUGUGCGUCACACUAGAUAGAACUGUCUCAAGCAUUUUAUUUUUGUUUUUCUUACUGACUUUUGGUAAUGUAUUCAUACUAUGCGCCUCCACAUAGUAUAGGGGUCAAAAAUGUACUUUUCCAUCAUCUAAAGAAUUUACAACUUUGAUUUGCGAUAGCUUGACUAAGAGUACAGUUCCUGUAAGAAAAUCUUCGUAAAAAUGGUUUUACGGGGUAUCCGUAUAGUGGAAGUUGACAGCAGGUGAAGUGUUUUUUAGUUCCCCUAAAACUUCCCCCAAAAGUGGUUUUUGGCGAUGGCAUGACGACGACGGCAAACUCUAGCAGCGGGCGGGCGGCACGAGCGUACUCCGUUGACGGUUAGGUGACGUGAAACUUUUUUGGGAAACGCCAUCUUCGCAUAGACUGAGGCAAUGUUUUGGAGAAAUUACAGGAUCUGCAAAAAUAAUUGCACGUUUCAGAAAACUAUUCAAGAACUUUUUUCAAUCCAACUUCACCUAAACAAUGGUUAUUUUACGAAAUAUGGGAACUGUUAGAGAUGCUGUUAAGACGGACCUAGAAAUAUCUAUAUUUGUGGAGAAAAGUGAGCACUCAACUAGCACCACAUGAUAUAAAUUGUGAAUUUACACCUUACUAUUUGGGAAUAAUUAAGUUGUCUACGCUAGUACUAAAUCAAAAUUUAGUUGGCAUUGAAGGUGGCACGGUGAUUCAAAUGCUAAACAAAGAAGGGUAGCGAUUUAUUCUUCGUUUCUACCAGAUGCUACAUCUUAAGCACCUUGGGAGCGUAAAUAAUUGUGAUCAUAUACAUGUAAAAUGACAGCAAGCCCACUGUUGUUGGUUUAAAUAAUGUCGGCUGCAUGUCGGCGUUCCGUGCCACCAGUAAGGUGGCUUCAUGGUCUGACGUACCGGCCCCAUGACAGACUGUCAAUGCUCGACAUGCUCGACGGUGAUGUGGUGCACAUCACCAUCCGUGGAGGACUCACGAACCAAGGCGCAGAGAAUGAAUGACUUGAAAGUAGGAUUAUAACUACGAUGGUUAACGAGCAAAGGGCAUGCAGCUACGUCAGCAAUGGAAGCCACCUUCUUGCAAGACAACUCAUUCGGUAGCAUUUGUUAGCAUGUAUUUUGUUAGAUGAAACACAUGUUGUGUGGUAACCUCCGAGUGAUGAGGUUACCAGCACACUGAGAACCAGGAGAUAGUAAAAACCAUAACUUAACUCAAGAAAAGUCGUAAAAAAACAAUUCAAUGAUUAAUUGGAACAACCCAUGCGGAGAGAACUUCCUACAUAUCCAUGGGAAAGGCCUCAUCAUGCUUCUCACACUUGGACACCACCUCGACGUUAUCGUCCUUGAAGACGAUCACAUUUAGCAUGUCGGGUGUCACUAGCUUCAAGGAGACUAGGUAUAUGUGAUCCAGAUUUGGUGACGAGCGGUGAAGGAGGCCCAACCCUGAUUGAGGGUGAGCCUAUCGUUGAUCCACCAGACCAUCACCCUCGAGGCAGCACUAGUGUUUGUCUUCAUCCUGAAUUACUUUAGGACAUCGGUGAAGUGAUUGGUGGGCUCCAGUGCCUUCGACAAACAGUCCAGCUUUGGUGCAAGCAUGGCAUUGUAGAAGUGGGUUGGCCCGGCCCUCAUGGAGAAGCUCGUAGUUUUUUACCGCGUUUGGGCAUUGCCGAGCUAUACCACCGCCUUUCCCUUCUUGUCGGAUGUAACCACCUCUUUGCCAUUGGAGUUCCCUGAACUACCCUGGUUGAUCUACAUUAUGAACAACAUGACUGAAGGUAAAUGAAGGGAUAAAUGCAACACACAUCAGGGACGGAGCCAACAUUCAUGCAUAGUGGGGGCAAGUUUGUUCAUGGAAGGGGUAAAGUUCAUAUAAAGUGAAACUUUGUUACUACAACAACUAUAAUCAUAGUAGAAGAAUCAAUUUGUUAGGGGGUCUAGCCCCCCUCGCCACCCCUAUAUUCCUCCUUGCACACAUAUGAGCACGAUCUAUGAAGAAUGCAUAAUUUAUUAAACCCCACCCACCACAUCAUUCAACUACCUUUUCCAAUCGUUUGUAUAUCUUUGUCUUCUACCAUCUCCUGUUAUAUAUAUUUGUCUCUUAGUCUUCUAACGUCUACUAUUCCAUAAGUCUGUAUCACUAUCUCUUUGUCUCACCACCUCUCCAUGCACGAACCCCAUCCAUGAACGCACUCCACUGCCACUUCAAACCAUCUAUAUAAUAUAUGGCUCUCUUUGUAUACUACCGUCGCCUCUCUAUUUCGUCUUUAUCUCACCACCUCUCCAUCGCCAUGAACCUCAUCCAUAAUCCCUUCCACGGGCAUUGGAUUUACCCCCUCCUCCAUCGUACUCGAUCCUGUUGAAACCACUUAAAUCCAUCAGAUUUCCUGAAUCUAGUAUCAAAUCUAGCCGGAGAGACAGAUUAAAUACCUAAUGUGCAAAUCGAGUUCGGGCAUGGUAUAAGAAAGGAAUCGUAGGCAACUAAAUUAGUUGAGUACAAGGAGAGAGGGCUUACCGCCAUUGCCAAGUGCGUGCUACUGAGGUGGUAAAACCGGUUAACGUCGCCAUUGCUCAAUGCCCAUAUUUCACGCUCGCCACAGAUGGUGUGAGAUUGGAGAGUGGGGGAGAGACCGGUGAGAAGAGGGAGAGAGUAGUUAUGUCCAUGCUUGGGAAAACAACACAUCUCGAGCAUGGCUUGUUGCUAGCAAUUUGCGACCAAUGCCCACAUAUCACAAGUUCCAGCGCUCGGGCCCGGAUGUGGAAAAACGAUUGAUUUGAUCAUUCCUACUCAUGGGGGCCAAGCAACACAUACUACAAAUCAAACAAAAACUGCAUCAACACACCUGGCUGGAUCUAAUACGUGCUAUCAAAUGCACUGUCGAUGUCUCCUACAUGACGGAACCUGCAGCUUUAAUGGUAUCCAAGCGGAGAUGCCAAUCCUGGGAUCUGUCAUGUCCCUGCACCAACGUAAGGCAGCGUAGGCAUGUCGAAGCCGAUUGAUAGAUAACUUGUGGUACAGUUCCCUUCGUACCAUCCUAGAUAUAUAACAGCAUCUACAGUCAGACUUCUCAAAUCCGUCUCAAACCUCCGGAGACGGGCCAUCCGGUCAAUGAUCCGUACAAAAAAAUCUACCUAACCGGAGUUCUCAAACUGCAGACAAAUGCCAGGAUUGAACGGCAUCCCUCAUAUCCAACCCAAAUCUAGGGUGGAUAUGAGGCAGUUUGGGCGCGCUCGGGGCCGUCCGCCCGGUCCACCGCUGGCACACUCUGAUCCCACAAAUCCCCCCUAAGCAAAUCCUAGGCUCACUUCACUCCGCUCCCCCACACUCGUGUUUCCCCAAUCCGUCCCAACCCGAGCGACGAUGACCAUGUCCAGCACCGGCAGUAAUUCCGAUGUUAGCUUCGGAAACAAGGACGAGUUGGCACUCCAUAUCGCGCUGGAUCACUCGCGGGUCGAUACAUGCAACAUGUCCGGUUCAGGUGCAAUGUCACCCAUCACCGAUCGCCACAACACUGACUCCGAAGCUGCUCCUUCACGGCUUGCGUGUGAAUCUGCGAGGGCGGACCAAUCGACACCACCCACUCAACGACCUGCUUCAUCUCCCCGCCGAUGUUCCGUGUACGCAGCGGUGGGUUCUAGGGAGAUGGAGGCACACGUCACCCACCACGGGAGGCAGACAGCAAGGGAGAUGGGCCUCGCAUCUGAUGUUGGUGUGUAGUCCGGCUGCCGCCACCAUAUGAUGCCGCUGCCAAUGAUGAGGAGCGUCUCCUUCAGUGGGUGUAUCGUCGGUCACUUACCACGGCGGAGACGGACGCCCGACGGCUGCGGAGGAUCAAUGUCAAGCAGCUCUAGCUCGACAUUGAGUAUUUUGAGCCGGAGGGCAUCGCUUGUCACUUGCAGGGCUCCAUCAUCAUCUGCGAUUUCUCCAACCAUGAUAGGUCCGACUCUGUCGGCUCCGACAUGGACCCACGUCCUUCCAGAGACGCCUACAACAGCGGCAGCAACCGGAAAAGCAAAGGGUCGGCUAGAAAGUGUUGAUGCUCCGCCCUUUCAUAUCUUGCUAGUAGUAUCUACUCCCUCCGUUCCUAAAUAUAAGACCUUUUAGAGAUUGCACUAUGAAAUACAUACAAAUGUACAUAGACAUAUUUUAGAGUGUGGAUUCAUUCAUUUUGCUUCGUAUGUAGUCUUGUAGUGAAAUAUCUAAAAGAUCUUAUAUUUAGGAAUGGAGGGAGUACAUCCUAGUAUUAGUUAGCAUUUGACGGAGAAUAUAAACUGUAUGAGCUAUGACCAAUCUUUUUUUGAUGUUUAUAUGUAAAUUUAUGCCCGUUUGCUAUUGGUUUAGAGUACGUUUCCUGUUGAUUUUUCUCGUCUGGUGAUCUACCUACUACGUUGCAUGAUCUUGUAUGAAUACAGGAUUUUAGAUAUGAGACGCGUUCGGGCGUAUAAGAUCUCAAAUUUGACAAAUCUGGCUGUAGAUGUUCUAAGUGCUCCCCGUACUGUUCAGCAUGUCCAAAAUUAAAUAACGUGACCAAGAGAGUCUAAAAGUCUAGGAAAUACCAACCUCUGUUCCGAAUUAGGCAAUACUCCCUCCAUUCAGGUUAAUUAUUGGAGGAACGAAUGUAGCAAGAUUUAUUUUAAUUCGAGAUACAUCUAUUUUAUUCAUUUCCGUGGCAAGUAAUUGGGGAGGGGAUGAGUAGUUAACUAGUCCGGUGAUCUACUUCUCCAUCGAGGUUACAUUCUGCUGGCCCUCACAACGCGCCAAGGUUUUUCAUGUGUAUAUGAAUAUGCUUACGGCUUUUAUUUAUAAUUUUCUUUUAUUAUCAAUGUAUGAGCAGACUGCAUUUACGCUAUCGGUCAGGAGCAGAAAGCCUUGGACAGACUCAUCAUGGAGGUCGGCAAUGACUCUGGAGACAAGAACGUUCGCCUGGAUGGACUUCAGAUAUCCAUGACAUGCAUUGCUAAAAUUGCUAAGGUGAGCUUCCUUUAUUAUUGUAUAUAUGUCUUUCUAUGUCGCCGUACGUGACCAGCAUUGCAUACUAAUACUAGCAUUAUUUCAUCGUAAGCACGGAUAAUGUAGUAGCAAGACAAAUAGAGAUAUUUCGGACCAAUGUAGGAAAUCCAGUGUGAUGUUUCGAAUAUUCUGGAACCCCCUCAUUUUAAUAAACCCGCUAACGAAACUCUAUGACCUUGCUUGAACAUGAUCUGUAUCCUUUACCAAUAAGGAAGCAAACACUUCAGUUUCUGCCCACUGAUCCAGAGCAUGUAUCACUGUAUCCACUUCAGUUUCUAUAAUGGGAUCAAUCCGUUGGCUGUAGAGAAUCGUUCCUGCCUGACUCACAUAUGUGCAGAGUCGCCCAGUGGUUGUGUGACAGACUUGAUCCCUUUUUUUAAAAACUUAUGAGAUUCUGUUUGGUGUGCAGGGCACUACGACAUACGAUCUGAAGAUAACCAGGAGCAUGGUCGGUGGGCUAUCACUGGAAUGGCAUCCUAAUAAAAAGCAGGUAAACCCCCCCCACCCCACAGAAAAAAACUUUCUCUCAUAUUUGCUUGCCAGCCAGCAGGAUUUCAUAUGGUGGUUUAUUCCAGGGACCAAUCAACCUUGACAAAGCAGCAGGAGAAACCACACCGGCUGCUACUCCUCAAAAAACAGUUGCUAAAGCCCUAUCUGAUGUUAUGCAUAUGUUAAGAGGAAAAUGACAGAAGAUGGAGUCCAAGAACCCAAAGAAAGCAAAAAAGGACAAAAAGAGCAGGCGUAAAAACUUUCGAACUUUGUGUAUGCCCCCUUUACAUUCCUCCUAAUAAGGAGUGCAUGAUGGCCAACUCCAUUUUUAAAUUAAAUUUGUAAUUCAACACAAAGGGGAUGUAAAAUGAUGCUUCCUGCGACUUUCAUUUAUUCAGUACACUAUCAUGGUUUGAUUGUUAUUUUUACAAUGGAUUAAGUUUUGUUUAUUACUAUUAUUACCACUAAUGCUAGGGUAAACUAGAUCUUCUCCUGCCAUUAAUCAAACUUUUCAUAUUCGAUCAAGUCUUCUAUUAUAUACUAAAAGGAAAAUAUGUAUCAAAAUAUAGAUGAAUAAUCUAGAAAAUCCCACGUUAAACAUAAACGUCUCACCUUCAAUUUUGUACACAAAAAACCCACAGCCGUUAGAUUAACUUAAAAGUUCAAUAAAUUAUCCACCAAUGUCAUUGCCAUUACAUUAAAACACGUCCUCCUCAAUUUCAAGUAACCGGUUAAAAUCUGAUCUCCCGAUGUGAACGUUGCUGCCGUUAUGAUCUCAUCUCCCGAUGCCCUAUCAUGGCCUCCGCGUCCGCCGGACAGCCAAGGAUGGCCGUGAUAGUGUUGGUACUAGACAGAACAAAUUGAGCCGACGUGCCUAGGUAAAUACCAUUUGAGCUUCCAUAUUGUCUACAUGAGGUUCUAGACAAUUCUUCACUGCAAGGCAAAAAAAGGCAAUCGAGCGGUACGUACCUGUUAGGAAACAUUGUAUGGGAAACAAAAAAUUUCGUACGCACACGAAGACCUAUCAGGUUGAUGUUCAUCUACGAGAGGGAGAUCGGAUCCACAUACCCUUGUAGAUCGCUAAGCGGGAAGCGUUAAGAAACGUGGUUGAUGUAGUGGUACAGCUUCGUGAUUCAAAUCACCGUCGUCCCACGAUCCAUUCUGAUCUUGCGUCAAACGGACGGCACCUCCGCGUUCAGCACACGUACAACUCGAUGACAAUCUCCGCCUUCUUGAUCCAGCAAGAUGGCGGGGAAGUAGAUGAGUUCUCCGGCAGCGUGAUGGCGCGCCGGUGAUGGUGAUGAUCUAUUCCUGGAGGACUCCGCCCGAGCUCCGCAAAAAACCGAUCUAGAGGAAAAACUAUGAUCUAGAGGAGAGGACAACACGUGGCAAUGUUGUGUCUCAAAAGCCCUAAACCUCUAGUAUAUAUAGGAGGAGGGGAGGGGCAGCCUUGGCGCGCAAAGGAAGACCUCCUUGGGUCGGCCGAAGUGGGGAAGGGAGGAGUCCUUCUUCAAUCCCACUUGGAUUAGGACUCCUUCCUUAUUUUCCCACCUCUUUUGGAUUUUCAACUUUUUCCUCAUGCGCUUUCCUUGGAUGACUUUGUCAGCCCAUUAUACCUUAUUGCGCAUCCAAUAAACCCACGUGGACCCCUUGGGGCAUGGUGGGCCCACCCAAUGGGCCCCCGGAAGCCAUUCGUCACUGCUGGUACACUGUCGGCAAUGCCCGAAAACCUUUCGGAAUCCAAACACCAACUUCUAUAUAUCAAUCUUCGUUUCCGGACCAUUCCGAAACUCCUCGUGACUUCCGAGAUCUCAUCCGGAGCUCCGAACAAAACUUCGGUCACCAACACAUAUAAUCAACUAUACCAAAACAUCAUCUAACCUUAAGUGUGCAGACCCCGCUGGUUCGAAAACUAUGCAGACAUGACCCGAAACACUCUCUGGUCAAUAACCAACAGCGGGACCUGGAUGUCCAUAUUGGCUCCUACAUAUUCUACGAAGAUCUCUAUCGGUUGAACCUCUAUGUCAAGGAUUCAUAUAAUCCUGUAUACUAUUCCCGUUGUCCUUCGAUAUGUUACUUGCUCGAGAUUCGAUCGCCGGUAUCUCUAUACCUAGUUGAAUCUCGUUGCCGGCAAGUCUCUUUACUUGUUCCGUAAUACAAGAUCCCGUAACUAACUCCUUAGUCACAUUGCUUGCAAGGCUUGUUGUGAUGUUGUAUUACCGAGUGGGCCCCGAGAUACCUCUCCGUCACACGGAGUGACAAAUCCCAGUCUUGAUCCAUGCCAACCCUACAGACACCUUUGGAAAUACCUGUAGAGCACCUUUAUAGUCACCCAGUUACGUUGCGAUGUUUGAUAACCCACAAGGAAUUCCUCCGGUGUCCGGGAGUUGCAUGAUCUCAUGGUCAUAGGAACAGAUACAUUGACGUUUAUAGUUUGGGUCUUGUCCAUUACAUCAUUCUCCCAAUGACGUGAUCCCGUUAUCAAAUGACAACACUUGCCUAUGGCCAGGAAACCUUGACCAUCUUUGAUCAACGAGCUAGUCAACUAGACGCUCACUAGGGACAGUGUUUUGUCUAUGUAUCCACACAUGUAUUUUUGUUUCCAAUCAAUAUAAUUAUAGCAUGGAUAAUAAACGAUUAUUAUGAACAAGGAAAUAUAAUAAUAACCAAUUUAUCAUUGCCUCUAGGGCAUAUUUCCAACAGUCUCUCACUUGCACUAGAGUCAAUAAUCCAGUUCACAUCACUAUGUGAUUUUAACGAAUCCAACACCCAUACAGUUCUGGGGUUUGAUCACGUCUUGCUUGUGAGAGAGGUUUUAGUCAACGAGUCUGAACCUUUCAGAUCUGUGUGUGCUUUACAAAUCUCUAUGUUAUCCUGUAGAUGCUGCUACUACGUGCUAUUUAGAAAUAUUCCAAAUGACUACUCUACUAUACGAAUCCAGUUUACUACUCAGAGUUAUUCCGAUUAAUGUCAAAGCUUGCAUCGAUGUAACCCUUUACGACGAACUCUUUAAUCACCUUCAUAAUCGAGAAAAAAAAAUCCUUAGUCCACUAGUUACCAAGGAUAACUUUGACCAAUAUUUAGUGAUUCAAUCGUGGAUCACUUUUUGUAUCGCUUGACAGGCUCAUGGCAAGGCACACAUCAGGUGCGGUACAAGCUUGGCAUACUUUAGAGCCUAUGGCUAAGGCAUAGGGGGUGACCUUCGCCCUUUCUCUUUCUUCUGCCAUGGUCGGGCUUUUGAGUCUUACUCAAAUUCACACCUUACAACACAACCAAGAACUCCUUCUUUGCUGAUCUAUUUUGAACUUCUUCAAAAACUUGUCAAGGCAUGCAUUUCAUUGAAACUUCUAUUAAGCGUUUUGAUAUAUCUCUAUAGAUCUUGACGCUCAAUGUUCAAGUAGCUUUAUCUAGGUUUUUUCUUUGAAAAACUCCUUUCAAACAACCCUUUAUGCUUUACAGAAAUUCUACAUUACUUCCGAUCAACAAUAUGUCAACCACAUAUACUUAUCAGAAAUUCUGUAGUGUUUCCACCCACUUCUUUGGAAAUACAAGUUUCUCAUAAACCUUGUGUAAACCCAAAAGCUUUGAUCAUCUCAUCAAAGCGUAUAUUCCAACUCCGAGAUGCUUGCACCAGUCCAUAGAAGGAUCGCUGGAGCUUGCAUACUUGUUAGCAUCCUUAGUAUCGAAAAAACCUUCUGGUUGUAUCACAUACAACCUUUUAUGAAGGAAACCGUCGAGGAAACAACGUUUUGACAUCCUAUGUGCAAUAUUUCAUAAAUAAUGGAGCAACUGCUAACAUAAUUCCAACAGACUUUUAGUAUCGCUACGAGUGAAAAAGUCUCAUCAUAGUCAACUCUUUGAACUUGUCGGAAACAUCUUUGCGAUAAGUCGAGCUUUUCUUAAUGGUGACUUUUCACCAUCAUCGUCUGUCUUCCUCUUAAAGAUCCAUCUUUACUUAAUAGUCUUACGACCAUCAAGUAGUUUUUCCAAAGUCUACCCUUUGUUUUCAUACAUGGAUCCUCUUUCGGAUUUCAUGUCUCCAGCCAUUUGCCGGAUUCCGGGCCCACCAUUGCUUCUCCAUAGCUCGUAGGUUCAUUGUUGUUCAACAACAUGACCUCCAAGACAGGGUUACCGUACCACUCUGUUGCAGUACGCAACCUUGUCGACCUACGAGGUUUGUAGUAACUUGAUCCGAAGAUUAAUAAUCACUAUCAUCAGUUUCCACUUCAAAUGGUGUAGGCGCCACAGGAACAACUUCUUGCGCCUUGUUACACACUGGCUAAAGUGACGGUUCAAUAACCUCAUCAAGUUCCACUACCCUCCCACUCAAUUCUUUUGAGAGAAACUUUUCCUCGAGGAAGGACCUAUUUCUAGAAACACUUUGCUUCCGGAUCAGAGAUAGGAGAUGUACCCAACUGUUUGGGAUAUCCUAUGAAGAUGCAUUUAUCUGCUUUGGGUUUGAGCUUAUCAGACUGAAAUUUUUUCACAUAAGCGUCGUAGCCCCAGACUUUCAAGAAACGGCAGCUUAUGUUUCUCCAAACCAUAGCUCAUACGGUGUCAUCUCCAGGGAAUUACGUGGUGCCCUAUUUAAAAUGAAUGCGGUUUUCUCUAAUGCCUAGCCCAAAACGAUAGUGGUAUUUCGAUAAGAGACAUCAUAGUACGCGCUAUAUCCAAUAGGGCGCGGCUAUAACGUUCGGACACACCAUCACACUAUGGUGUUCUAGGUGGCAUGAAUUGCGAAACAAUUUCCAUAUUGUCUUAACUGCGUACCAAAACUUGCAACUCAGUUAUUCAUCUCUAUGAUCAUAUCAUAGACAGUUUAUCCUCUUGUCACAACGAUCUUCACUCUGAAACAACUUUGAAUUUUUUAAUAUUUCAGACUUGUGAUUCAUCAGGUAAAUACUCUUGUAUCUACUCAAAUCGGCAGUGAAGUAAGAACACGACGAUAUCCACUGCGUGCCUCACCACUAAUUGGACUGUACGCAUCAAAAAUGUAUUACUUCCGACAAGUUACUUUCUUGUUUCAUCUCACUCGAAAACGAGGCCUUCAGUCAUCUUGCCUAUGUGCUAUGAUUUGCAUGUCUCAAGUGAUUCAAAAUCAAGUGAGUCCAAAUGAUCCAUCUGCAUGGAGAUUCUUCAUGCGUUUAUACCAAUAGGUAUGGUUUGCAUGCCUCAAACAUUUCAAAAAUGAGUGAGUACAAAGAUCCAUCAGCAUGGAGCUUCUUCAUGCAUUUUACACCAACAUGACUCAAGUGGCAGUGCCACAAGUAAGUGGUACUAUCAUUACUACUUUGGAUCUUUUGGCAUCAAUAUUAUGAACAUGUGUAUCACUACGAUCGAGAUUAAAUAAACCAUUGAAUGUAAUUAUUCAAGCAAAUAGAAUAACCAUUAUUCUCAUUAAAUGAAUAAUCGUAUUGCAAUAAACAUGAUCCAAUCAUGUUCAUGCUCAACAUAAACACCAAAUAACAAUUAUUUAGGUUUAACACUAAUCCCGAUGGUAGAGGGAGCGUGCGAUGUUUGAUCACAUCAACCUUAGAAUUACUCCAACCACACAUCGUCACCUCACCCUUGCUAGUAUCCUUUUAAUCCGUAGCUAUAAUAUCGAGUUAUUAACACUUAGCAACUGAACCAGUAUCUAAUACCCUGGUGCUACUAGGAAUACUAGUAAGGUACACAUCAAUAUCAGGUAUAUCCAAUAUAUUUUAGUCAACUUUGCCAACCUUCUCAUCUACCAAGUAUCUAGGGUAGUUCCGCCUCAGUGACCGUUCCCCUCAUAACAGAAGCACAUAGUCUCGGGUUUGGGUUCAACCUUGGGUUUCUUCAUUAGAGCGGCAAUUGGUUUGCCAUUUCAUGAAGUAUCCCUUCUAUCCCUUGCCCUUCUUGAAACUAGUGGUUUUACUAACCAUCAACAAUUGAUGCUCCUUCUUGAUUUCUAGUUUCAUAGUGUCAAACAUUGCGAAUCGCUCAAGGAUCAUCAUAUCUAUCCUUGAUAUGUUAUAGUUCAUCACGAAGCUCUAGUAUCUUGGUGGCAGUGACUUUGGAGAACCAUCAUUAUCUUAUUUGGAAGAUUAACUCCCACUUGAUUCAAGCGACUGUUGUACUCAGACAAUCUGAGCACAUGCUCAACGAUUGAGCUUUUCUCCUCUACUUUGUAGACAAAGAAUCUUGUCGGAGGUCUCAUACCUCCCAACAAGGGCACGAGCAUGAAAUCUCAAUUUCAUCCCUUAAAACAUCUCAUAUGUUCUGUAACGUUCAAAACCGUCUUCGGCGCCUUACUUCUAAGCCGUUAAGUAUUACGCACUGAACUAUUACCUAGUCAUCAAAAACGUGUAUGUCAGAUGUUCGCAACAUCCACAGACGAUGCUCGAGGUGCAGCAUGAUACGUCUCAAACGUAUCUAUAAUGUUGAUGGUUUCACGCUAUUAUCUUGUCAACUUUGGAUGUUUUGUUUACCAUUUAUAUCUUUUUUGGGACUAACUUAUUAACUCAGUGCCAAGUGCAAGUUCCUGUUUUUUCUGUGUUUUUGACUCUUUUCAGAUCUGAUUUUGGAACGGAGUCCAAACGGAAUAAAAUCCCCGAAAUGAAUUUUUCCAGAACGAAAGAAGAUCGGGAGGCUUAAGGGCCAAGCAAGUGGGCCCACAGGGGGCCCACAAGCCCUGUUGCCGCGACCAGGGGGAGGUCGCGGCAACCAAGCUUGUGGCCCCCCUGGCGCUCCCCUGCCCUAGGUAUUUGGCCUAUAAAUUCCCUAAAAAUCCAGAAAAAUCAGGGCAUCCACGAAAACACUUUUCCGCCGCCACAAGCUUCCGUUUCCGCGAGAUCUCAUCUGGAGACCCUUCCCGGUGCCAUGCCGGAGGGGACUUUGGAGUUGGAGGGCUUCGUCAUCAACAUCAUCGCCCCUCCAAUGACUCGUGAGUAGUUCACUUCAGACCUACGAGUCCGUAGUUAGUAGCUAGAUGGCUUCUUCUCUCUCUUGGAUCUUCAAUAGAAAGUUCUCCAUGAUCUUCAUGGAGAUCCAUCCGAUGUAAUCCUCUUUGGCGGUGUGUUUGUCGAGAUCCGAUGAAUUAUGGAUUUGUGAUCAGAUUAUCUAUGAUAUAUACUUGAGUCUUUGCUGAUUUCUUAUAUGCAUGAUUUGAUAUCCUUGUAAGUCUCUCCGAGUCUUGGGUUUUGUUUGGCCAACUAGAUCUAUGAUUUUUGCAAUGGGAGAAGUGCUUAGUUUUAGGUUCAUACCGUGUGGUGACCUUUCCCAGUGACAGAAGGGGCAGCAAGGCACGCAUCAUGUUGUUGCCAUCAAGGGUAACAAGAUGGGCUUUUAUCGUAGAUAUGAGAUUGUCCAUCUACAUCAUGUCAUCUUGCUUAAGGCGUUACUCUGUUCUCAUGAACUUAAUACACUAGAUGCAUGCUGGAUAGCGGUCGACGUGUGGAGUAAUAGUAGUAGAUGCAGAAAGUAUCGGUCUACUUGUUUUGGACGUGAUGCCUAUAGAUAUAAUCAUUGCCAUAGAUAACGUCACGACUUUGCGUGGUUCUAUCAAUUGCUCGACGGUAAUUCGUUCACCCACCGUCUACUUGCUUUCAUCAGAGAAGCAAGCUAUUCACACCUAUAGUUUGCACUUUCGCUUUUACUUUGAUUUGUUUCUUUGUUGCUUUCAGUUCUCACUUGGCAAACAAUCUAUAAGGGAUUGACAACCCCUUCAUAGCGUUGAGUGCAAGCUCUUUGUGUUUGUGAAGGUACUUGUGAUAUUCCUUCACUGGAUCGAUACCUUGGUUCUCAAAACUGAGGGAAAUACUUACCGUCCUUGUGCUACAUCAGCCUUUCCGCCUCGAGGGAACACCAACGCAAGGCUCCAAGGCCAUGGGGGAAUCCUUUGCAUAUUUGCCAAGGAAGUCCCUAAAGGCGUAGCCGUAGCAGAAGGAUUCCUGGUGCCGUCGCUGAGGAGUAUCAAGACAAGAAUAGUCUCCCGUCAGCACGCUUGUUUCUGGCGCAGUUAGAAGGUCUUUUGUUGCAGUAGCAGAAGUAUUUCUGGUGCCAUUGCCGGGGAAGGAGAGAACUCAUCCAAGUAGGUGUCACAAAAUCAUCUCUCGUUUUCCUCUCCCCCACUUCACCAUUUUGUCAUUUUCGUUUGCCUUUUUCCUUCACCCUUUUCUCUCGUUUUCUUUCUGUUCGCUUGUGUGCCAUGUGCCUUCAAUAUGCUUGCAUCUUCGCUUGCUGAAAAUCUAGUGAUAUGGAUCCUCAUCCACUUGCUAAUCUCUUUAAGAGAUUCAAUUAUGUUGAUCCAAUUGCUAGUGAGUUGAGUGCACUUGACUAUCUUUAUGGAGUUUUGCUUGAGAUGCGUGAAUCUGAAAAUUGUGGGGAAGAAAUUUAUGAAGUGAUUCACGAGGGCUCCUUGGAUGAAAAGCAUGAUUGCAAUGGUUUCACUAUAAAUUCUAUUAGUGACAAUCAUGCUAAAAAUAUGCAAAACCCUAAGCUUGGGGAUGCUAGUUUUGCUUUGUCCACUACUUGUUGCAAUGAUCAUGAGUGGGGUGAUGAUUUUUCUUAUGAUCUUGAAAAUUUGUUUAAGCCUGAUGAUGAAUAUGAUAUUUGUAAUAUUAUUGAAAGUGGGUUUGGAAAAGUCAUGAGUUUAGUUGAUGAUAAUCCCACUAUUUUUGAAGAGCGUCAACUUUGCAUGCAUGUGGAUCAUGAAAAGAAUAUCCUAUGUGAUAGUUACAUUGUUGAAUUCGAAUAUGGGAGAGGAAAAUAUGGUGGUAGAAACUUUCGUAUCACUAAAUCACCUCUCGUUAUGUUGAGAUUGCUAUUGUCUCUUUCUUCUUCCUUGCAUAUGGUAACUAUUGGUUGUCUUGACAAUCUGUUUUCCUAUAAAAUGCCUAUGCAUAGAAAGUAUGUUAGACUUAGAUGUGAUUUUCACAUGCUCUAUGAUGCUCUCGUUGUGCUUCAAUUCUUGUCUUUUGUGUGAGCAUCAUUGAAUUAUCAAUGCCUAGCUAAGGGCGUUAAACAAUAGCGCUUGUUGGGAGGCAACCCAACGAAUCUAUCCUUUUUCUUUCUGUUUUGUGUUUUCCUCACUUUCAUAAUUCUGUUAUGAUUGUGUUUUUUGUGUUUCUUUUUGCGUUUGUGCCAAGCAAAAACCGUUAUGAUUAGUCUUGGGGAUGAUCGUUUGGUCAUGCUGGAAAAGACAGAAACUUUCUGAUCACGAAAAGAAUUUUCAUUUUUUUCUGUAAGAGCUUUUGAGUUGAUUCUCUUUUCUGCAGAUUUUACGCAAAUUCUUCAGACUGUCGUAAUGUUUUAGAAUUUUUGAAGUAACAUAAGUAUACGAAGUUUACAGAUUGCUACAGACUGGUCUGCUGUUAACAGAUUCUGUUUUUGUUGUGUUGGUUGCUUAUUUUGAUGAAACUAUUGAUAGUAUCGGGGGGUAUUAGCCAUGGAAGAUUGAAAAUACAGUAAGCCAACAUCAACAUAGGUAGAAUUUAAGUUUGCUACAGUACCUAAGGAAGUGGUGGUUUGCUUUCUUAUACUAAUGUUAUCACGAGUUUCUGUUUAAGUUUCGUGUUGUGAAGUUUUCAAGUUUUGGGUGAAGUUCUUAUGGACAAAAAGAUAAAGAGUGGCAAGAGCUCAAGCUUGGGGAUGCCCAAGGCACCCCAAGAUGAUUCAAGGAUGUCGUAAAAGCCUAAGCUUGGGGAUGCCCCGGGAAGGCAUCCCCUCUUUCGUCUUUAAUCCAUCGGUAACGUUACUUGGGGCUAUAUUUUUAUUCACCAAAUGUUAUGUGUUUUGCUUGGAGCGUCUUGUAUCAUAGGAGUCUUUUAUUUUUGUUGUGUCACAAUCAUCCUUGCUGCACACCUAGAGAGAGAGACAUGCACUCACCGUGAUUUUGUCGAGCUUCACUUAUAUCCUUUGGUUAGACAAUUCAGCUCAUAUGUGCUUCACUUAUAUCUUUUGAGCUAGUUGCUUUUGCUCUUUGUGCUUCACUUAUAUCUUUUAGAGCACGGCGGUGCUUGGCUUGGUAGUUGAUCUAUGCUAUGAAAGUAGUCUCAAAAGGGGUAGUUAUCCAAAGGGAUAUGAAAACUUCCACCUUCAUGUGCAUUGAAUAGUUAGAGAAGUUUGAUUCAUCUCAACUAGUUUUGAGUUGUGGUUAUGGUAAUAUUGAAGUUAUAUUAGUAAGGUAUUGUGGAUCUAGAAAUACUUGUAUUGAAGUUAGUGAUUCCCAUAGCAUGCACGUAUGAUGAACCGCUAUGUGAUGAAGUCUGAGCAUGAUUAGUCUAUUGAUUGUCAUCCUUUGUGUGGCGGUCGGGAUCGCGCUAUGGUUUAUACCUACCAACCCUUCCCCUAGGAAUAUGCGUUGAAUGCUUUGUUUCGAUUACUACUAGAACUUUUGCAACAAGUAUAUGAGUUCUUCAUGACUAAUGUUGAGUCCAUGGUUUAGAUGCACUUUCACCUUCCACCAUCACUAUCUUCUUUAGUGCCGUGCAACUUUCGCCGGUGCACAAAACCCACCAUUAGCCUCCCUCAAAACAGUCACCAUACCUAUCUACUAUGGCUUUUUCAAAGUCAUUCCGAGAUAUAUUGCCAUGCAACUACCACCAUGACAUGUGCCACCACUUCUACAUUGCCAUUGCAUGAUCGUAAGAUAGCUAGCAUGAUGUUUACAUUAAUGUCCAUGCCAUGCUAGAUCAUUGUCACAGUACACUACCGAAGGCAUUCCAUAUAGAGUCAUCAUUGCUCUAAGUUUUUGAGUUGUAAGUGUGAUGAUCAUCAUUGAUGGAGCAUUGUCCCUUGAGAGGAAAUAAAAGAGGCCAAAGAUGCCCACCAAAAUAAUUAAAAAAAGAAAAAAAAAGAGGCCAAAGAGCCCAUCCAAAAAAAAGAGAGAGAAAAAGAGAGAAGGGACAAUGCUACCACCUAUCCACACUUGUGCAUAUUAAGCACCAUGAUCUUCAUGAUUGAGAGUCUCUCGUUUUGUCACCACCAUAUAGUUAGUGGGAAAUUUUCAUUAUAUAACUUGGCUUGUAUAUUCCAAUGAUAGGCUUUUUUGCCUUAGGUCUUCGUGAGCAAGCAAGUUGGAUGCACACCCACUAGUUUUCUUUAACAGCUUUCACAUACUCUUAGCUCUAGUGCAUCAUUUGUAUGGCAAUCCCUACUCAUUCACAUUGAUAUCUAUUAAUGAGCAUCUCCACAGCUCAUUGAUAUGCCUAGUUAAUGUGACCAUCUUCUCCAUGUUUGUCUUGCAACCUCCACCACACUCCACGCCACUUAUAGUGCUAAAACCAUGGCUCACGCUCAUGUAUUGCGUGAGAGUUAAAAAGGUUUGAGAAAGUAAAGGUGUGAAAACAAUUACUUGGCCAAUACCGGGGUUGUGCAUGAUUUAAAUUCGUUGUGCAAUGAUGAUAGAGCAUAGCCAGACUAUAUGAUUUUUUAGGGAUAACUUUCUUUUGGCCUUGUUAUUUUGAAAGUUCAUGAUUACCUUGCUAGUUUUCUUGAAUUAUUAUUGUCUCCACGUCAAUAGCAAACUAUUGUUUUGAAUCUAAUGGAUCUGAACAUUCACGUCACAUCAGAGGAGUUACAAAGGACAUCUAUGCUAGGUAGCCACUAGUGGAAAACGGGCCUUUGGCCUGGACCCUUUAGUCCCGGCCUGCCUCUGGGCCGGGACUAAAGGCCCGGCCACGUCGCCCCAAUUCUCAAUGCCUCCCUCGAGGCUUUAGUCCCGGCCCGUAAGUAGCCUUCAGUCCCGGUUCGUGUCCCAAACCGGGACUAAAGGGCUACGCGGUGGGCAGCCCGCAUGUGCGCCACCUUUAGUCCUGGUUUGUGUCUCAAACCGGGACUAAAGUCCUCUGCCUAUAUAUAGCACAGCCCCCCUCUCCCCUCUUCCUUGCAUUUUUCUUGGAUGGAGGAUUGUGGGUGGGUGCUUGAUUUCCACUUUUUUGGAUGCACUACAGGCGUUUGUUGAAAUGUGUGUUAGAGCGAUGCCAUUUCAGUUCACCGAACACAACUAUGAUAUGAGAUGCCUGAGCCAUGCUUAAACGUCUUUCUCUUUAUUUCUACUUAUUCUAAAAGGUUAGCAAUUAUAUUUCCUCGUUUAGACCGUGCGGUACUAAUUUUUAGGAUCGUGAUUGUAUUUGAUAUAUUAUCGUAUAACACAGAUGAGCCAUCCAUGGAUGUACGGUGAUCGACGCACAGCCGCUUACAGAGAAGGCGUGCAUUCUUUUCGAGAUGCAGCCGAUGCAAACAAGCAUGGUGGUGGCUAUAUGUUUUGUCCAUGUGUUGAAUGUCAGAAUGAGAAAGAUUACACUUCCUCAAGAGUCAUUCAGAGCCACCUGCUUCGGUCCGGUUUUAUGUCGGGCUAUAAUGUUUGGACCAAGCACGGAAAAAGAGGGGUUAUGAUGGAAGACGACGAUGAAGAAGAAGAGAACGAUGAUUACAACUACCGAUCUAUGUUCCCUGAGUAUGCUGAUACCGCAAUGGAAGACAAUGAAGAAGAAGAUCAGGAUGAAGAACGGGAACCAGAUGAGCACGCUGAUGAUCUUGGCUGGGUCAUUUCUGAUGCACGGCGAUGUUGCGACACAGAAAAGGAGAGGUUGCAGUUCGAGCAAAUGUUACAGGACCAUAACAAAUUGUUGUACCCAACUUGUGAAGAUGGCCAGAAGAAGCUGGGUAGCACACUGGAAUUGCUGAAGUGGAAGGUAGAGACCGGUGUGACUGACUCGUCAUUCGAAAAGUUGCUGGUACUGAUGAAGAAGAUGCUUCCAAGAAAAAACGAAUUGCCGGCCAGCACGUACGAAGCAAAGAAGCUUGUCUUCCCUCUAGGAUUAGACGUGCAGAAGAUACAUGCAUGCCCUAAUGACUGCAUCCUCUACCGCGGUGAGAAGUAUGAGAAUAUGGAUAAAUGCCUGGUAUGCACUGCAUUGCGGUAUAAGAUCAGAAAAGAUGACCCUGGUGAUAUUGAGGGCGAGCCACCCAGGAAAAGGGUUCCUGCCAAGGUGAUGUGGUAUGCUCCUAUAAUACCACGGUUCAAACGUCUGUUCAGAAAUAAAGAUCAUGCGAAGUUGUUGCGAUGGCACAUGGAAGAUCGUAUGAAAGACGAUAAGUUGAGGCACACCGCUGAUGGUCGGCAGUGGAGAAAAAUCGAGAGAGAGUUCCCGAGAUUUGCAGCUGACGCAAGGAACUUAUGGUUAGGUCUGAGUACAGAUGGCAUGAAUCCUUUUGGGGAGCAGAGUUGCAGUCACAGCACCUGGCCCGUUACUCUAUGUAUCUACAACCUUCCUCCUUGGUUGUGCAUGAAGCGGAAGUUCAUUAUGAUGCCAGUGCUUAUACAAGGUCCAAAGCAACCCGGCAACGAUAUUGAUGUGUACCUAAGGCCAUUAGUUGAUGAACUUUUACAGCUCUGGGCCGAACCAGGUGUACGUGUGUGGGACGAGCACAAACAAGAGGAAUUUGACCUUCGAGCGUUGCUUUUCGUAACCAUCAAUGAUUGGCCUGCUCUUAGUAACAUUUCAGGACAGUCAAACAAGGGAUACAAUGCAUGCACGCACUGUUUGGAUCAGACAGAAAGUAUAUAUCUCGACAACUGUAGGAAGAAUGUGUAUCCGUACAAUCGUCGUUUUCUUCCGCCCAAGCAUCCCUUAAAGAAAAAAGGCAAGCAUUUCAAUGGCAAGGCAGAACCCCGGGGGAAGCCUGUCAUCCGUACUGGCGCUGAAGUAUUUGAUAUGGUCAAAGAUUUAAAAGUAAUCUUUGGAAAGGGUCCUGGUAGCCAACCUGUUUCUAACGGCCCUGAUAAGCGCGUACCCAUGUGGAAGAAAAAAUCUAUAUUUUGGGAGCUACCCUACUGGGAAGUCCAUGAGGUUCUCUCGGCAAUCAACGUGAUGCACCUGAGGAAGAAUCUCUGUGUGAAUAUACUAGGCUUCCUGGGCUUGUAUGGGAAGUCAAAAGAUACAUCGGAAGCAUGGGAGGACCAGGAACGUCAUAAAGGAAGAGAUUGCAUGCAUCCAGGGCAGUUUCAAGGGCAUGCCAGCUACGCUCUUACUAAGGAAGAGAAGGAAAUCUUCUUUGAAGUCCUUCUCAGUAUCAAGGUCCCGACUGGCUUCUCGUCGAAUAUAAAGGGAAUCGUAAAUAUGAAAGACAAAAAAUUCCAAAACCUAAAGUCUGAUGACUGCCACGUGCUUAUGACGCAAUUGCUUCCGGUUGCAUUGAGGGGAAUUCUACCGGAAAAUGUUCGUCUGGCAAUUGUGAAGGUAUGUGCAUUCCUCAAUGCAAUUUCUCAGAAGGUAAUCGAUCGAGAAAGUCUAUUAGGGUUACAGAUUGAUGUGGUCCAAUGUCUGGCCAGCUUUGAGUUGUUGUUCCCGCCAUCCUUCUUCAAUAUAAUGACACACCUCCUAGUUCACCUAGUCGAAGAGAUUAGAAUUCUCGGUCCUGUGUUUCUACACAAUAUGUUCCCCUUCGAGAGGUUCAUGGGAGUCUUAAAGAAAUAUGUUCGUAACCGUGCUAGGCCAGAAGGAAGCAUCUCCAAGGGCUAUGGAACAGAGGAGGUCAUUGAGUUUUGUGUGGACUUUCUUCCUUACCUUAAGCCGAUUGGUGUUCCUGAAUCUCGGUAUGAGGAUAGGCUGACAGGAAAAGGCACACUAGGAAGGAAAGCAAAAGUAUGUAUGGACGGGCAUUCUUUCUCUCAAGCACAGUACACAGUUCUACACAAUUCCACCGUGGUGGCUCCAUAUAUCGUGAGACACAAGAAUAUUCUACGCUCCGAAAACCCGGGGAAGGCUAACUCUUGGAUUAAAGGGUAACAUGAGAAGACUUUCGGCAGUUGGUUGCAGACACAUCUCAUGAAUGACGACACCGUUGGAGAUGAGCUGUACUGUUUGGCCAGGCCACCAUCUUCGACUAUAUGUACUUUCCAAGGGUAUGAGAUAAAUGGGAAUACAUUUUACACGGUUGCCCAAGAUAAAAAGAGCACCAACCAAAAUAGUGGUGUCCGCUUUGAUGCAACAGACGAGAAUGGGCACUGUUUGGAAACAUAUUACGGGUACAUAGAGGAGAUAUGGGAACUUGACUAUGGACCUACUUUUAAGAUCCCUUUAUUUCGGUGCAAAUGGGUGAAGCUGACAGGAGGCGGGGUAGUUGUAGACCAAAAGUACGACAUGACAACAGUGGAUCUCUACAAUCUUGCGUACAUGGACGAACCAUUUGUCCUAGCCAAUGAUGUCGCUCAGGUUUUCUAUGUGAAGGACAUGUCUACAUUAACGAGAAAAGGAAAUCAGCAAACGAAAAUAUCGUCCGAUGAGCCAAAACGCCACAUAGUUCUUUCAGGGAAAAUAAACAUCGUGGGAGUAGAUGACAAGACAGACAUGUCAGAAGAUUAUAAUAAGUUUCAUGAAAUUCCGCCCUUCAAAGUGAAAACUGACCCAAGCAUCCUACUGAAUGAUGAAGAUUCUCCAUGGCUACGACCCAGAAGAAAACAGAAAUAAUAGAUAGGAAUAUUGGUGCAAUAAUGUAAUAAUGUAUUAAACCUUUUAUGUAAUGCAUGUAUGGAAUGUACUAAAUUUCAAACACUUUCCAUUUUCAUAGUAUCCAUGUAAGAGAUGAGUUCUCGUUCGAAACCCUGAUACUUCGAGAGAGAUUGUCCGUUUUGUACACGAAGUGCAUCCAUUUUUUGUCGUAGCCCUCUCAACUUUUUAACACAUGCUAUGUGGGUGAAAUGAUGAUAACAUGCCAACUUUCAACAUNNNNNNNNNNNNNNNNNNNNNNNNNNNNNNNNNNNNNNNNNNNNNNNNNNNNNNNNNNNNNNNNNNNNNNNNNNNNNNNNNNNNNNNNNNNNNNNNNNNNNNNNNNNNNNNNNNNNNNNNNNNNNNNNNNNNNNNNNNNNNNNNNNNNNNNNNNNNNNNNNNNNNNNNNNNNNNNNNNNNNNNNNNNNNNNNNNNNNNNNNNNNNNNNNNNNNNNNNNNNNNNNNNNNNNNNNNNNNNNNNNNNNNNNNNNNNNNNNNNNNNNNNNNNNNNNNNNNNNNNNNNNNNNNNNNNNNNNNNNNNNNNNNNNNNNNNNNNNNNNNNNNNNNNNNNNNNNNNNNNNNNNNNNNNNNNNNNNNNNNNNNNNNNNNNNNNNNNNNNNNNNNNNNNNNNNNNNNNNNNNNNNNNNNNNNNNNNNNNNNNNNNNNNNNNNNNNNNNNNNNNNNNAUGAAGUCAGAAAUUGUUCAGAUUUUGUGAUGUGCCUUUGAAUGGUGCAUUUUGCACACACAAAAAGUAUGGAGUUCAAAUAAGUUCAAAAAAAUGAAAUCCCUUUGUAAGAGAUGAGUUCUCGUUCGAAACCCUGAUACUUCGAGAGAGAUUGUCCGUUUUGUACACGAAGUGCAUCCAGUUUUUGUCGUAGCCCUCUCAACUUNNNNNNNNNNNNNNNNNNNNNNNNNNNNNNNNNNNNNNNNNNNNNNNNNNNNNNNNNNNNNNNNNNNNNNNNNNNNNNNNNNNNNNNNNNNNNNNNNNNNNNNNNNNNNNNNNNNNNNNNNNNNNNNNNNNNNNNNNNNNNNNNNNNNNNNNNNNNNNNNNNNNNNNNNNNNNNNNNNNNNNNNNNNNNNNNNNNNNNNNNNNNNNNNNNNNNNNNNNNNNNNNNNNNNNNNNNNNNNNNNNNNNNNNNNNNNNNNNNNNNNNNNNNNNNNNNNNNNNNNNNNNNNNNNNNNNNNNNNNNNNNNNNNNNNNNNNNNNNNNNNNNNNNNNNNNNNNNNNNNNNNNNNNNNNNNNNNNNNNNNNNNNNNNNNNNNNNNNNNNNNNNNNNNNNNNNNNNNNNNNNNNNNNNNNNNNNNNNNNNNNNNNNNNNNNNNNNNNNNNNNNNNNNNNNNNNNNNNNNNNNNNNNNNNNNNNNNNNNNNNNNNNNNNNNNNNNNNNNNNNNNNNNNNNNNNNNNNNNACCAAGAACGCUCCGCCGACGAUUCCUAAGCCACAGAGCACCCCAAAGCGCAAACGGUCGCCCCUCCCAAUGGUACGUCAUGCUAAUCUUCCUAUCGGACCUUAUAAUCGUACCCCCGAGGAAAACGCCAGGAUAGCAAAGGAACAUCAUGAUGCGCAGAUGAAAAAGAAGGAACCCGAGCCCCGCCCGGAAUACACCUAGAAGCAAAUAGCAUUUGCAAAAUAAUUCACGACCCUUCCAUCACAGUAUGACUUACACCAUAAGCCUGAUGACUAUACACGCACAUUGUAGAAGGAAGUGAAAAAGAGCAGAUCACGUGCAAGCCCUCCACAUGACGUCGGCCAGCACAACACGAGUCCAUCUCGAUCACCGCCGUCGGACUUGGGUCGUCCGUCUCCACCGCCGCCCGCUCCGGAUACUAAGCGGGAGCGUGCCACCAAGAACGCUCCGCCGACGAUUCCUAAGCCACAGAGCACCCCAAAGCACAAACGGUCGCCCCUCCCAAAGGUACAUCAUGCUAAUAUUCCUAUCAGACCUUAUGACUUACACCAUAAGCUUGAUGACUAUACACGCACAUUGCAGAAGGAAGUGAAAGAGAGCAGAUCACGUGCAAGUGCAAGUGGGAGCAAAUCAAGUUCAACUACAAGCAAGAAAAAAUCAGACGUUCCUCAGCUUGGACAACAUGCCAAACAGUCGAUCCCACCCCUCAAGGUGUUAACCGAGAAUGUUCCCCCUCCGGUGCAGGGGCUAGCUUUAGAAUGAGCAAAGGAGUUGGCGGCUGCAUGUGGUGUCUCGGUUGAAGAAUUGCUGUCUUCCCAAGACGACAAGAUACCCAAGGCUGUGGUAGCCCCUAAGCCACAGUUUGUGAUGGGUGAGCCUUUGGUCAGCAAAGAUGAUCUCCCAACAAAUAUGCGUUACUUGCAUCAAUGGUACUUAAGUGAAUCAAAGAAUGGGAGAACGAUGAUCGUGCUGAGUGUCCCAUAGGAGUACUACGGCCGCCCCGAACAAAUCCAUAUCGACUUUGAUGAACUCUUCCAGAUGUACAAUGGCGACGCCCUCGACAAAUCGCUUAUGAGUUGCUAUUGUCUGUAAGUUUUUCAAUUCGUUGUCUACAUAUAACUUGUUUAGUUAUUUCAAUUCAUUGUCUAUAUAUAACUUGUACUCUAUUAUGCAGAAUGAAAAUUCUGGAUUGUAAAAGUAAGAGCAUCCUAAAUAUUGGGUUUAUUGACCCAGAUAAAAUACAUAUAGCGACGCUAACUAAUUAUCCCAAGGAGACGGAGGAAAACCUUCUAAGGUUUCCAACAGAUCAAAAUUUCUAUGACCACAUACUGUUUCCAUACAACUUCAGGUGAGGGUCUUUACUCUGUUGUGUCCAUUCACUUAUAAGUGUAAUUGAUAAGUUACUGACACAUAUAUAUAUACAUGUGCAGCUUUCAUUGGAUUCUGUUGGAUAUUCAAAUUGAUAAGGGAAGAGUUGAUGCCUUCAACCCAUUAUCGAGACCCUUGGAAUAGUUCCAAAGCCUGCAGGACAUGCUCCAAGGGUAAUUUCAAUCAUUCUUGCGCUCUAUCGGUCCUUUCGAUGAUUUUCUGAUAUAUCAAUUAAUGAAAAACUUAGCAAAUCAUUAUCCUUGUCGGGCAGGGUUUGGAAGCGGUUCAAGUGCGUGACUCCCGGUAUCGAGCAUGAGAAGUUGACCUUUAGAGCGGCUCAGGUAAGUAGUAGUAUGAUAUACUUCUAUUUUCAAUACAUUUAUGAUGCUAGAUUAUUAUUUUAAUUAUAUAUAUUCUAUUCUCGUAAAGUGCGACCAGCAGCCACGGCGAACGCAUCUAUGCGGAUACUAUGUUUGCGAGACCAUUCGCACGUUUACCUCUGAGCACAAGGAUCACAGAUUCGACGUAAGCAAUGAACAUUCACACCUCUAUUUUUACCCGUCAUUCUUUGUUAUCAUGAUUGAUAUUCAUAUUCAUCUCCUCUUGUUAUAUAGCACAUGGCCAUGACGACGAAGGUCCUACCAGAGCAACGCACGAUUACUGUUACAGAGGAGCUUGCGACCUUUCUGAGGACGGAAGCUAUAGAUGACAAAGGACGCUUUAGUGUAGCUAGGGGCCAUUAGUGAUGUUCGUCCAUGUAAUCAAAUAGACGGUCUCUAGUCCCGAUAAUUCAGAUCUCCAUAUAAUUGUAUAUAUAUGCUCGCUUGUAAGAUAACUUAACCUUAUGUAUAUGCAUAAUUAUUUCUAUUUAAAUUAUAUGAAAACUAAUUCCCGAACACCAAACGAGGCAUCACGUUAAUCUCCCGAACACCUAAACCCUAAAACCCUAAAACCCAAAAAUAAUUUCAUUAAAAAAAAACACGAACAUAAGCAAAAUCUGAAAAUCUUUAGUCCCGGCCCGUGUAACGAACCGGGACUAAAGGUCUUGCCCCUGGGGCGCUACGAGGCGCCCACGUGGAGCACCUUUAGUCCCGGCUUGUAAGAGGGCCGGGACGAAAGGUUAGGCCUUUAAUCCCGCCCCUUUAGUCCCGGUUGGUGAACUGGGCCUAAAGCCCCUUACGGGCCGGGGCUAAAGGCACCGUCCCCACUAGUGAGCAUGAAAGCGUCAAAAAUUCAUUCUUUAUCACUUCCCUACUCGAGGAUGAGAAGGAGUUAAGCUUGGGGAUGCUUGAUACGUCUCAAACGUAUCUAUAAUUUUUGAUGGUUUCACGCUGUUAUCUUGUCAUCUUUGGAUGUUUUGUUCACCUUUUAUAUCUUUUUUGGUACUAACUUAUUAACUCAGUGCCAAGUGCCAAUUCCUAUUUUUUCUGUGUUUUUGACUCUUUUCAGAUCUGAUUUUGGAACGGAGUCCAAACGGAAUAAAAUCCCCGAAAUGAAUUUUUCCAGAACGGAAGAAGAUCGGGAGGCUUGAGGGCCAAGCAAGUGGACCCACAGGGGGCCCACAAGCCCUAUUGCCGCGGCCAGGGGGAGGCCGCGGCAACCAAGCUUGUGGCCCCCCUGGCGCUCCCCUGUCCUAGGUCUUUGGCCUAUAAAUUCCCUAAAAAUCCAGAAAAAUCAAGGCAUCCACGAAAACACUUUUCCGCCGCCGCAAGCUUCCUUUUCCGCCAGAUCUCAUCUGGAGACCCUUCCAGGUGCCCUGCUAGAGGGGACUUUGGAGUUGGAGGGCUUCUUCAUCAACAUCAUCGCCCCUACAAUGACUCGUGAGUAGUUCACUUCAGACCUACGGGUCCAUAGUUAGUAGCUAGAUGGCUUCUUCUCUCUCUUGGAUAUUCAAUACAAAGUUCUCCAUGAUCUUCACAGAGAUCUAUCCGAUGUAAUCCUCUUUGGCGGUGUGUUUGUCGAGGUCCGAUGAAUUGUGGAUUUGUGAUCAGAUUAUCUAUGAUAUAUAUUUGAGUCUUUGCUGAUUUCUUAUAUGCAUGAUUUGAUAUCCUUGUAAGUCUCUCCGAGUCUUGGAUUUUGUUUGGCCAACUAGAUCUAUGAUUCUUGCAAUGAGAGAAGUGUUUGGUUUUGGGUUCAUACCGUGUGGUGACCUUUCCCAGUGACAGAAGGGGCAGCAAGGCACGCAUCGUGUUUUUUCCAUCAAGGGUAACAAGAUGGGCUUUUAUCGUAGAUAUGAGAUUGUCCAUCUACAUCAUGUUAUCUUGCAUAAGGCGUUACUCUGUUCUCAUGAACUUAAUAUACUAGAUGCAUGCUGGAUAGCGGUCGACGUGUGGAGUAAUAGUAGUAGAUGCAGAAAGUAUCGGUCUACUUGUUUUGGAUGUGAUGCAUAUAGAUAUAAUCAUUGCCAUAGAUAACGUCACGACUUUGCGCGGUUCUAUCAAUUGCUCGACAGUAAUUCGUUCACCCACCGUCUACUUGCUUUCAUGAGAGAAGCCACUAGUGAACACUACGGCCCCCGGGUCUAUUCACACCUAUCGUUUCCACUUUUGCUUUUACUUUGCUUUGUUUCUUUGUUUCUUUCAGUUCUCACUUGGCAAACAAUCUAUAAGGGAUUGACAACCCCUUCAUAGCGUUGGGUGCAAGCUCUUUGUGUUUGUGUAGGUACUUGUGAUAUUCCUUCACUCGAUCGAUACCUUGGUUCUCAAAACUGAGGGAAAUACUUACCUCCGCCGUGCUACAUCACCCUUUCCGCUUCGAGGGAACACCAACGCAAGGAUCCAAGGCCAUGGGGGAAUCCUUUGCAUAUUUGCCAAGGAAGUCCCUAAAGGCGUAGCCGUAGCAGAAGGAUUCCUGGUGCUGUUGCUGAGGAGUAUCAAGACAAGAAUAGUCUCCCGUCAGCACGCUUGUUUCUGGCACCGUUGGAAGAUCUUUUGUUGAAGUAGCACAGCACACCGAGCGGUGCAUUAAGGACAUAGGCCUUCUGCGCAGCAAUGAGGACAAUCCUCAGUUCACGGACUCAGUCCGCAAAAUUGUUACUAUCAUCUUUCAACUAAAUUUUGUCUAGGAACAUAUAAAAAACAGUAGAGCUACCACACAAGCUACAACAUAAUUCGCAAAGACCUUUUGACUAUCUUUGUGACAAUUAGUUCAAUCAAUCAUAUUAAUUAAGAACUCCCACUCAAAUAGACAUUCCUCUAGUCAUUCGAGUUGCGCAUGAUCAAAAUUGACUAACUUAAAUACGAUCAUCACGUGAGUUGAAUGUUGUUUCAGCGGUAAACAUCUCUAUGCUAAUCAUAUCAACUAUACGAUUCAUGCUCGACCUUUCGGUCUCUUGUAUUCCGAGGCCAUGUCUGCACAUGCUAGGCUCGUCAAGUUUAACCCGAGUGUUCUGCGUGUGCAACUGUUUUGCACCUGUCGUAUGUGAACAUUGAGUCUAUCACACCGGAUCAUCACGUGGUGUCUCGAAACGAUGAACUGUCGCAACGGUGCACAGUCGGGGAGAACACAAUUUUAUCUUGAAAUUUUAGUGAGGGAUCACCUUAUAAUGCUACCGUCGUUCUAAGCAAGAUAAGGUGCAUAAAACGAUUAACAUCACAUGCAAUUCAUAAGUGACAUGAUAUGGCCAUGAUCCUGUGCUUGUUGAUCUCCAUCACCAAAGCACCGGCGUGAUAUUCAUCUUCACCAGCGCCACACCAUGAUCUCCAUCAUCGUGCCGCCAUCGAGGUUGUCGUGCUAUCUAUGCUAUUACUACUAAAGCUAGACCUAGCAAUAUAGUAAACGCAUAUACAAACACAAACGUUAGUUUAAAGACAACCCUAUGGCUCCUACCGGUUGCCGUAUCAUCGGCGUGCAAGUCGAUAUUUAACUAUUACAACAUGAUCAUCUCAUACAUCCAAUAUAUCACAUCAUGUCUUUGGCCAUGUCACAUCACAUGCAUACCCUGCAAAAACAAGUUAGGCGUCCUCUAAUUUGUUGUUGCAUGAUUUACGUGGCUGCUAUGGGUAUCUAGUAUGAUCGCAUUUUACUUACGCAAAACCACAACGGUGAUGUGCAAAUUGCUAUUUAACCUCUCUCCAAGGACCGCCUCAGUCAAAUCCAAUUCAACUAAAGUUGAAGAAACAUACACGCGCCAUUCAUCUUUAUGCAACAAGUUGCAUGUUAGUCGAUGAAACCGGUCUCUCGUAAGCGUACGACUAAGGUUGGUGCUGGCCGCUUCAAUCCAACAAUACCGCCGAAUCGAGAAAAUACUAAGGAGGGCAGCAAAUCGAACAUCAACGCCCACAAAACUUUUGUGUUCUACUCGAGAUUACAUCUACGCAUGAACCUAGCUCAUGAUGCCACUGUUGGGAAACGUUGCAUGGAAACAAAAAAUUUCCUACGCACACGAAGACCUAUCAUGGUGAUGUUCAUCUACGAGAGGGAGAUCGGAUCCACAUACCCUUGUAGAUCGCUAAGCGGGAAGCGUUAAGAAAUGCGGUUGAUGUAGUUUUACAGCUUUGUGAUUCAAAUCACCGUCGUCCCACGAGCCAUUCCGAUCUAGCGCCGAACGGACAGCACAUCCGCGUUCAGCAUACGUACAACUCGAUGAUGAUCUCCGCCUUCUUGAUCCAGGAAGAGGUACGGGGAAGUAGAUGAGUUCUCCGGCAGAGUGACGACGCGCCGGUGAUGGUGAUGAUCUAUUCCUGCAGGGCUCCGCCCGAGCUCCGUAGAAAACCGAUCUAGAGAAAGAAUUAUGAUCUAGAGGAGAGGGCAACACGUGGCAAAGUUGUGUCUCAAAAGCCCUAAACCUCUAAUAUGUAUUGGAGGAGGGAAGAAGCAGCCUUGGCGCGCCAAGGAAGACCUCCUUUGGGUCGGCCGAAGUGGGGAAAGGAGGAGUCCUUCUCCAAUCCCACUUGGAUUAUGACUCCUUCCUUGUUUUCCCACCUCUUUUGGAUUUUCCACUUUUUCCUCAUGGGAUUUCUUUGGAUGACUUUUUAGUCUAUUAUACCUUAUUGCGCAUCCAAUAGACCCACGUGGACCCCUUGGGGGUGGUGGUCCCACCCAGUGGGCCCCCAGAACCCAUUCGUCACUCCCGGUACACUGUCGGCAAUGCCCGAAAAUCUUCCGGCAUCCAAACACCAACUUCCUAUAUAUCAAUCUUCAUUUCCGGACCAUUCUGGAACUCCUCGUGACGUCCGGUAUCUCAUCCGGGACUCCGAACAAAACUUCGGUCACCAACACAUAUAACUCAACUAUACCGAAACAUCAUCUAACCUUAAGUGUGCAGACCCUCCGGGUUCGAGAACUAUGCAGACAUGACCUGAGACACUCUCUUGGUCAAUAACCAACAGCGGGACCUAGAUGUCCAUAUUGGCUCCUACAUAUUCUACGAAGAUCUCUAUCGGUUGAACCUCUAUGUCAAGGAUUCAUAUAAUCCCGUAUACUAUUCCCUUUGUCCUUCGGUAUGUUACUUGCCCGAGAUUCGAUCGUCGGUAUCUCUAUACCUAGUUCAAUCUCAUUGUCGGCAAGUCCGUUUACUUGUUCCGUAAUACAAGAUCCCAUAACUAACUCCUUAGUCACAUUGCUUGCAAGGCUUGUUGUGAUGUUGUAUUACCGCGUGGGCCCCGAGAUACCUCUCCGUCACACGGAGUGACAAAUCCCAGUCUUGAUCCGUGCCAACCCAACAAACACCUUUGGAAAUACCUGUAGAGCACCUUUAUAGUCACCCAGUUACGUUGCGACGUUUGAUAACCCACAAGGUAUUCCUCCGGUGUCCGGGAGUUGCAUGAUAUCAUGGUCAUAGGAACAGAUACAUUGACAUGCAGAAAACAGUAGCAAUAAACUGACACGAUCAUAUGCUACGUUUAUAGUUUGGGUCUUGUCCAUUACAUCGUUCUCCCAAUGAUGUGAUCCCGUUAUCAAGUGACAACAGUUGCCUAUGGCCAGCAAACCUUGACCAUCUUUGAUCAACGAGCUAGUCAACUAGAGGCUCACCAGGGACAGUGUUUUGUCUAUGUAUCCACACAUGUAUUUGUGUUUCCAAUCAAUGCAAUUAUAGCAUGAAUAAUAAAUGAUUAUUAUGAACAAGGAAAUAUAAUAAUAACCAAUUUAUUAUUGUCUCUAGGGCAUAUUUUCAACAGUACCAUGAGCACUGCAUAUAACUAAGAUAUGUUUUGAUGCUUCCAUGCUAUAAAUGAUCUUGAAGAGAGUCAAAAGCCAAAAUAAAACAUGUGAACAUAAACUGUGAACCAAGAGGAAUAUAAUAUUGUGACUGACUCUGUGAAUAUGAAAAUAAAAUAGUCCUCACCAUUUGGAGAAAAUUAAUGUCAGAUACUUUCCAUCUUUAAUCACGACAUUUAUACAUUUGGUACCCAAUAGGUAAGAUGUAUAAAUGUAUCUUCUCUACAUUUUUCUUUUUUGCUUCUUAAUUUCAGGGUACAUGAUAAAUUGACCAAUUUACUCUAUCGCAUUUCACGUGCCGACUUAUACUCUCCACUACACUCUUCAGUACUGUUUAUUCCAGUUGGUAGAUAAUAGCCGCUCAUCAAAAGUUCUAGAGGUUAGUCCUCUGGCAUGCAAGGGGAGACACUCCAGCACGUUCACUACAGCGUGCAUCCAAAAUAUGGUUUUAUCAACAAUUUGGUCUACAAGCCCUCAAGUGACAUUUCUGUGCUAGAAUUAUUGAUAUUCCAAUUUUCAUUUGUGAAUGACAACUACUUUGCUCCUUUUUUAUAUUUCUCCCAAGGGCAUGAUCUCUGUAAAUCAAUUUUCUCAUAAACUAACCAUUGUUAUGAAAUUUUUGGCAAUUAGGUUUGUUACUGGUCGGACGUUGUUGGUUAACUUGGAUUAGUGGUCUGAUGUUGAAGCAGAACACAAAAUUAUGUUUUCACUUAUUGAACCGACAUGGCAAGGAUAUUAAUUCAGAAAACAAAAUUUACUUUUAUAAUAUUAUUUCAAGAGAAAUAAUUGCAAGAAAAAUGUGAACACGACCUUCUUGCUUUUCUUUGUCAUUCAUUACCUAAUCAUGUACAUGGUAUUAUGUCAUACUGAAUUUAACUAAAAUAUAGUAAUUAACUUCAUAGAAGAGAAAUAAUUUUCAUAUAGGAUUCGUUAUUAACAAUGAUAUUUUGCUUUCAAGAUCUAGGAUGGCCAAUAUAAAUAACUUUCUACAUAUUUAUUUCUUUCAUGGCUCGAGUUGUACACUAUUCGUCAAUAUGGAUGUUAACUCCAAUGGUUUAUCGAUAUAGGUGCGCUAUAACAUUGCAUAGCGUUUGUUCAGGCCGCCACAAAGAUUUUUUUUUUGAUAAGGAGGAAACGAGCCCCCGGCCUCUGCAUCAAUCGAUGCAUGCAGCCAUCUUAUUAAAGAUAGAAUAAACAGCGUGUGAUGUCCACGGAGCUCCACGCUCGACAGCUCGAGGUAGGAAAUAAAACGAAAAUGAAAUUGAAAAAAAACUGCCACAUCCGGCGUGCGUAAAAGUAGACUACGAUGCCUAUACACCUAGCCUAUUAUUAGCACGCCAUCCAAAUCGGUUGAAGAUAACCCGUGCGACCAUCUCCCAUCGGUUGCACCCAAUAUCCAUACGUCCCCUGGAGUCCACAUGACCGAGUAACGACCACGUACGGAUCCAAGAUGUUGCUCUGAAGAUAACCUGCAAAAAAUUAUUUAAGUUCUUGCCAUUAAAAGUUAUAUCAUUUCUGGUAUUCCAUAUAGCCCAAAACAAAGCACAUAACCCAAUCCCAAUAAGUUUAGAUAUUUUAACAUCAACUCCGUUGAGCCACGUUGUAAAUAUUGAGCUAAUACAUGUAGGUGGGACGAUAUUGAAAGCUAUUUGAAUAGUUCUCCAUAAUGGUUUUGCAAGCGGGCAUUGUAAGAAAAGGUGUCUUAUUGUUUCAUUUUGCUCACAAUAGCAACAAUUGGAUCUACCUCUCCAUCGACGUUUAAUUAAGUUAUCUUUGGUUAAUAUCACACCUUUGUGUAUAAACCACAUGAAAACAUUAAUCUUGAGCGGCACUUUGAUGUUCCAAAUUUUUAAUGAUCUGGAUAAUGUUCCUGUAUUAAUCAGAUCCAAGUACAUGGACUUUACUGAGAAUACCCCAUUCGCAGCUAAAAUCCACCGAACAUUAUCCGUGCGGUUUGAUAAUUGCACCUGCAUGAGUCUCCUAACCAGAUGCAACCAUGCAUCCCAGCGUGCUCCCACUAAAGCACGCCUGAACUGCAUAUUAAGAGGGACCGAUUGUAAUACCAUAGAUAUAUAAUCCUCUUUACGUUGUGCAAUAUUAUAUAACAGGGGGUAUUGAAGUGCAAGAGGUGUAUCCCCAAGCCAAGUAUCUUCCCAAAACCUUGUUGAGGUACCAUUACCAACUAUAAAUUUCACUUUCUGGAAAAAGGUCAUCUUUAUCUUCAUGAACCCUUUCCAAAAAGGUGAGUCAUUAGGUCUAGAUCUAACCUGAGCUAAAGUUUUAGAAUGAAGGUAUUAAUUCUUUAAUAUUUGAAUCCACAUUCCUUCAGAUUCCGUGGAUAGCCUAUAUAGCCAUUUGCUAAGCAAACAUAUGUUUUUCACUUCCAAAUUUUCAAUCCCCAAACCCCCCUGGUCUUUGGGUCGACAUAACAUAUCCCAAUGUGCCAAUCUAUAUUUCUUCUUAGCUUCAUCACUUUGCCAGAAGAAACGAGAUCGAUAGAAAUCUAGUCUUUUUCGCACCCCUACUGGUAUUUCAAAAAAAGACAAUAAAAACAUGGGUAGGCUUGUUAAUACUGAGUUGAUUAAUAUUAGCCUCCCUCCAUAUGACAUAAGUUUGCCCUUCCAGCAACUUAAUUUUUUUUCAAAUCUAUCUUCAAUACAUUUCCAUUUUUUAUUUGUCAGUCUUCUAUGAUGGAUAGAGAUCCCGAGGUAAUUAAAUGGUAGUGAACCUAGUUCACAUCCAAAUAACUGCCUAUAAGCGUGUUGCUCCUCUUUUGCCUUCCCAAAACAUAAGAGUUCGCUUUUAUGGAAAUUAAUUUUCAGUCCCGAUAGUUGUUCAAAUAAGCACAAUAAUAAUUUCAUAUUCCUCGCUUUAGCCAUAUCAUGUUCCAUAAAAAGAAUUGUAUCAUCCGCAUAUUGUAAAAUAGAUACACCCCCAUCUACGAGAUGCGGAACCAGUCCUCCAACUUGGCCCUUAUCUUUGGCUCGAUUAAUGAGUAUUGUCAACAUGUCUGCAACUAUGUUGAACAACACUGGAGACAUUGAGUCACCCUGCCUUAAUCCUUUAUGUGUUUGAAAAUAAUGACCUAUGUCAUCGUUAACUCUAAUUCCUACACUUCCUUUCUGAAUGAAAGUAUCAACCUGAUCUCUCCAUCUUUGGUUGAAUCCUUUCAUACGUAAAGCCUGUUGAAGAAAUGGCCAUUUUACUUUAUCGUAAGCUUUCUCGAAAUCUACUUUGAAAAUAAUCCCAUCCAAUUUCUUUGUAUGGAUUUCGUGUACCGUUUCAUGAAGGACCACAACACCCUCUAAGAUAUGUCUCCCUGGCAUAAACGCAGUCUGCGUCGGUUGGACAACUGAGUGAGCUAUCUUCGUUAAUCUAUCUGUACCAACCUUUGUAAAAAUAUAGCAUACUGUUGCCACGGAGAAAAAAAAUAGGGUUAUCCAACAAUUGUUCAAAUUUAGAAAUGUGUGUCGGAGAUAACAUCACAUAUGAUUUUCAUUCGUAUAACAACAAUCUGAUUCUCUCUAAUGCCUCCUUAACAACUAUUCCCGCAAGAAGAACCCUCCCCCAGAAUCUACAUUCUAUUCACCGUGUCUGGGUCAUCUGUUCAAGAUCUGUAUUUCUGCAGAUUAUAUAGUUUUUAUCGAUCAAUAAGUACCCUUUUAUGAUUUCUUCUAUGAUUAGGCAAUUCUUAGGGGGCUAGUUUUAAAUUCUGCUUUUCCCUUAUUUGUUUAGUAGUCUUAUAUUCACUCACGCUUGCUCUAGCAUUGUGCCGGCUCAAAAAUCAGUUAUGUCUCCUUACUACCAUUGGGUUUUGAAAAUUAGAAUAUCUCUGAUUUUUCGACUCAAAUAGACUCAAUCAAUUGCCUAUACGUUACAUCUUUCGCAAAAAAAGUACCACAAACUUGCCACGGAUUAUAUUACAUCAAGCACAACGGUAAUUAUAGUAUGAUAAACAACUAAUAUUGACGAUAAUGUGUUCCACCUAAAGUGAGAGUUUCUGAUGGACAGUGGCGGCAAACACAGUAACAAAAAAAAGAACAAUCAAAUAGGACUCUACAUGCAAUAUUUGUGGAUGUACGGAGGAAGAUGAAUUCCAUGAAGUAAUGGAUGCACUAAAAGUAGGAUCCUAAGAGAUGCAAUGAGGAAGCAAUCUGAAUUUCCACCUGAAUCUUGUUUCAGAAAUGUUUUCCGGGACUGGGUGCAGAUGCUUCUUAGCUCGUUUUCAGAGAAAAUGUGGGCGACAGUAGUACUGCUACUCUGAAGGAGUUCCGCUUGCGUCAUGUAUGUGUAUGAUGCUCUCGGAAUAUAAUUUUAUUGCUCUUGAUUUUCAAAAGGAAAAAGACAUGGCAAACUGAUAAUGAUGUCCGCGUACCUUGGGAUGCUAGCUGAAUUUCUUAUUGUUCAAAAAUCCGAGUGGUAGUGUAUAAGAAAACAUCAUCGGAUAUUGAAAAGAUUCACAAUCAUGAUAUCUAAAAGAAACAAUGAUAAGAAAACAUCAUCGGAUAUUGUCAUAACUAACAAAUCGCACGGCGCGACACUGUCACGUGCUUAAGAUCAUCAAGUCAGCUGAUAUGAUAGAAAAAAGAGAUGAAAGUAGUACAGUACGUCAACAGGUAGCUAGUGUUUGGGAAAAUGAUAGGCGAUGGGUGCAUAGAUGGAUUGCAGCAACUGACACACGGCGAGGAAGGCUGUAACACCGAAUACGACUUGUUGCAAUGUAGUGCUGCAAUACUUUUGGCGGAACGAUCCCUUGAAGUUGCGCGCCUUGCUGUCGCAUAAUUUUUCCAGGUUGUGCCAGAUGGGCUUGAGGUAGUUCUUGUUGUUGUCAUGGACGUCCAUGGCCACCCCGUUGCAGAGGUUGGCAAAGCCUUGGGCGGCAAUCUUGUCGCUGCCCUGCCAGUGUUGGAUGAUCUUUGCCUCGACCAGCAGCCGGACGUCCUCCACCGUACACGCCACCUGCGACAUGAAGAUGCAGUAGGCUGUGACGGGCCUCUUGGGCAUUUGCUCCUCCAGAGCCAUCAGGUUACGAAGGAGCGUCCACGUCCCGCUGCCGACAUGCAGGCAGGGGAUGUCCAGCGUGCCUCCUUGAAGGUGCACGUCGAGGAUGCAAGUCACAUUAGCCGCGAAGUCCCGGCACCUGAACUGCACGUUGGCGUGCAUGCAGUACUCCGUUGCCCGACGCCACCGACCCGUGUACGGAUCUGUUCUGCCCAUGUCACGCUGCGGGUCAGCAGAUGGUGGUGGGCUGAAGUAUGUGCGGACUCGGUGCAGCAGCUGGCAUCGACGCUUUGGAGGAUCUGCAAUUUCACCAUUGCCAUUGCCAUUGCCAUUGGUUGGAGUUGGAUGGAAGUAUGUGUGCACUAGGUGUAGCAGGUGGGAUGGGUGCUCCGGCAGCCUCGGCUUCUCUGGGCUGAUGUACAGCUGAGCAUGCAGCAGCCUCUGGAUAUAUCUUGCCAUGUACGGGAGUAGACCACUGCUUUUGGCGCGACCGUUGAUGCCCUCUAAAAGAAUGAAAGGCACCUGGUUCUCAACGAGGUAAAGGAUGUCGCGAAACACCGUGUUGUGGUUGUUGCAGGUUUGAGGGGCGUCCGGAUAGCUCCUCAACCAAGCAAUCAGGUAGCACCCAUCAUGCAGCAGCAUCCUCGCGAACUCUUCCGGCGUCAUGUGGUCGACCCCGUCGCCAUACCAUUUCCUUGCUUCGGGCUCCAAAUCCUCCACUAGACCAUUAAGGCCACCUCCGUUGUUGCAUUUCUGGGAGCGACACUGCAUGAAGCCGACAUAGCGCAGCUUUUCUUUUUCAAUCCAUGAAGAUGAACAAUUGCGAUGGUAAGGGCCGAUCGGCACGUUCUGCGGCUUGUAGCUGUCUUCGUCGGCGCUACGGAGUUGCUCGCGAACUUUCCCGUUGGACCUGCGCAACGACGACUCAUCUUCGGCCAGCACCGCUUUCCCUGCCUCCAAGUCGGAGUCAAGAUUAAAGGCUCCUGCACCAACAUGCCAGAAUUAUAUUAAUCAUCAUCUCAAUACUUCUGUUUUUGUUUCUGUACACAUGAUGAGAUAAUCAAACUCUCUUUUUGCAAUGCAAGUCUUUGCAUUUUACAAUGCAAAUAGCCUCUAAUUUGUAUCCGUCCACAAAUGUUGCCAAUAUAUAUGGUCACUGACUUGAUGUAACACCAAAUUCUUUUAGUAAGCUAAUCCAGGUGGCAAUGUCUGUCUUAUUAUGGUCGCUUUGACUAUGUACAAAUGAUUGUGUUUUUAAUGGCAAAACCUCUUCUCAUAUGCAGAUUAUUUACCAUUGAACGCAAUAGCAUCGUAUGCGGUUUACGAUGCACCGAACGGAGUACCGAUCAUUGUUUUAGGCAUUGUGUAUGCGAUCGAUUGGAAUAUGUGGUACCCAAGAUGGGUGGUAGCAUAAUCUCCAGAUUGGUCCAACUCCUUCGUCAACAUAAUCAUAGUAUCGUUCUCAUAUGGCUUUACUAUUGCCAACUUUUCAUUUUUAUAUUCUGUAUCUACGCAAAGGACGUGUAUCGUUCAGUAUGCUUUUUAUCCAUUUUAUAAAAAAAAUCCCUUCACUACAAAAAAACAACUAAAUGUUUAUUGGCAAAAAGGUUUGAAACUUUUCCAGUAUGAUUAGAAUGGUAGUAUUAAUAUUUAAAAAUGUUUUCAAAAUUUGCUAUUCUCUUCAAUGUUUGCAAAUUUUGCUCAAAGAAUAGGCUAACCAUUUAUUUUUCUUGCUAUUUUUAAUAUGUUUAGAAAAAAGGAUUGAUGAUUUACCAGAAUGAUCACCAUGGUACUGUUGAUAUUACAGAUCUGGUUGAAAAUUUCCGGACACUUACAUUUUAGACAAAACAUUGACCAAAAAGGGGGAUGAAUAUGUAGUUUGCGUAUAAUUUAAAAAAAAAUUAGCAAAAAUAUUGAAACUUUCUCAUAAUGGUGAGCAUGGUAGUGUUUAUUUUGUAGAAUGUUUUUUAUAUUUUUUCUGGCAAUUUAUCUUUUUGCUCAAUUUUUACUAAGUGUAUAGUGGCAGCUGACUGGGCAGUUAACUUGUCAAAACCACCCCAAUUCAUGAGAAACUAGUUUGAGGAGAGGGCAUGAUUGAAAUUAGACUGGUUUUGACAGUUAAUGGUUGUAGUUUAGAUGGUUUCAAAGUACAAGGUUGAUUCUUAAACACUAGUGGUCACUUGUCUCAUAGGACAUUAAUUAAACAGCUUGAGCUAUGUAGGAACGACUAGACAAGUAUAUGAAAUACAUUUUUGUUGAAAAUAUAUGAAAUUACCAUUGUCUGAUGGAGUUAAUACAUAGAUUUUUGACACAAGAAAGGUAUUCAUUUUGAACAAAAAUAUAUAUUAUUUUGCAAGUAAACCAUAUGAAGAUUCAAAGUCAUGGGACAAUGUAAAAUAUCUAGUUGUAUGUGGAAUUGAACAAACUAUAUGGAUAGUAGUAGACCUAAAUGUGGCAGAAGAAUAGAAAAUGUAUGUUGUGAGGUGCAUAGAGGUAGCAUAGUUUUUUUUGCCGCAUUUUCGACGAAUAUCAUUGUGUUAUGAAACUUUGCAACCAAUAAAAAAAAUGGCAAUGGGUGACAUAUGAAAAAAUGAUUUCUCAAAAUUGUUUUCAAUUGUGUUUUGAUUUUAUUCUUCACCCGAACUCGCAUGAGCUUGGGAUCGGAACAGCACUUAAGCACAUCUACAUUCAAUCAGGAACCACAUGUUAACUUUAUCGAGAGGCACUGCUUCUUGGUGAACAUGUUGGCUAUAUUUUCCCUCUACUUCUCAUCAACAUACCCAAACUGAUUACAAUCCUUAAAUCGACUCAUGCUUCUUGGUCAGUCCCAAAAAUAGAUCGUAUCUGAGCCCUGUGACCACCCCACCCCCGCCGUUGACUCGGGCGGUGGAGCGCGCCCCCUCCCCUACCGUCCUUCAGGCCCUCUCAGAUCAGCAGCGCCGGCCUAGGGGCAAAGCCCCUCACGGUGGCUAACAAUGGCCCCCUUUUCUCCGAUGCCCUGCGAUGGUGGAUGCGAGGCGGCCUAUCUAGGAGGCAGCAUCAGGCAGGUGCAGGGCUCUGCGGCAUGAUGGGGGCAACGACACGGUGGCCCUCCGAUCGGAUGUGGCGUUCAUCCCCUCCGUAAGAGGUGGUCGGCCUGAGGCUGGGUGGUCGGACCUCGAGAUUCAUCAUCCAGUCUCGGAUGUGAGUCGGGGAGACAUAGUUGCCGUUGAAAACCAAGCCGACAUGGCAGCGUUCUGCAUUGUUACCUUGAUGAAAGCAUCGUCGUGUAACUAUUGUCGACCCACUUGUUCUGCUCUUAGGAAAACCCUAGGAUCCGGUCUUCCAGAUCGGACGAUGGUGGCACUAUGGUGUCGUUUCUCUAUUGGGAGCGUCGUUUGUGGAGCAGCACUAGAAGACAGAGGCAGUAGGUGGAACGACAGUCAUGUCUGGCCGACAGGUGCUACUAUGUGUCAUACCUGUUCUGCUGGUGCUACGCACGAGAGAUUUUCCGAAGUCUUCGUGUUGGGAUAGAAGAACGUAGGAUGGUGGGGCCAUUGGACGCUGUGUUUGCGUCUACGGAUGGCAGAACUAGCUAGGACAAUCAGAUGUCUCUCAUGAGGAUGGGUCAACGGUUCGAUGAUGAUGGUGGCUUGUAAAACGUGUGCAUAUGGUCUAUGCUUCAUGUCAGCUACACCGGUUGUUGGUUCCGAUACGUUAUAUGGAUGGCUCGUCCACAACACCGGUUGUUGGUUCCGAUACGUUAUAUGGAUGGCUCGUCCACAACACCGGUUUUAGAUAUGAGGAGUAAGAGCACUCUAUAUUAUUGAGUUUGUAGGAGUGAGUAAUGACUUCGCGUGGCUCAAUUAAUAAGUGAGUAUUCUAGUAAGACCUUUGUUUAAUAAUUAAUAAGUGAGUGUAUGCAUCGAUUGAUACAAAGGUUAGGCUUUUUUAAUCUCCUUUUCCAAAAAACAUGCAACAAUAACCAGCCGCCACACUUCGCCGCUAAUUAGCCGCACUAACUUCAUGCACCAACCCACUAUGUACACUCCCCUCCCCUCUCCUAAAAAACCCCACUAUCUACACCAUGGUUCAAUAUAUCGGAUAUCAGGUUCAUAUCGGUUUGGCUUCGACAUAUCAGAUAUUAGGUGAUAUAUCGGACGAUAUAUAGAUAUAUCGAAGGAAACAUAUCUGGAUAUUUUCCAUUAUUCUUACUGAAAACAUGUGUUUUAGUUUUAACAAAACGCAUGAUGUCAACGCUUUUUAGCACAACAAUUUUAGAUUCCUAGUUAAGAAAGAUUCACAAAAUCAUUGAUAUAAAAAAACAAUACUUCUAUAUGCGUAUGUAUUAAACAUCAUGCAUGAGUUUGCUAGGAUAAAGCUGUAAAUUCAUAAUCUUAUUUUCACUACUUUCUAAUAGAUAAUUUUGAUCAUCUGUGUAUUAGUCUAUAUCAGUGGACAUAUCGAGCGAGAUAUCGGCCAUAUCGGUCGAUAUUUCGGUGCAUAUCGGACGAUAUGUGAAAAUUAUAUUUACAAAAUGAUAUGUAAUGUUUGUACCGGUAUAGCUACAGAACUGAUAUAUUGGCCUAUAUAUCAUUCAUAUCGGCCUAGAUUUAAAAGCUUGAUCUACACGCGCACAUCCAUGUUUAGCACUUGUGCAAUCUCUACUCAACGGCCACAUGACCCAGCCAAAACAACAUGAAUGUAGCUAAGAAACUAAUGCAUGCACUAAACUGACUCACCAAUUCUUUCAUCUAGCACUAGCACAUCCCACGUUUGUUUCGGCACUUGCAGCCCUGAUUUAGCCCACCGUCGGUGUCUCACUUUGCUCGCCCCAUAGCUUGCCUCUGCUCAAACUCCCCGGCUUCAUAAACAUCACACGCACACCUUGCCAUACUACAACAGGCUACACCUAAACAUCAAACUACUUGCAAAACUAAACUUAAAACUCAUGCAACUAUAUAUAUAUGUUGAGAUUAGUUCUAGCACGGAGAAGCACACACAUGUUCAGCGGGAUGUAGGUUGCCCUAAAAGCUAUCAUGGUCUCUAGUCGCAUCGCAGAAGAUCCGAGAAACAGAGGAGCACAACAGGGAGGGGGGAGCCGAUAUGUGUGCGCGAGCAUGGACGGCUGGGCUAGCUGAUGAUUCUUCACCUCCACCACAUGGUAGUAAGAACUUACAUAUGGGACCCAUAUAUUAGUUGAUCUCUUAUCGGCUGUGUGAAAUAGCUGGUUUCAACUCACUAUGUGGUAAAGUGAAGAGAAACUAAAAUCAAAUUAUUUGCUUAUGUGAGAGAUGUACCCUUGUUAUUGUUUAGUUUGUGCAAUUAAUUCUCUCUGCUCUAUUUUAUUUUGCAGAUCUUGAAAUUAAUUCCCGAAAUCUGCAUGAAACAUCUUUGUUUUGUGAAUUACAAUUGCAGGACCACAGGCUUAGGUUUUAAGGUCAUAGAUCACAAGUUAUUCAAAAAACAAUUGUAAUGGGUGUUCGCAACAUUUGCCCCAAGCGACCAACUAAAAAUGGACAGGCCAUGCCUUCUUCGAAAGUUGCACGCCGCAUUGUUUUUCACUUAUUAGAUCCUUCAUCUACAGGAACUAACAAAAGAAAAGAAAAGGAAUCAAGUAGAUAUGUUGAUAUUUUCCUGGUAAUUAGAAGUUAGCAAAACAUCCAUAGAUCUGGUUCCUUGAGGGCUCCUUCGAUUCAUAGGAUUUUGAAUAGCUGGAAUAGGAAAAAUACAGAAUUGUAGUGGCAUGUCCUCUAGUAUCUUAUGGCAUUUGGAAACAACAAGAAUUUGGAUGGAAGAGUGUUUCAGAACACAAGAAAACACACAAAUGGAUUAUAAAAAAGCUUGUGCAGAUGGAAAAUUUUAUUCAAAUAGACUGCAAAGCAAUCCUAUGGAAUUUUUCCUAAGGAUUUCCAUCCUAUGCAUCAAACAAGCUAUGUAGGAACAAAAUAUGGAUCUAAAUCCUGCAAAAAUCCUAGCUAUAGAACUCCUUUGAGUCAAAGGAGACCUGAAUAGAAACAAACAGUCCAGUUUUGAGUUUGUAAUAUUCUAAAAACAUGAAAAUUACACAUACAAGACAACAAAGAAGACAUGAUACUUCGAGAUUGCACAUUUCGGGAAGACUAAUUAGAACAUUCAUUCAGAUAGGGGAGAGAGAGUAAAUGUAAAUGCACAUAUAAUUACUUCUUACAUACCGGACGACACUGUGCUCGUGGAGCACUCCGAAGCCAGCAAAGGAUGGUAGCUAUCCGGACGUCCUUGUGAUAUGAAGAGGUGUUAGAUAGUUUGGCACGCUAUACCACCAUACAGUUUGCAGUUUAAAACAUGUAAAUUUCACCUACAAGGCGAGAAAGAAGACUUGAUAGCAUGCUUUGAAACCAUGCAUUUAGGGAAUAGUAAAUAACACAUUUCUUCGGAUGGUAAAAAGCUAGCAAAAUGCAUAUAUAUUUACUUCUUAUACGUACCUGACGACAUUGCUCUCGUGAGGCACUCCAAAGCCAACAAAGGAGGGUAGCUCCCGGGACGUCCUAGCUAGCUUUGUGAUAUGAACAGGUCGUUUGGCACGCGAUACCCACACAUAUGUAGGGUUCGAUAAGGCCUUCUCUCUCGCUCUCGGUGUCUUCUCUGUCACACAGCAUUCCUCGGUGGGCCCAAAGGCGACGAUUAAUUAACAUGCAGCCGCCGGUGCAAAAGAGGAGGAUUACGACAAGAAUAACAUGCUACAUUCCACUAUAAAGCAAGCACGCCUCUGGGCAACCGCACGUUAUCUCGUGCUAAAAGCCGAUCCAGCACAAAGGAUAGAUUCCUUGCUUCAAUCAACCGACGGACCGACCCACGUCGCCGGUGACAAAAAUAAAUGGAGAAGCCUACGCUAUUGCCUAUGUAUAGAUCAAGUGACUUUAGUAUGUGUUUUUCGAGAAGCCUACGCCAAAAAUAAAUGGUUGUAAGUACGUUCCAUUCGUAUGCAUUGCCUCCCCAAGGAACAAAUGUCUUGUGUAUGUGUGUGGUAUGAAAUUUGUGUCUCGUUAUAGUAAUUCAUAAUUAGUUCCAUUGUUUAAUUUGGUGUUGUGAAUAUAUAUAUGGUCAUCUUGUGCAAUUUAAAUUUUAGAUAAUAACCGAGUUAUUUCCGGUCAAGGGAAAAAUAAACUCACAAAAACAUGAGCCAGGUGACCAUGAUCCGCUUGCAGCAAAUCUGACUUAUUGCUCCAUAUUGGAAUAUGUCUUUUCGCAUGCUGUUUAUCCAUUUACACUAAAGAACAACAUUGUUGAAUCCAAAUGUAGCUAAAUCAUAGGAAUGUAAAAUUGCAUAUUUAUCGAUAUGGGUUUGGAUUGCUAUACUUCAUUGUGAUUUAGAAAGUGUAAUUUCAUUGACAUAUGGUUGUAAUUUGUCUACCAAAUAACCCGUGUAAGCUGGUAAUCUGAAGGAAAAUUACAAGUUCUCUCUUAAUGCUGCCGUUGCAUCUUCGUCUGAGAUAAGCUACUCCAGUUCUAAAUAGGCAUCCAUCCUAUUCCUGCUCGAGUAUCAAGUGCACGAUAUGUUGCUCUCACCCACAUCAUCAUUUCUUGCACGCACCUUCUUUCAGCUGUAAUAUUUAUUUGGAUCAUUCAAUUGUGAAGUGCCAUGUUUUCUACUUAUACUCUGCAGACACAAUGUUAUUGUUUUGUUUUCAAUCUCAGUAUGCUAUCUGUCUGAAUUUUGUAUAGCUAGCAUAGUGCCCAAUAUCAUGAGCUAAUUCUAAUAUUAUUUAUAGAGCUUUCAUAAUAUCAUUAUGAUGAUGAAGCACGUCAAGUAUUUUCCACUACUAAUUGCGUUAGCUUCACCUCAGAACAUGGAAAGAGGGAGUAGAGUUAUCAAUAAUGAUUAGCUAUAAGGUACCGUAGAUAUCGAUAUUUCCAGAGCAUCGUUUCCAAUUGUGUGUUAUCUCGUUGUGUUUAUGAGUAGAUAUAACAUCUCCGGUAAUACUUAUUCUCACACUUGCUGAUAUGAACUAAUUGGCAAUAUUCAUAGAAAUUAUGCUUUUAUGUUUUGUACGACUCGAUACAAAUCGGGUAUCCACGGUAAACAUUGUGGCUUGCUUUUGCAUUGGUACAAAUUUUGCCUUUAUGGUUUCUGUGAAAAUGUGGUUAUCCUGGGAAGUAUCUAUACAUUGCUCUUGAUAUAUCUUUGUAGUGUUUGUGAUCUAUACUGAACAAAUUUAUUCUGACCGGUUAUUCCAAUUUAUUCUGAAUGUUAUAAAUACUUUGUUAUAUUGACGUGUUAGACGUUGGGUCACCAUCAUGAGCCAGCCAACGCGAGCCAAGGCGCGCUUCCGAUUUUAGCAUUACCUACUUGACUAAAAUGUUAGGACCGGUAUCCUCGCGUUUCAUUCUGGCCGAUGGGCAACGUGUUAAAAUAUUUUUAAUGGUCAUGCCCUACAGUUUAUGUUUUUAAAAUAUUCAUAGAAUUUAGGCGUGUUAAAAUAUUCGUAGAAUUUAUGCUUUUAUGUUUUGUACUACUCGAUACAAAUCAGUUGUCCUCGGUAAACAUUGUGGCUUGCUUUUGGAACAAAUAUUUCCUUUAUGGUUUUUGUGAAAUUGUGGUUAUCCUGGGCAACAACUACAGUUUGCUUUUGGUAUAUUUUUAAUGUGCAUGCCCUAUAUUAAACUCAGUUAUAUUGGGCAGUAACUACACAUUGCUAUUGAUAUAUCUUUGUAUUAUUUGUGAUGUAUACUGAACACAUUUAUUCUGACCGGUUAUACCAAUUUAUUUUGAAUGUUCUAAAUAGUUUGUUAUAUUGACGUCUUAGACGCUGGGUCACCAUGAUGAGCCAGCCAAUGCUAGCCAAGACGCGAUCCUGAUCUAGUAUGUAGGGAUACACCCAUCUGUUGGGGCAUUCCUCGGGACAGCCGCUGGGGCAUGAAAAUAGUAGGAUCAAUUAACAUGCAGCCGCCGGGGCAAAAGACCAGGAUUACGACAAAAUUAACAUGCUACAUUCUGAAAAGCACGCAGGCCUCUGCACAAGCGCACGUUAUCUCGUGCCGAAAGCCGAUCGAGCACAAAGGAUAGAUUCCUUGCUUCAACCGACCGACCGGCGUCGCUAGUGACAAAUGCCUAAAUGCCUUGUGCAAAAGUACAAACAUUAGUUUUCUCUAAAGUAGUACGGUACUAUUAUAUGCACCACAAGCCGCGACGACCAGCAAGUCUUCGUCGCCAGCCAGGUUAGAGCAUAAAGCAACGGCUUAUUCAACUAGAACAGAGGAAGUGCUAGUAGAGGCGCCGUUAAUUUCAAAAAAAAAACUUUAUUAAUUACUCCCUCCGUCAUGGUUUACAAGGCUUGUUCGAAAAUUGUCAAAAAUUGUUACCUAGCUGGUCAUUGAUUGGCUGUGAACCAAACGUUUUCGCUAUAAAUCCCAUAUAUAUGUGGUCUUGCUCACUGUUAGAUAAUGAUGUUGAAACUACACCUAACAAUGGCAGCAGUGUUAGAUAGCUUACAAUAAUUAAUAGAAAAUUAUCAUAGAACAAUUGUUCUACGUUUUGUGCUUCAAAAUAAAAAUGGCAACAAAGCCAUCUAACCAUUUCGAGAAGUCGCAUCAGCCCCUGCCUAAUCUAUAUAUAUCUUUUUCUAUACUAAUUAUAGACUCUCUAGAAAUUCACGCAUUAAUCCUGGAAAUAAAAAUAAUUAGAAACCUUUGAUUUCGUGCAUCCAAAUUACAACGGCUCAGAUCAAAUCUUUAAUUGGUUAAAUAAUAAAAAUAGAUAUCAUACAUUUGCGGACCAGAACUAGGAGAAAGGAAAAUAUAAGCAGUUGAUUAAUUGAUUUUCUAUAUCCGACUUUUGAGAAAAGAAAAUUGAUAAUAGAGAUGUCUUUAUUAUGAUUAUAAUUCUUUCAUGGCGUAUACAUGAAGUGACGAGGAGAUAAAAUAAUAUUUAAAAUAUAUUAGAUAACCCACACAUGCAAAAAAUAUAUUAUAUUUAGUAAGUACAAUAUGCUCACCAGGUUUAAAUGCCUCACAUUCAAUUGAGCCCUUCAAUUUGGAAUUGGCUCACCAGAUUUUGAUCGGAUCAACAAUUUCUCUCAUUCAACGCUUUUAGUUAACUAUGCCCCCUCAAUAGCCAAAGCAAGUACUCGCAGCGAUGUCCGAGAGGAUGGUUAUGGUUGGAGCCAGGAAUUUGGAAACACGUGCACGCAACGUGAGCUUGAGAAGAGAAGCGAGGAGGGCUGGCGGCAACAUGCAUAGGCGGUUGCAUGAUGUGCGUGAUGGAGACCGGUAUUCGACCCGAGUCUUGGAGAAAGGAAGAGAUAAGGAUCUGUACCAUUCCACACGGUGCCUGACUAAUCGGGAAGACGACUACACAUCGAACGAACUCCUCAGAGAGCCUGCUAAAACUGGAACCGACGUAAAAAUGAUGACGUGUCGAUCCAAGCAAAAAACAAUAAGAACAACAAUCAAACCUAUAGGGCACAUGAUUAUAAUGCAUUCAAGAUCACAACCCAUGUAAAUACGAAAGCCAUACAAAGAAUCGCACGCGACAAUGACCCGAAUCACACGCGGCGUUUUUACAGCAGCCGUAUUUUCUUUAAAAAAAACAGGAAAAAUAGUCCCUUACAGGCCUAGUAUUUCUUGUUGGUUGUUGAUCCAUGUAACCUCUGGACGGUUCGUGACUUUGCUAAUUCAAAGCCGGUCGCUUGUUGAACUUUUUAUCUAAAGAAAAGGAAUACAUAAAGUAAAUCUGGUACUGCAUCUGCUAACAAGGUGUGGAAACUAAACUGACACUAAUGUUUUGGGUUUUGCCUAGAGCCGAUAACUACAUAACAAGUUUGCGUGACUACACAAGCAAGGAGGACGAAAACUAGUAGGAAUGCCAAGGCGAUCGUCAAGCGUUGUGAGCGUUGGCCCCAAAAGUUGUGCGCACGGCGCUUGUGGCGCUUCUCCAGGUCAUGCCAAAUGGGUUUGAGAUAGUUCCUGUCGAUGUUAUGGACGUCCAUGACCACCCCAUUGCAGAGGUUGGCAAAUCCUUGGGCGGCAAUGUCGUCGCUGCCCUCGAAGUGUUGGAGGAUCUUUGCAUCAACCAGGAGCCGGACGUCCUCCACCGUACACGCAACCUGCGACAUGAAGAUGCAGUAGGCCGUGACGGGCCUCUUGGGCAUCUGCUCCUCCAGUGCCAUCAGGUUACUUAGGAGGGUCCAUGUGUCCCUACAGACUUGCAGGCGAGGGAUCCACAGCGUGCCUCCUUCAAGGCGCACGUCAAGGAUCGAAGUCACUUCGUCCGCGAAGUCCCGUGGCAUGAACUUCACGUUUGCACACAAGCGGUAGUCCGUCGCCCGGCGCCACCGACCUGUGUGCCUCGGCGGUUCCGGAUCAGUAGACGGCAGCAAAUUGGCUUGACGGAAGUAUGCGUGCACUAGGUGCAGGAGGUGGCAUGGCUGCUCCAUCAGCUUCUGCUUCCCUGCGCUGAUGUACAGCUGAGCCUGCAGCAGAUUCUGGAUAUAUGUUGCCAUGUAGCGGAGUAGACAACGGGAACCUCCUGUGGCGCGGGCGUGAAUCCUCUCAAGAACGAAGAAAGGCAUCUGGUUCUCGAUGAGGUAAAGGAUGUCACGAAAGACCGUGUUGUGGUCGUGGCAGGAUGUUUGAGGGGCGUCUGGAUAGUUCCCCAACCAACCCAACAGGUAGCACCCAUCAUGGAGCAGCAUCCUCGCCAACUCCUCCGGCGUCAUGUGGGCGACCCCGUCGCCGUACCAUUCCCUUGCUUCCGGCUCCAAUUCCUCCACUAGACCAUUAAGGCCACCUCCCUUAUAUCUCUCGGAGAGACUCUGCAUGAAGCCGACAUACCGCAGCUUUUCUUUUACAAUCCACGGAGACGGAUGAGUGCGAUGGUAAGGGCCGAUCGGCACGCUGUGCGGCGUGUAGCUGUCUUCAUCGGCGCUACGGAGUUGCUGACGGACCUUGGGAGCAUUGUGGAUGGAAACAAUAGUGUUCCUCCCAAUUUGUUUGGCCAGCAGUUUUUUCCCUGCCUCCAAGUCGGAGUCAAGAUUCCAGACUCUUGUAUCUGCAUGAUAUAAUUAAUUAUCACAAAGAAUACAAUAUAUGCUAGGAAAAUGCAAUGUAUAUAUAUUAAUGUUGGUUACUCCUUUAAGGUUUUGAUGGUGUAGAAGUUCCCAAAAUUCAUGACAAAAAUGGCGUAACACUUUGACUAUAAUCUAAGAUCAACCAGCAGAGUGAUUGCAAAGAUAUUAUUUUAUGUGCCCUCAAGAAAAAAAUAUAGUUGAUGAACUGUUCAAAAAAAGUGACAGCCAUUUUAGAUCCCGCCAAAUAUAGUUGAUGACCUGUUCAAAAUAUAGUUGAAAAAAUAUGGAGUGAUUUGAAAUAUUGAGUUCAUGUGCUCUCAGCAAAAGUGACAGCCAUUUUAGAUCCCUGCGAAAUAUAUAUGAACUCAACUAUUUGUUGUUUUUUCCAGUGUGCAUAAAGUCUUAUUUUUACAAUCACUCUGUAAUCUUAUAUCAUCGUUGGCGUGAUGUUCUCGUAUUGGUUUCAGUUUUCUUAGAGCUUUGGACCGUUAAAACAUUGAAAAGGUGAUAUGGUAACUAUUGGUAGCUAUAUAUCGUGCCUCUAUCAAAAAAUUCGUCCCUGAUAUGGUAGCCUAUAUCAUGCAUGGGCCGAGUGACUGUCUUCUAGAAUGCAUGCUUGUUCAGUGUCGGCGGUGUUCGUAAGGUUUGAUACGCUAACUCCACUUGUCAAUUGUCUGGUGUACUAGUAUCAUAGUGCCAUCUAAUUUUUUCAGUUCUAGAAUUUGAAUAUGAAAUUAUGCAUAUGAUAAUCAUUAGAUUUUCUUGAUCCAUGUGCUAAGAUACUGUAUCUUAUCAUGAUACUACUAUCACAUCUCUUAUGCAACAUCAUUUUUGCCUCCGUAAAAUGCAUGAUACUAAGGUGAAGCAUUGUGACAGGCCUAAAACAAACCAAAUUGCGGUACGACAACGUAUAGCCAGAGGAGUACAUGCAUGGUUUGGAAUUUUUUUCAUAAAUUUCUCUAGGAUCGUCUAUCGUUACUGCUACGGCGGUGGUACCAACAUGAGGGACAGUUGGCAUGAAUUUUCUGAGUUUUUUUAAUAUUGACCCCUUCAUUUACAAAAGGUGGCUUUUUGUUAUUAGGCAAAAUUAAAAAGCUGAACCAAGUGUACACAGUAGACACAUGUUUAAAUAUUGUAUUCUCAUAAUGUUGUGUUAGUGUUCUUCUAAAACCAGCAUGAUAUCCCUUACAAACGUGAGUGCAUCGUAUUUUAGUGUAUAAAAUAUGUUAAGUAUUUUAUUUUCUUAUGAUACAGAUACUUUUCCUCAUAUUUACCCCUUUUUACUGCAAAAUAACUAUUAUUUCAUGUAUGAACAUAUAUGACUAUGUUGAUAAUAAAUAACAAAAAGGAAUUACAGAUAUUGUUUAUGAAAUCUAAUGCUGUAGAUUAAGUUUUUGUCAGCGAUCUGUCUACAAGGUUAGUAGUUGAUUCGGUGAACACGUGUGCCGACCAAACUUAGUUGUAAUCCACGUGCUUGCUGCACUAAUUGGCGCCGUAUGCUCCCUAGUGUUUGUCUGAAACCCUAGGGACUACAAUUAUUGGGAUCUGGUGGAUAUAAUCUGCUGAAGUUAUGAUCUGUGUAGGAACAACUAUGAAGAUAUAAGGAUUUCCACAAGAAGAUGUCGUUCGUUUGAUGAGAAAUAAAAAGGAAAAUCAGAUGGGAUACGUUUAGGUAUGAUAAUAUAGAUCUAGUGGGUAUGGUAUUUUUAGGUAUUGUUAUACAAACCUAAUGGUUCUUAUAUGUACUAAUAAAGAGAUGGUCAACCAGAUCCAGAAUCUCUAAAAAAUAGAUCUAGGACCAUAUGUUUUGCUUUUUGUGAGAAUUUCUAGCAUGCAUAUAUCUCUAUAUUUUCUGUAUUGUGGUUUUAAUAUAUACUCCCUCAGUUCCUAAAUAUAAGUCUUUUAAGAUAGUUUACUAGAAGUCUACAUACGGAGAAAAAUUAGUGAAUAUACACUCUAAAGUAUGUCUAUAUACAUCCAUAUGUAGUUCACUAAUGAAACCUCUUCAAAGACUUAUAUUUAGGAACGGAGGGAGUAAUAGAUAAAGAUAGAUAGACAGUUAACGUGUCAUUCGUCCUGCUUUCUGUUUUUUUAUGACAAUAUGACGACUGAGGUGUACAGUACAUUUCAAUGGACAAGCCACGCUUUCAGAAUGUGCACACAGUCUGUCUUGGUUGCAACCGGAACCCAAUCGGACGCCACCAUGCUGCCAGUCUUCAAUCUGAUUGACGGCGAUGAUAUGUCCCUACCAGCCUGCUUACACGAUUGGGAGGCACUGCCCACCAUUACAGCACUGGAAAAGGAGAUGACGGUACCACUCGUGUCCACGGUAGGAGGAGGAUGAGGAACUAAGUUAGAAGAACGGUAACUAAACUGCCACAUGGCUCUUAUGUGGGUAGUAAAAAGACCUAGCCAUUUCAGCCGGCAGCCCCUUUCAAGGAUGAAAUGUAGACUUUCGUUAAAGUGGGUGGGCAAACAUAGAUCUUUAAUUUGUGAGAGUAGACAGAUGAAUAUGCUUACAGAGCUUCGCCGUGGUGCCUCAAUGAUGAAAUGUAGACUUUAGUUAAAGUGGGUGGGCAAACAUAGGCCUUUAAUUUGUGACAGUAGACGGAUGAAUAUAUGCUUACAGAGGUUUGCCGUGGUUCCUCAAGGAUGAAACAUAGACUUUUGUUAAAGUGGAUGAGCAAACAUAGACCUUUAAUUUGUGAGAGUACAUGGAUGAAUAUGCUUACAGAGCUUUGCCGUGCGUGGCGCCUCAAGGAUGAAAUGUAGACUUUAGCUAAAGUGGGUGGGCAAACAUAGACCUUUAAUUUGUGAGAGUAGAUGGAUGAAUAUGCUUACAGAGCUUUGCCGUGUUGCCAGGAGACUCGCCGGUUUCACCCACUUUCCCUUGUUGAGAAGGUUGAGACGAGUCGACUUGGAUGGUGACGAUUUUGGUGGAUAAAUCAUCUCUGCUAGUCUCAGCCUUCCAUGCUUCCAUUUCAGUACCUGCAUGGCAGCAUAAAUUGAAAAAUGAGUUCAAAGGGUAGACUUUUGAGAAAUAUAAAGAUCAGUGUACUGUAGAAAAGGAAACAAAAUGAAGGGAACUGUUACUUUGCGCCAUGACACUGGAGGCUCGAUCCAAAGCAAAAGCUGUGUGAUCUAUCGUUUGUAAUACUUGUGAUGCAUGUUAUGACGGGCUAUAUAUAGCUAGGAUCAGCUUCACUCCUUGCUUGUACCAGUCGCGUGAAAUUUGUCGUUCCUUCUCAAAAUACUCUGCAGAACAUACAAAAUACUCCUUGCUCGACUGUGCUGCUCACAUGAGUGUCGGUAGAACAAGACGCGCGCCUUACGGUUGCCGCACGUUAGACGAUGCUGCCAUCAAAUGAGCUCAACUCCUCGAUAAGAUUGCCGUGCAUCGGGUCUCGUUCGACUCUCCUAGGACUCAUCAGUUAAACUGUGCACGCCGGCCAACGUCUACGCUCGUUCGUCACAGCUCUCGAGUCAUCGGGAGUAGUUACUAAGGAAAAGAUUCCCUUGAGACUCGGUCUUCCAAGGUCAUGCUGCCGAGACUAUACUUAUAGUAGAGAACUAAUCUAUUUCUCUUCAACUACAAGUACUUAGGUACAGAGGAAAUAUAAUAAAAGUAACAUAAGUCGUAACAUGACACGUAUCUGAAAAUAUAGAUAACAAGCCAAAUAAUUAACAAGAAAAGAUAAGUUUAUUGUAACACAAUAUUUUACCUUAAUAUCACAAAUACUAAAACAAAAUGACUCUAUAACGUAAUCUGAAAUAAAUAUAUUACAUGACACUACACAUAGGCUAUUAUCCAUAAUAGAGGUAGUAACAUAGACUAAUAAUAUAUAUGCAUAUUAUUGGUCUAAGCUACUCCCCACUAUGACCAGCCCUAUGCUCUUAGUAUAUGCACGGAGCCAUGUGAUCGUGUCGGGGAGUUGUUGAUUGCACAGUUAGUAACACAGGCUCUCUUAGUCCCGAACUAGUACAAGUAGAGCUUCAUUUCUUGGUUACUGGAGAUUAUUCCUAGGUUGUCAAUUUUGCAAAUAUAAUAUGGAGUAUAUACCAUACAAAUUAUAUCUUCAAAAAAUAAAACAUUUGAAGUUAUUGAUAGUAUAAUUUUUGCAAAAAAAUUAACUGUCAAACAAUAUCUUCUUUGCAACAGAUCUGUACGCUUUGGAUGCCAUCAUACUUGAAUCGAACGGUGGUUACACGCCCCACUAAAUCCUUAUUUUCCCUACAAUCCCCGCGUGUCUCGCUCGAUCUUGUGAUCUCAGCACACAUAUAAUGAUUGGUGCUAGUUUUUUGGGCCGCCGUCUGCCGAUUCCUCUCCAAGGCGCUCUAUUUUCCUCUCACUUGUUGAUCGNNNNNNNNNNNNNNNNNNNNNNNNNNNNNNNNNNNNNNNNNNNNNNNNNNNNNNNNNNNNNNNNNNNNNNNNNNNNNNNNNNNNNNNNNNNNNNNNNNNNNNNNNNNNNNNNNNNNNNNNNNNNNNNNNNNNNNNNNNNNNNNNNNNNNNNNNNNNNNNNNNNNNNNNNNNNNNNNNNNNNNNNNNNNNNNNNNNNNNNNNNNNNNNNNNNNNNNNNNNNNNNNNNNNNNNNNNNNNNNNNNNNNNNNNNNNNNNNNNNNNNNNNNNNNNNNNNNNNNNNNNNNNNNNNNNNNNNNNNNNNNNNNNNNNNNNNNNNNNNNNNNCAUACAAAUUAUAUCUUCAAAAAAUUAAACAUUUGAAGUUUUUGAUAGUAUAUUUUUUUGACAAAAUUAACUGUCAGUCAAUAUCUUUUCUGCAACAGAUCUGUACGCUUCGGAUGCCGUUAGACUUGAAUCGAACGUUGGUUACACGCCCCUCUAAAUCCCGAUUUCCCUACAAUCCCUGCAUGUCUCGCUCAAUCUCAUGAUCUCGGCACACAUGUAAUGAUUGCUGCUAGUUUUUUGGGCUGCCGUCUGCUGGUUCCUCUCCCAAGCGCUCUAUUUUCCUCUCACUUGUUGAUCGCCCGUCCAAGGGAAACUCCUUCAGGUCAAGUGCUAGGAAAACAAAGCUCCUUCAUCCUUUGGUGUGUUGGAUCAAAUUACAACACUAACCAACUCGCCCAACCUUAGUUAUGGUCUAGCAAAAAUAGAAAUAAUGCAGUAGAACCUUCUUUACUUCCGCAUCAGCAAAAAAAAACCAAAACAAGCGUAUAAAUGGUUAGCAACAAACAAACGUAUUAAAAUAUUCAUAUAUACUACAUACUUAAUUUGCUGCCAGACCAAACAAAGGUAUAAACGGUUAGCAACAAACCCGAUGAUAUUAUAUGGAGCAUCAUUUUAAUCGGAAAGCAAAAUCCGUCAUGAGAUCAGCCAGCCAUACACCAGUGCCAAGAUAAACAUGGUGGUUGGUUUAAAAUUAACCAAAUGGUUAAACCGAGGCACUGGCAGCCAAUUUGGACAAUGUGCACUUCACUUACAGAAUGUCCACUUGCAGGUAGGAAAACCGUAUCUGUCGGUACAUCCAAGAAUAUUGCAAGUGUAUUUGAUAUAUUAUGUAUUUAUGUCAGUACAUCCAGUCCGGAUUUUCAAAAGUUGCUGUGUGACAUUGGCAAAUGGUACGAAAUUUCUUUCCAAAUACUACAAAAUGUUGCAGGACUGCAAAUUAAACAACUAACUCCAGUGACUAGACGUGGGACAGCACACUGUGCAACAACAAAAUGUUAUCACCUCGAUUAGCUGCCCCGUAGGAAGGACCACGACAUUUGUUUUUUGUGAAUUGGUUGAAUCUUGAGUGCAUCACAUACAUAACUCCAGUGACUAGACGUGGGACAGCGCACUGUGCAACAAGCCAAUAACAAAAUAUUAUCACCUCGAUUACCUGCCAUGUAGGAAAGAUCACGACAUUUGUUUUUGUGAAUGGUUGAAUCUUGAAUGCAUCACAUGCUUCCCACUGAGGAGAGAAGGCCCGGCAGCAAGUGGUUACUUUCCUCUCUUUCUUUAACGACACCUCUCAUUAAUUAGGAUUGAGUACAGGAUCGAUCUUAGAAAUGUCCAUGAUAAUUAUGUUUUGUUCAUACGGACAUAUGUAAUACUACUUGAUGAUAUUAUUGAUAUGCAUGACAAAUCUCAGCUCGACCGUAUACCAUUAUUUGAUAACUAGUGGUUUGGACUCCACCUGGUCCAUGUUGUGUACAUGAGCAUUUCUAGGAGGCUUAACAGAUAAAUGCUAUUCAUAUCCAUCAGCAAGUCACAUACGAGUUGAUGUUCAUUACGAAUUGAUAUUUGGAUUUUUGCUUCACCAGGAUGUACGUAAAUGCUAAAGCUAUUGGUAUUCUACUGUACAGAUCUAAACCUGGUAGAGAAUCAAACAACAAAAAUUAUAAGUUGUUAUUGAAAUAUUUUGAGGACAACCCAUCACAGCUAAUUAUAAGUAGAGAUCUAAACCUGGUACAGAUCAACUUGAACUGAUUGCAAAGAUAAUGAGGACAACCCAUCACAGCUGGACUUGACUGUCACAUUUUGUGUUUCCCUCCAAUGUCUGUGCAUGGUAACUUGGGUUAUUGCUUUGUACUGCUAUUUUCGUACUAGCUAUAUUGGUUUACAGAGUAUUAUUGAAAUAUUGCUACUCCCUCUGUUCACGAAUAUAAGCUGUUUUGGAUAUUUCAAUAUUGAGUACAGACAGACUGAAAUAAGUAUACAAACACCCUAAAAUGUGUGUGUCUACAUAUGGUUUAUAAAGAGCUUAGAACAUCUUAUAUUUGUUACCAGAAGUGGUAUUAUAGUUGUUCCACAGGAUGGUAGUGGGCCAUUUGUUUUAUGAAAACAUAACAACUCUAAUUCUAGUCUUUAAGGACACCCUAAUCCAAGGACAACUUGCCUUUAUCUUUCGGAUGAUAUCCCAGAAUUCUAGCUCGACUGCUCAUGGGAACAAAUGGUAGAAUCAUUGACGUUCCCAUUUGGUAGGUGGCACCCGAUGAAGAAUUUCAAGGAAAUCAUGUCAAGAGUCUAUGGGUACCACAAACCCUAUACAACUAGGAACAACAUGCUUUUUUGCUUUGGCUCUUGUAAAGGAAUAACAUAAAAGAGGAGGGCAUGCACCAUAGUAUAGAAUGGCCCGUAUAGAUGACCAAAAUUACUCAUGGAAGUUAUAGAUACAGUGUGAGGCCAACUCAGCCGCACCUUUAUCACUUAUAUAAGAUGUGGAUUGUGUUGGAAAUAUGUCCUAGAGGCAACAAUAAAAUAAUAAUUAUUAUAUUUAUUUGUUCAAGAUAAUCUUUUAUUAUCCAUGCUAGAAUUGUAUUGAUUGAAUACAUGUGUGGAUAUAUAGACAACACACUGUCCCUAGUAAGCUUCUAAUGGACUAGCUUGUUGAUCAAAGAUGGUCCAGGUUUCCUGCCCAUAGACAAGAGUUAUCAUUUGAUAACGGGAUCACAUCAUAAGGAGACUGAUGUGAUGGACAAGACCCAAAUUAUGACCGUAGCAUAUGAUCGUGUCAGUUUAUUGCUAUUGUUUUCUGCAUGUCUGGUAUCUGUUCCUAUGAGCAUGAGAUCAUGCAACUCCCGGACACCGGAGGAAUACCUUCUGUGUAUCAAAUGUCAAAACGUAACUGCGUGACUAUAAAGGUGCUCUACAUGUAUCUCCCAGGGUGUCUGUUGGGUUGGCAUCAAUCGAAAUUGGGAUUUGUCACACCAUAUGACGGAGAGGUAUCUCUGGGCCCACUCAGUAAUACAACAUCACAAUGAGCUUGCAAGCAAUGUGACUAAGGAGUUAGUCACGGGACCUUGUAUUACGGAACGAGUAAAGAGACUUGCCGGUAACGAGAUUGAACAAGGUAUGUAGAUACCGACGAUGGAAUCUCGGGCAAGUAACAUACCGAUGGCCAAAGGGAACAACAUAUGGGAUUAACUAAAUCCUUGACAUUGAGGUUCAACCAAUAAAGAUCUUCAUAGAAUAUGUAGGAGCCAAUAUGGGCAUCUAGGUCCUGCUCUUUGUUAUUUAACGGAGAUUGUCUCGGUCAUGUAUGCAUAGUUCUCGAACCCGUAGGGUCUGCACCCUUAAGGUUUGAUGACGUUUCGAUAUAGUAGAAUUACGUAUGUUGGUGACCGAAAGUUUUUUGGAGUCCCGGAUGUGAUCCCAGACGUCACAAGGAGUUCCAAAGUGGUCCAGAGACGAAGAUUCAUAUGUAGAAAAGAGGUAUACAGGUUCCGAAAAUGUUUUGGGGACUGUCGGUAAAGCACCAGGAGUGACGAAUGGGUUUUGGGGGUUCACCGGGAGGGGCCACCCACCCGGGGGCCACAUAGGCCUAAGAAGUGGCGCACCAGCCCCUGGUGGGCUGGUCGGCUAGCCCCUAUGGGCCUAUGCACCCGAAUUGAUGAGCUGGGGAGGAAUCCGACUAGGAGGAGGAGUCCACCUAGCACCUCCACCGAACCCAAUUUGAGGAUGUUGGGGAUCGUAGUAAUUUCAAAAAAUUUCCUACGCCAUACAAGGAUCUAUAUAUGGAGAAACCAACAAUGAGAGAGAUUGUAGAGCAUAUUCAUAUCUUUGAAGAUCGCUAAGCGGAAGCGUUACUAUGAACGCGGUUGACGGAGUCGUACUCGCAGCGAUUCAGAUCGUGGUGGAUUCCGAUCUAUGUGUCGAAUCACGGCACCUCCGAGUUCAACACACAUACAGCCCAGUGAUGUCUCCUACUUCUUGAUCCAGCAAUGAGAGAGGAGAAGUUGAUGGAGAGCUCCGGCGGCAUGACGGCGUGGUGGCAGUGGAGCUAUGUGGUUCUCCGGCAAGGCUUUGCCAAGUGCUGCCGAGGACGAGCAGGAGGAGGAGUAGGGCUGCGCCGUGGGAGAUGAAUUGUGUUUCUCCAAAAGGACCAAACCCUCCACUAUCUAUAGGAGGAGGGAGAGGGAGGCUGCCUUGGACCCUCCUCCAAGGAGGAGGACCUUCAGCCGAAGCUAGGGAGGUGUCCACCUCCCAGAAGGGAGGUGGACUACCUUGGUAGGACUCUUCCUCCUUUUCCUUUUAAGCCCUUUGGCAUAUCUCCUCUAUCCCUAUGCGCAUAGGACUUUAGGGAAGGCCUUGGCCAUCCCAAUAAGGGCUGGUCCACCUCCUCUAACAGAUCAUGCACCCUUUUGGUCAGUACACCCCUCCCCGGGGUCCUCCGGCACCCUCCCGGCACUCCCGGUACGCUACCGAUGAGCCCAAAACUUUUCCGGUGACCAAAACAUGACUUCCUAUAUAUCAAUCUUUACCUCCGGACCAUUCCGGAGCUCCUCGCAAAAUCCGGGAUCUCAUACGGGACUGCGAAGUAUCUUCGGUAACCACAUACAAUUCUCUUUACAACUCUAGCAUCAUCGAACCUUAAGUGUGUAGACCCUACGGGUUCGGGAGACAUGCAGACAUGACCGAGACAUCUCUCCGGCCAAUAACCAACAAUGGGGUCUGGAUAUCCAUGUUGGUUCCCACAUGUUCCACGAUGAUCUCAUCGGAUGAACCACGAUGUCAAGGAUUCAAUCAAUCCCGUAUGCAAUUCCCUUUGUCUACCGCCGGUAUUCCUAUACCUUGUUCAAUCUCGUUACUGGCAAGUCUCUUUACUAGUUCCGUAACACAUCAUCCAGUGACUAACUCCUUAGUCACACUGAGCUCAAUAUGAUGAUGGAUUAGUGAGUGGGCCCAGAGAUACCUCUCCGUCACACGGAGUGACAAAUCCUUGUCUUGAUUUGUACAACCCAACAAACACUUUCGGAGAUACCUGUAGUGCACCUUUAUAAUCACCCAGUUACGUUGUGACGUUUGGUACACCCAAAGCACUCCUACGGUAUCCAGGAGUUGCACAAUCUCACGGUCUAAGGAAAUUACACUUGACAUUAGAAAAGCUUUAGUAGACGAACAACACGAUCUAGUGCUAUUCUUAAGAUUGGGUCUUGUCCAUCACAUCAUUCCCCAAUGAUGUGAUUUCGUUAUCAAUGGCAUCCAAUGUCCAUGAUCAUCUAUUUAUCAACGAGCUAGCCAACUAGAGGCUCACUAGGGACUCAUUGUGAUCUAUAUAUUCACACAUGUAGUACAGUUUCCGGUUAAUACAAUUAUAACAUGAAUAAUAGACAAUUAUCAUGAACUAGGAAAUAUAAUAAUAACCACUUUAUUAUUGCCUCUAGGGCAUAUUUCCAACAGUCUCCCACUUGCACUACAGUCAAUAAUAUAGUUACAUUGUGAUGAAUCGAACACCUAUAGAGUUUUGGUGCUGAUCAUGUGUUGCCCGUGGUAGAGGUUUAGUCAACGGGUCUGCGACAUUCAGAUUUGUAUGUACUUUACAAAUAUCUAUAUCUCCAUCCUGGAUGUAUCCACGUAUGGAGUUGAAGCGGCGCUUUAUGUGCUUGGUCUUUUUGUGAAACUUGGGCUCCUUGGCAAUAGCAAUAGCCCUAGUGUGGUCACAGAACAGAGUCGUCGGGCCUGACUGAUACGUCUCCAACAUAUCUAUAAUUUUUGAUGGUUUCAUGCUAUUAUCUUGUCAAACUUUGGAUGUUUUGUAGGCCCUUUAUAUCUUUUUUGGGACUAACUUAUUAACUCAGUGCCAUGUGCCAGUUCCUGUUUUUUCCGUGUUUUGACACUUUUCAGAGGAGGAUUUUAAACGGAGUUCAAACGGAAUAAAACUUCCGAAAAGAUUUUUUUCGGAACGGAAGAUACGCAGAAAGCUUGGGAACCAAGGCAGGGAGUCCCGAGGGAGGACACACGCCCUCAUGGCGCGGCCAGGGGGCCCGCGCCUCCCAGGCUUGUGGGCUCCCUGGGCCUCCCCUGCCCUAGCUCCUUCGCCUAUAAAUUCCCUAAAAUCCCACAAAAAAUUAGGAGAUCAACGAAAAUACUUUUCCGCCGCCGCAAGCUUCUGUCUCCGCAAGAUCCCAUCUAGGGCACGUUCUCGUGCCCUGCCGGAGGGGGGAUUUGGAUAUGGAGGGCUUCUUCAUCAACACCAUGACCUCUCCGAUGAUGCGUGAGUAGUUCAUCAUAGACCUACGGGUCCAUAGCUAGUAGCUAGAUGGCUUCUUCUCUCUCUUGGAUCUUCAAUAGAAAGUUCUCCAUGAUCUUCAUGGAGAUCUAUCCGAUGUAAUCUUCUUUUGCGGUGUGUUUGUCGAGAUCCGAUGAAUUGUGGAUUUAUGAUCAGAUUAUCUAUGAAUCUUAUUUGAGUUUCUUCUGAUCUCUUAUAUGCAUGAUUUCGUAUCCUUGUAAUUCUCUUCGAGUUGUGGGUUUUGUUUGGCCAACUUGAUCUAUGAUUCUUGCAAUGGGAGAAGUGCUUGGUUUUGGGUUCAUACCGUGCGGUGACCUCACCCAGUGACAGAAGGGGUAGCGAGGCAUGCAUCGUGUUGUUGCCAUCAAGGGUAAAAAGACGGGGCUUUCAUAAUUGGUUUGAGUUUAUCCCUCUACAUCAUGUCAUCUUGCUUAAGGUGUUACUCUAUUCAUCAUGAACUCAAUACACUAGAUGCAUGCUGGAUAGCGGUCGAUGUGUGGAGUAAUAGUAGUAGAUGCAGAAAGUAUCGGUCUACUUGUCUCGGACGUGAUGCCUAUAUGUAUGAUCAUUGCCUUAGAUAUUGUCAUGACUUUGCGCGUGUCGUGGGUAUAAGCCUGACAGUAGAUGUGUAGGGUACGAAAGGAUGGACAGAGCCUUAGCUACGGCGAGGUUGUAUGAGUUCAGGCCCCUCUGCGGUGGAGGUAAUAGCCCUACGUCUCAGUGCUCUCGGAGCUUGUUGUCGAGUGGAAUAUGGAAUACAAUGAGUUGCUAACCCCUGCACCAGUGGGGGAGGGUGGCUUAUAUAGAGUGCGCUGCCCUCCACAACGGUUCGGUACACAGGGGUGGAGUAGUGGCGAAUAAAUGCGUACGUUACAGGUAACGUACGUCUUAAAUGCUAAUAAAGGCACAUGGAAAUGUAUGACCGUUUCCCUCGAGGGGGGUUACGAUGCACAGAGUGGAAUCCAGUUGGUUAGUUUGAUAAACUCCGAAUGGUAAUCUCCGACUGGAUGGUCGAGGAUCUGUUACCGACUGGAUGAAGGGAACUCCUUAGUUCAGUCGGAACUGACUAAGGGCCUUGUCCCUUAUGAGGGGUAGUCCUUGGGUUGGACCUAUAGGGCAGGCCUAUGACCCUACCCUAGGACUAUGACCCCAUCAUUAGUCCCCGAAUGGAUUGGGGUUGGAACGACGGAGCGAUGCUUGAAGUUUGGAUCCGACUGGAACAGAUGUGGCUUUGGCGUUGCUUGCCUCGAUCCAUUUUAUCUUUUCUGACCAACGAUCCGAGUGGAAGUAUUUGUGGAACAAACUGUCGGAAACCGAGUGCUUCCAGGGUAUUUCCUGACGUGACCAGUCAACUGACAGCGGCGGAUUUUCCGGGAUCCUUAAAUUUCGGUUACCGCGCGCUCAGUGGGGAUGCCGACAUCGCGCUCGAGUAGCGCUUGACGCCUCGAUUCUUGCACCUUCAUCUUCUCCACUGAUAUCGCCGCGGUUGGUCGGGGGAUAGGGUUUCGGGGCCACCUGCCAGUGACGCAGUCGGAACCUUACUUAAACCUCAGUGGCGAGGGUUUUCUCGUUACGCUCGCCGGAUCUCUUGCCUUUGAUUGAUCCACUCCUCUCGCCUCCUCCUGCGCACCCAAGCUCCUUCCUUUUCCUUCUCCUCCACGGACCCGCAGCUUCCGCCAUGGCCAAGGGACAAACUAGCAAGCUGGAGGCGAAGAAGAAGAAGGGGAAGGCGGCGGCUCCUGCUCAGCGGCGGCAGCGAGCGUUACCGGCGGGGUGGAUCCAGAUGACGGAGGGGGAUUUGCUGGAGCUGGUGGAGCACGGGAUGGUCGUGCACAAGUCGUGGAGGUUGCCGACGGAGAAUGAGAUCGAGCCGGCGCCCCGGGAGGGGGAGUGCGUCCUGCUGCUCAGCCACGUAUAUCGAGGUUUCUCUCUACCCCCGCAUCCUUUCUUCAAAGGCAUAAUGAACCACUUCGGGGCACAACUUCACCACUUUCCCCCGAAUGCUAUAGCUCAUCUCUCUGCUUUCAUAGUCCUGUGUGAGUGCUUCAUCGGCUGUCCCCCCCCCCAUUGGGAGCUUUUCAAACAUAUUUUCUCUGCUAGAUCCCAAACCAUCAAACGACUUCACCAGUCGGAUGAUAAGACACACCUUCUCCAGCUCUCCGGAGGCUUAGGUUUCCAUAAGAAGAGUAGAAGUAGUUAUCCUGCUCUUCAGCUGAGUGAGUCGGUUAGGAACUAGCAGUCGGCAUGGUUUUACUGCCAGGACGUUGCCUGCCCGAAUGCCACGACAGGGUUGCCUCCUUUUAGCUUAGAUCGACCCGCUCCGCCCAAGCAGCUUGCGCUCACGAAGGCAGAGAAGAUCGACAUCCAGCCUCUGGUCGAUGCACUCGUAGAUGUCGUCAGAAGGGGAGUCACCGGCAUAGAUUGGCUGGAGGUUUUCCUCGGUCGGCGCAUCCAACCACUGCAGGCUCGCGACCACGCCAUGUGGCACUACACGGGGCCCGAAGACUCCACUCGGACCAACGUCUUGGGCGUGACUGAGUUGAAGGUGGCGUCGUGGGUGCUCCAGAUCAUAGGCGCCUGCGAGAACUCCAGAGGGUCCUGGCGAGUGAGGGCUUUCUGCACGGACAACCCUCCUCCGAACGAGGUGAGUACCACUUGUCGAGUGCACGUAACUGUCUUAGUUUUAUCGCUUUCUUGAAUCUCUGUCUGACGCUUGAUGUCGCCGACUGUAUUUUACGCAGAAGUGGACCAACUGGUUUUCCCCUGUCUCGAACGGGAACCCGGCCGAGGAGGAGGAGGAGGGCAGCCAGGAGGGCAGCGUGGAGAGCGUCGAGUACGUCUCCGACAGUGGGGAAACGGAGGAAGAGUCUAGUGAAGAGGAGGGGGAAAACGAAGAGCAGGACUCGCCACCUCCGCCGCCAGAGCAUCAAACCAAGCGCCGACAUGAACCUGCAGCUCUCUCGGCCCUUCCAGCAUCCUCGAGUGCUCCGCCAACGGCUCCCACGGUUCCUAGUGCCCCGUCAACUGUUCCCGGGGGUCCGAGUGCUCGGAGCACCAAGAGGACCAGGGACUCUGCUACUGAACUUGCGGGUCAGCCUUCCAAGGUGGCCAAACCGAGCGGAUCUAAACCUCGGAAGGCUUUGCCGCGGAUGAGGGUCACCGUUCCCAUCACCUCGACGUAAGUAUAUUGUUCUUCUAACUUCUUCUGAUUAUUCGAUUGGACUCCUGUUUAUGGGCCGAAUGAAUUUCACUCGACAGAGUUGCUACCUCUGCCACCUCUCCGGCACGCCAGGGGGAUGACCCCAUGGACACGGAGAACGUUGUCUCGUCCCAGCCAGGUACGUUGUAGCGAUUCCAAGAGUUUUACAUUAUCGCAUCACGAAUUCUGUCUUCGGUCUUGCCCCUUUCUUUUUCUGAGAUCUCACGCCAUCCGGUCUGGCAUGGGUGAUUUAUGUGGAUGAGCGUGACCAAGGGAGACCUGAGCAAGCUGCGGUGCGUGUCCUUGAGGCUGUUCCGCUAGUUACUGCUCUCGCCGCAGACAUGCCGCCGACUGAGGCGAUGCUGCCGACUGAAACGGCGCUGGUUGCUGCUGAACCGACUGGAGCUGGCAUCGCGAUGCCCAAGGAGCUUCCAACGAUGCCAGGCCCGUGAAAUGUCGAAUUCAACGUCCAACGCCUCCCGGAGGAUCAGGUGGGAGCGUCCAAGGGGGCCAUGGUGCAGGCGGAGCUGAUGGCGGGAGAAGCCAAGAAAGCGUACGCCUCCAUCGCAUCCCUGUACCAGCGAAGCUUGGAGCUGCGGGACGAUAUCCGAGUAAGUGGGCUAGUAAGUAUUUACUUUUCUCUUGUAACCCACUGGGUGUGCUCGGAUACCGUAUGAUUAUUGCAAUGGGUUCACUCUGAGUGAACCCAGUGGGUGUAGUCCCCGAGACUUCUGUCGAGUGCUUGCACCGGCAGUUGUCUUUAUGCAUAUUGUCUUUGACUUGGUAAGAUCCGUAAAUAACCUGGUCGAAUGCUAACAGUUGGGGCACUCGGAGUGCACGUACUGUAAGAGUCCCCGAGAGUAAUUUUACUCAGGUCGGGUAGUAUUAGCCUCGUAGGCGUAGGUGUUUUCAUGUAUCUCAAUAGGGCGGACCUGUUUGAGUUUCAUGCCAGUGGGGUUACUCUCAGUGAACCCACUGGGUGUAGUGCCCGAGACCGCUGUCCACUGCUUGCGUCGGCAGGGGUCUGAAGAACUUAGACUUUUUAUUGUUGGAUUUGUCUGAUCGUCUCUUGGUGCUGGCUGGAAGAAAACUUGUGAGAUGGGGACAGCAUACGAGACUCUUAGGGCUGAAAAGGUUCAGUUUGCCGGUGAGCUGGAUGCGGCACUGAUUGCAAUGGCUGGCAUGAAGGACGUUCUGGCGGAACGAGAGAAGUCAUUGGAGCAGGCCCGUGAAGCAAACAAGGCACUGACUGCUGAAGUUGAGAAGAUGAAAGCUCAUAGGUCUGAGCUGAUGGGGCAAAUGAAUGUGCUGAACAAGCGGUGUAUAGCGCAGGAAAAAUACGUCAGUGACUGGGUCCGGCAGAUGAUAACGCGUCUGGGUGGUAAGUCCUGUUCUCCCGAGUGCUUGUGGUAUGUGCAUUACACUCGGUGCUUAUUGUUUGUUUGUCCUGUGUUUGCAGAUUUUUGCAUGGACGCUGAAGCUGAAGCAGCUGACGUGGAGCGGUCGAUUCGCGAGAACAUUCCACUCGGCGAGGACGCCAAUCGAGAUCUGCUCCGAGCGCACAUUCGCGUGGGCAAAGUUGGUCCUUUCAUCGGUCGACUGAGAGAAGUCGUAGGCUGGAUCGACAAGGAGCUUUGGCCUGAAGAUGAGUCGCGGCAUGAGAUGGAAAGCUUGAUGACUCGACUGGAGGAGGUCCCAAACCGAGUGCAGUCAUGGAAGAAGUCUGCGGCUCGCUCUGGUGCAGACGUUGCCCUGUCCCUGGUCCGAGUGCAUUGCAAGGAGGUGCGCAAAGAGAAGCUGAAAGCGUUGAGGGUCGCCAACACGAAGAAACUUCGAUUCAAAGACUUCAUGGAAACCUUCCUUGAGAGUGCCACCCGCAUCGCCGAAGGGAUCGACUUGGACACAUUCGUGGAACCCUCCAGUCCUGGCGCCAAUCCGGACGACGCUUAAGAAAACUUUUACCUCGGUAUGCCGAGUGUUGGUUGUAAGAAACCUUGGCCACUUCUGUUGGCCGUCAAAUUCUUGGUUCGGUGCGGGUAAGCUUGAUCCGCACCGAGUGAACUAUCUUUAGGUGAACUUCUAAUUUGAAUCAAAUCGUUUGCUCUUCUGUUGCAAUUUUGGCUCGAGUUUUUGUUUGGCGUUUCUUGGUGAAGCCAAUGGCAAACAUGCGGAGCAUGUAAGUGUCAGUUGCCUUGACAUCUGCAUGAGCCUCUCUGAGGGUCUGCGGAUUCUCCGAGUGGAUCUGUAGGAUACAGUCGAAGGUAAUAGAAUACUUAGGCGACUCAUGAUCGCGGCUAUGUUGUCGAGUGCGACAGACAAGCCGCACUAGGAGCGACUUGGAAUUCAUGUAAUUGUCAGUGGUCUUGACAUCCACAUGAGCCUCAAUGAGGGUCUGCUAAGUCUCCGAGUGGAUCUGUAGGGUACACUCAAAGGCAAUAGAGUACUUAGGCGAUUCAUGAUCGUGGGUAAGUCGUUGAGUGAGUCGGACAGGCCUCACUCGAAGCGAGUUGGUACUCAUGUAAUUAUCAGUGGUCUUGACAUCCACAUGAGCCUCAAUGAGGGUCUACUACUCAUGUAAUUGUCAGUGGUCUUGACAUCCACAUGAGCCUCAAUGAGGGUCUUCUACUCAUGUAAUUGUCAGUGGUCUUGACAUCUACAUGAGCCUCAAUGAGGGUCUGCUGAGUCCCCGAGUGUAUCUGUAGGAUACAGUCGCAGGAAGCUUUCCCAUUAAAGCGAUUCUUGAUCGCAGUUAGGUCUUCAAGUGUGACGAGUAGUGCACGCUCGGAGGAAAUUUGUACUGAGGCGAUUCUUGAUGGCGGCUCGGUUCCCGAGUGCUACGUUUAGUGCACACUCGGAGAAAGUUAUUACUUAGGCGAUUCUUGAUCGCAGCUAAGUCCCCGAGUGCGAAGUUUAGUGCACACUCGGGGAAAUUUAAUACUUAGGAAAUUCGUGAUCGCAGCUAAGUCCCCGAGUGCAACGUUUAGUGCACACUCGGAGAAAGUUAGUACUUAGGCGAUUCGUGAUCCCAGCUAAGUCCUCGAGUGCGACGUUUAGUGCACACUCGGAGAAAGUUAGUACUUAGGCGAUUCGUGAUCGCAGCUAAGUCCUCGAGUGCGACGUUUAGUGCACACUCAGAGAAAGUUAGUACUUAGACGAUUCGUGAUCGCAGCUAAGUCCCCGAGUGCGACGUUUAGUGCACACUCGGAGAAAGUUAGUACUUAGGCGAUUCGUGAUCGCAGCUAAGUCCCCGAGUGCGACGUUUAGUGCACACCCGGAGAAAGUUAGUACUUAGGCGAUUCAUGAUCGCAGUUAAGUCCCCGAGUGCGACGUUUAGUGCACACUCGGAGAAAGUUAGUACUUAGGCAAUUCGUGAUCGCAGCUAAGUCCCCGAGUGCGAUGUUUAGUGCACACUCGGAGAAAGUUAGUACUUAGGCGAUUCUGGAUCGCAGCUAAGUUUUUUUUUGAGACCGGAGUCUGCCACCGCGGAAGAAUUUUGAAUCUGCAAAACCUCAAUCUGCUUUAUAUUAUUUCACCAAUACUUGUUAUUUACAUUGCUUCAGUCGUCGGUCACCUGUAGAAGCGCUUCAGGAGAUCUCCGUUCCAUGCUCGCGGCUCGUCUGUCUCCCUGUCGAUGUUGUAGAGUCUGUAUGCUCCGUUGUUCAGCACCUUGGAGAUGAUGAAGGGUCCUUCCCAAGCAAGAGCCAACUUGUGAGGUCUUUGCUGAUCCACUCGGAGCACCAGGUCGCCUGCUUGGAACGUACGACUCCUGACGUGUCGUGCGUGAAAACGCCGUAGAUCUUGUUGAUAAAUGGUUGAGCGAGUCAGUGCCAUCUCGCGCUCCUCCUCUAGAAGGUCCACUCCGUCUUGCCUUGCUUGUUCUGCUUCAGCUUCGGAGAAGAGUUCGACUCGUGGAGCAUUGUGGAGCAAGUCACUUGGAAGGACUGCUUCUGCUCCGUAAACGAGGAAGAACGGUGAUCGCCCUGUAGAUCUGUUCGGGGUUGUGCGGAGACCCCAAAGCACUGAAGGCAGCUCGGUGACCCAUGCGCCAGCGGCAUGUCCCACCUCUCGCAGGAGUCAGGGCUUCAAACCUUGCAGAAUAAGUCCAUUUGGCUCUCCUUGUCCGUUUGAUUGAGGAUGCGCCACGGAAGCAAAAUCCACUCGGAUACCUUGUCUUGCACAGAAACCUUUGAAUCUGUCCGAGUCAAAGUUUGUUCCAUUGUCUGUGAUUAUGCUGUGAGGUACCCCGAAUCGGGAGAUAAUAUCCCUGACAAACUUGAUGGCUGUUAGGGCGUCGAGCUUCUUGAUGGGCUUUGCUUCAAUUCAUUUUGUGAACUUGUCGACUGCCACCAACAGAUGUGUGUAUCCUCCUUGGCCUGUCCUGAAUGGACCGACUGUAUCUAAUCCCCAUACUGCAAACGGACACACAAGAGGGAUUGUCUUCAACGCAGAUGUUGGCUUGUGGGACUUGUUGGAGUAGAACUGACAGACUUCACAUCGGUCGACCAUAUCUUUAGCCAUUUCGUUUGCCUGCGGCCAGAAGAAACCAGCUCUGAAUGCUUUGGCGACGAUCGCUCUCGAAGAGGCGUGAUGACCACAGGUUCCCGAGUGAAUUUCUCCCAGGAUCAACUGUCCCUCCUCUGGGAGAUGCAUCGUUGAAGAACGCCUGAAACGCUUUCCUUGUACAACUGGCCAUCAAUGAUAGUGAAUGACUUCGACCUCGGACUAUCUGCCUGGCCUGGACUUCGUCUUCUGGUAAUUCCUGCCUCAGGAUAUAUGCAAUGAUCGACACAGUCCAAUCGGGGAUGACAGCAAGAAUCUCCAUGAUGAGAUCAACCACAGCAGGUACAUCGACUUCAGUCCGAUCUGUCGUGCUCUUUGGUUGUACUUGUUCUUCUGUGAAAGGAUCUUCUUUGACUGAGGGAAGGUGGAGGUGCUCGAGGCAGACGUCACUCGGGACUGGUCUCCGAGUGAAUCCGAGUUUCGCCAACUCAUCAGCUGCUUGGUUCUUUAGUCAUGGAACAUGGUGGAGUUCUAGACCUUCAAACUUCUUCUCGAGCUUCCUCACUGCAUUGCAGUAUGUGGUCAUGGUGGAGUUCAUGACGUCCCACUCUUUCAUCACUUCAUUAACCACCAAAUCCGAAUCGCCAUAGACCAUCAGGCGACGGACGCCGAGUGCGAUGGCCAUACGCAGUCCAUAAAGGAGAGCUUCAUACUCUGCCUCAUUGUUGGAGGAAUCAAAGUGUAUCUGCAGCACAUAUUUGAGUUUGUCGCCCUUUGGCGAUACGAUCACAACGCUAGCGCCAGAACCAUUCAACAUCUUGGACCCAUCAGAGAACAUUGUCCAAUCAGCCGAGUAGAUGUGGGUCGGUUGCUGUUGUUCUACCCAUUCUGCUAUGAAGUCAGCCAGGGCUUGAGACUUUGUAGCUUUCUUAGCCUCGAACUUGAUAUCGCAGUACAACAUCUUCAUUGCCCACUUCGCCACUCGGCCUGAUGCAUCUCGAUUGUGGAGGAUUUCCGACAACGGGGCAUCAGAAACAACAGACACCAAGUGGUCUUGGAAAUAAUGGGCUACCUUCUUUGCAGUCAUGUAAAUCCCGUAGAUAAGUUUUUGAUAGUGGGGAUACCUCUGCUUGGAAGGAGUCAGGACUUCGGAGACGCAAUACACUGGCCGCUGAACUUUGUAUGCUUUGCCUUCUUCUUCUCGUUCGACUGUAAGAACAGUGCUGACGACUUGAUUAGUAGCCACGAUAUACACAGGAAGAGGCUCUUUACUGAGCGGAGCAGUAAUAACCGGCUGGGUGGAAAGUAGGACUUUGAGGUCGUCGAAUGCGACUUGGGCUUCGUCUGUCCACUCGAAAGUAUCUGAUUUCUUCAUGAGUCGGUACAGAGGAAGUGCUUUAUCGGCGAGUCGACUGAUAAACCUGCUCAAAGCCGCUAGGCAACCUGUGAGCCGUUGAACAUCGUGUAUUCUGACCGGCCUCUCCAUUCGGACGAUGGUCCUGAUUUUUUCGGGGUUGACAUCGCUCCCUCGUUCGGAAACAAAAAAACCUAGUAUCUUUCCACUGGGAACGCCGAAUGAACACUUGGCGGGGUUGAGCUUGAUAUCGUACCUACGAAGGUUGGCGAAUGUUUCUGCCAAGUCAGUCAGCAGGUCGGAACCUUUGCGUGACUUGACUACGAUAUCAUCCAUAUACGCCUCCACAUUCCGACCAAUCUGGUCGAGGAGGCAUUUUUGGAUCAUGCGCAUAAAGGUAGCUCCUGCAUUCUUCAAACCAAAUGGCAUAGUGAUGUAGCAGAAGCAUCCGAAUGGGGUGAUGAAGGCUGUUUUUAAUUCAUCGGGGCCAUUCAGACGGAUCUGAUGAUAGCCUGAGUAGGCAUCAAGAAAUGACAAACGCUCGGAACCCGCAGUCGAAUCGACAAUUUGAUCGAUGCGGGGGAGCGGAAAAUGGUCUUUCGGGCAGACCUGAUUGAGAUGCUUGAAGUCGAUGCACAUUCGGAGCGACUUGUCCUUCUUGGGCACCAUGACAACAUUGGCGAGCCACUCGGAGUGGUGAACCUCGCGAAUGAAGUUGGCUGCCAACAGCUUGGCCACCUCUUCCCCGAUUGCCUUCCUCUUGUGCGCGGCGGACCAGCGCAGGCGUUCUCGGACGGGCCGAGCGGUGGGAUCCACAUGCAAUCGGUGCUCAGCCAACUCCCUGGGUACACCCGGCAUGUCAGAGAGUUUCCAUGCGAAGAUGUCCCAGUUCUCACGGAGGAAUUGGGUGAGCUCGGCUUCCUAUUUAGGAUCGAGGGUGGUGGAGAUGUUCGUCGGGGCAGCAGUGUCGUCCGUCGGGUGGAUGUUGACCUUCUUCGUCUCUCCCGCCGACUGAAAUGCAGACUCCGAAGCUGGCUUCUUCGAACGCAUCAAAUCAGCAGGGUCGACUGUCUUCUUGUACUCGUCAAGCUCGAGGACGGCCAUCUGCUGGUCGGCGAUUCUUGAUCCUUGCUGCAGACACUCUUCGGCUUGCUGUCGAUUGCCAGUGAUGGUGAUCACACCUUUCGGGCCUGGCAUCUUCAGCUUCAGGUAUACGUAACAUGGACGGGCAAUGAAACGCGCAUAUGCCGGGCGGCCUAGAAUUGCGUGGUAAGAGCUCUGGAAGUCUACCACCUCGAACCUCAGCUUUUCCUUGCGGAAGUUCUUGUCGGAGCCGAAAACGACGUCCGACGCGAUCUGGCCGAGUGACUUGGCCUUUCGUCCAGGGACGACUCCAUGGAACUGCAUGCUGCUCUCGCUAUGUUUGGACAUCGGAAUGCCCAUCCCCUUGAGAGUGUCGGCGUACAUGAUGUUCAAGCCACUGCCGCCGUCCAUGAGGACUUUGCGCAGUCGAACUCUUUCCACCACCAGGUCGACGACCAGAGCCUGUCUCCCUGGGGUGGGUACGUGUGCUGGAUGAUCCGACUGGUCAAAGGUGAUCGCAGUCUGAGACCACUUGAGGAACUAGGGGUUGGUAGGGGUGGCCAUGUUCACCUCCCUGUUCACCAGCUUCAGUCGACUCUUGCUCUCAACGUCAGCAAAAAUCAUUAGUGUUGCAUGGACUUGGGGGAACGGAUCCUCCUUAUCCUCCUCAUCCUGUUCAUUGUCCUUUUCACUCGGUUGCCCUUCGCCGAACCCCUGGAUCAGGAGGCUUCACUGUCGAGUGGUAUGCUUCGGAUAUAUGGGGUUGCCCUCUUCAUCCAUCUUCAUAUGAACCGUACAUGGCUGGUCCAGGAUGGGAUUAUUGAACUGCUUCUUCUUGGGGGUGAACUGAGCCUUCACUUUGCCCUUGAACUUGGCAUUGGUUACGGCUGCAGCUUCUGCCUGCGGAGUGGACGGAGCUUUCUGCUUCUGCUUCCGAGUGUUACUCCCAUCUCCAUCGGCGACUGUCUUGUGCUUGCCGCUUCGGAUGCGGUCCUCUUCUUCCCCAUUUGCAUAGCGUGUUGCUAUCUCCAUCAUCUUGCUCAUGGAGAUGUCACCUGUUCGGCCGAACUAUAGGUACAGAUCCCUGUACCGCACGCCUGCCUUGAAAGCGCAGACUGCUUGAUGCUCUGUGACGUUUUCCACCGUGGGAUAGAGAGUUGUCCAACGCUGAAUGAAACCACGUAGGGGCUCAUUCUGCUUCUGGACGCAAUGCUGGAGCUCCACGAGGCCCGCAGGGUGCUUGCACGUCCCUUCGAAGGUCCUGAUGAACACUCGGGCCAGAUCUGCCCAACUGUAGAUGCUUGAGGGGGCCAACUGGUUCAGCCACGCUCGCGCCGAGCCGUCGAGCAUCAGAGGAAGGUGCUUCAUGGCGACAUGGUCGUCCCCUCCUCCGAUCUGGACUGCCACUCGGUAAUCAUCCAGCCACGUUUCUGGCUUGGACUCUCCUGUAAACUUGCUGAUUCCCGUCGCCAAUCGGAAGUUGGGAGGGAUGUCAGCCGAACGGAUGCCUCGACUGAAACACUCGGGACCAGAAACGAUGGUCCUGCUUCCACUUGGACGGUCAAUAUCGUAACCAUCGCGGUGGGCUCGGCCCCUGUCGACCCUCCGUUGGGCGAUACGCCCUCUCGCGUCGGGCCUUGGGUCGUAAUGUCACCGACUGAACGCCGAUCAUCAUGAAGUCGGGGCCCGUAGGGCCCACCCCGCGGAGGGGUGCGUGAAUGGCGACGAUCUUAGGGAUUUAUGGAACGGCUGCCUCCUCUGUGUCGUUCAUGAGAGCCAGGGCUGUGAACUGACCGAUGCGUAUUCGCAUGAACAGAACUAUUGUGGAUCCUGUUAUGCGACUGGGAGACUGCCGAAUUCUGCUGCUGCGCCGUGUGCAACAGGGCGCGGAUUUUCUCGAUCCCCCUACCAGUAUCUGAAUCAGUCGGCUGAAGGGAAUCGGCUAUCUUGGCAGCCGCAGCCAAGUUGAGAAGGGGUGUGCGGAACAACUCCACGUUGCUCCGCCGAGUGUGCCGAUUGGCAGAACGGCGAGGUGGACGACGCGCGCCGAACGUUUCGCCGAUCUCGUGCUCGUUCCGGCCAGCUUGAUGGGGAUCUUCAUGGGAGUUGGCCAUGUGUAAUUCUGCUGCAGGCCCGCGACCCGCGUACUCGGAAGGAAACUCAGUCGGAACCGAGUCCGAGCGCUGGGACAGCGGGGCAACCACAACCGACUCUAGAACCUCCACUUGUGAAGACGCGUUCUGGCGCACCUGGGCGUGUUGCACCCAACGCUUGAACCGCGGACGGCGGGACCGCUUGUUGCGGCACGUGACGACGGUGCAGGUCGACACCGGAGCCGACUGCUGGAGAAGAAGAAUGCCGCGGGCGCUGGCACGAAAGUGAGUAGCCCCGCGGCGGGGAAGCGCCUCGACGUCGAGAGGGGCGUCCCGAAGCCAUGCCGAAUCGUCGACGAUGAAGGAGAGAGCGCCGAAGAAGAUCUCGUGAGCCAUGCUCGAAUCUCCACCGGAAGACAUGAUGAAAUGAUGUAGUCGCAAACUCGCCGGAAGUCGCUUAGACGCCUGCCCCAUGGUGGGCGCCAACUCUCGUGGGUAUAAGCCUGACAGUAGAUGUGUAGGGUACGAAAGGAUGGGCAGAGCCUUAGCUACGGCGAGGUUGUAUGAGUUCAGGCCCCUCUGCGGUGGAGGUAAUAGCCUUAAGUCUCAGUGCUCUCGGAGCUUGUUGUCAAGUGGAAUAUGGAAUACCAUGAGUUGCUAAUCCCUGCACCAGUGGGGGAGGGUGGCUUAUAUAGAGUGCGCUGCCCUCCACAAUGGUUCGGUGCACAGGGGUGGAGUGGUGGCGAAUAAAUGCCUACGUUACAGGUAACGUACGUCUUAAAUGCUAAUAAAGGCACAUGGAAACAUAUGACCCUUUCCCUCCACGGGGGUUACGAUGCACAGAGUGGAAUCCAGUCGGUUAGUUUGAUAAACUCCGAAUGCUAAUCUCCGACUGGAUGGUCGAGGAUCUAUUACCGACUGGAUGAAGGGAACACCUUAGUUCAGUCGGAACUGACUAAGGGCCUUGUCCCUUAUGAGGGGUAGUCCUUGGGUUGGACCUACAGGGCAGGCCUAUGACCCUACCCUAGGACUAUGACCCCAUCAGCGCGGUUCUAUCAAUUUGCUCGACAGUAAUUUGUUCACCCACCGUAAUAUUUGCUAUUUUGAGAGAAGCCUCUAGUGAACACUAUGGCCCCCGGGUCUACUUCACAUCAUAUUUUCAGCCUUACACUUUGACUUUGUUGCUCUUUUCGCCUUCAAAUAUCACUUUGCAAUCAAUCUUGAAGGGAUUGCAACCCCUUUAUAGCGUUGGGUGCAAGCUCUUUUGUGUUUGCGCAGGUACUCUGGACUUGACGCGAUUCUCCUACUGGAAUGAUACCUUGGUUCUCAAACUAAGGGAAAUACUUACUGCUCCUGUGCUGCAUCACCCUUUCCUCUUCGAGGGAAAAACCAGCGCAAGCCAAGUCUCCGUGAACGUGCCAAUUUCUGGCGCUAUUGUCUGUUGCCAUAGUAGAAGAAUUUCUGGCACCAUUUCCGGGGAGGAUCAAGUCAAGAACUCAUCCAAGUAAGUGUCGCAAACUCAUCCAAGUAAGUGUCGCAAACUCAUCUCUUGUUUUCCUCUCCCCCACUUCUGAAAAACAAAAUUUACAAAAAUAUUUGCCUUUUUUGUUUGCCUUUACUUUGCUUGUGUGCUAUGUGCCUUCAAUAUGCUUGCAUCUUCGCCUGCUGAAAAUCUAUUGAUAUGGAUCCUCAUCCACUUGCUAAUCUCUUUAAGAGAUCCAAUUAUAUUGAUCCAAUUGCUAGUGAGUUGAGUGCACUUGAGUUUCUCUAUGGAGUUUUUCUUAAGAUGCGUGAAUCUGAAAAUUGUGAUGAAGAAAUUUAUGAAGUGAUUCACGAGGGCUCCUUGAAUGAAAAGCAUGAUUGCAAUGGUUUCACUAUAAAUCCUAUUAGUGUCAAUCAUGCUAAAAAUAUGCAAAACCCUAAGCUUGGGGAUGCUAGUUUUGCUAUGUCCACUACUUGUUGCAAUGAUCGUGAUUGGGGUGACAAUUUUUCUUAUGAUCUUGAAAAUUUGUUUAAGCCUCAUGAUGAUUAUGAUAUUUGCAAUAAUAUUGAAAGUGGGAUUGGAGAAGUCAUGACUUUAGUUGAUGAUAAUCCCACUAUUUUUGAAAAGCGUCAACUUUGCAUGCAUGUGGAUCAUGAAAAAAAUAUCCUUUGUGAUAGCUAUAUUGUUGAAUUUGAAUAUGAUCCCACAUGCAAUUGCUAUGGGAGAGGAAAAUAUUGUGGUAGAAACUUUCAUGUUACCAAAUUACCUCUCGUUAUGUUGAGAUUGAUAUUGUCUCUUUCUUCUUCCUUGCAUAUGGUAACUAUUGGUUGUCUUGACAAUCUGUUUUCCUAUAAACUGCCUCUGCAUAGGAAGUAUGUUAGACUUAGAUAUGUUUGUAACAUGUUUCAUGAUGCUCUCUUCGUAUCUGAUUGCUAUCUUUUAUGUGAGCAUCAUUGAAUUAUCAAUGCGUAGCUAAGGGCGCUAAACAAUAGCGCUUGUUGGGAGGCAACCCAAUGAAUUUAUCUUUUUCUUUCUGUUUUGUCACGUCCACACCAUCAUAAUUCCAUUAUGAUUGUGUCUUUUGUGUUUCUUUUUGUUUUUGAGCCAAGCAAAACCUUUAUGACUAGUCUUGGUGAUGGUUGUUUGAUCCUGCUAGAAAAAGACAGAAACUUUUCGCUCACGAGAUUAUUUUUAAUUUUUAUUCAGAAAGUGCUGUUGAGCUGAUUCUUUUUGCUGCUGGUUGAUAUGCCUUUUUCCCAGGCUGUCGUAAUUUGUCAGAAUUUUUGAGGUAACAAAAGUAUACGAAGUAUACAGAUUGCUACAGACUGGUCUGUUUUUGACAGAUUCUAUUUUUGUUGAGUUGGUUGCUUGUUUUGAUGAAACUAUGGAUAGUAUCGGGGGGUACUACCAUGGAAAAGUGAGAGUACAGUAAUCUAACACCAAUAUAAAUAGAAAUCAAGAUUGCUACAAUACCUAAAAAGGUGGUAGUUUGUUUUCUUGUGCUAAUGAUAUCACGAGUUUCUGUUUAAGUUUUGUGUUGUGAAGUUUUCAAGUUUAGGGUCAUGUUCUCAUGGACAAAGGGAUAAAGAGUGGAAAGAGAUCAAGCUUGGGGAUGCCCAAGGCAUCCAAAGCCAAAUUCCAGGACACCCAAAAGCCUAAUCUUGGGGAUGCCCCGGGAAGGCAUCCCCUCUUUCGUCUUCAAUCCAUCGGUAACAUUACUUGGAGCUAUGUUUUUAUUCACCACAUGAUAUGUGUUUUUCUUGGAGCGUCUGGUAUCGUGGGAUUCUUUUCUUUUUUGUUGUGUCACAAUCAUCCUUGCUUCACACCUUUUGAGAGAGACACACAGUCAUCGUGAUUUUGCUAGAAUGCUCAUCGUGCUUCACUUAUAUCUUUUGAGCUAGAUAAUUUUGCUCUAUGUGCUUCACUUAGAUCUUUUAGAGUACGGCGGUGCAUGACUUGGUAGUUGGCUUGUUCUAUGAAAGCAGUCCCAAACGUGAUAGGUACCCAAAGAGGAUGCAAAAACUUCCAUAUUCAUGUGCGUUGAGUAGAAAGAAAAGUUUGAUUCCUCUCAAUUAGUUUUGAGACGUGGAUUUGGUAAUAUUAAGAGUUAUGUUAGUAGGGUGUUGUGAAUCUAGAAAUACUUGUGUUGAAGUUAGUGAUUCCCGUAACAUGCACGUAUGGUGAACCUCUAUGUUAGGAAGUCGGAGCAUAAUUGAUCGGGAUCGCGCGAUGGUUAACACCUACCAACCCUUCCCCUAGGAGUAUGCGUUUAGCAUUUUGUUUUGAUUACUAAUAAAAACUUUCGCAACAAGUAUGUGAGUUCUUCAUGACUAAUGUGAGUCCAUGGUAUAGAUGCACUUUCACCUUCCACCAUUGCUAGCCUCUCUUGUACCGUGCAAUUUUCGCCAGUGCAUAAACCCACCAUAUGCCUUCCUCAAAACAGCCACCAUACCUACCUACUAUGUCAUUUUCAUAGCCAUUCCGAGAUAUAUUGCCAUGCAACUCCCACCGUUCCAUCUCAUGACUUGUGCCGUCACUCUCAUAUUGCCAUUGCAUGAUCGUAAGAUAGAUAGCGAGAUGUUUCAAUGUCAUACGCCAAGCUAGAUCGUUGCAUAUCCCGGUACACUGCCGGAGGCAUUUCCUAUAGAGUAAUCAUCGUUCUAAGCUUUGAUGAGGCAGUGUACCUGCGCAAACACAAAAGAGGCUAGUGUACCGCGAGGAUCAUCACACUUUUAUUUACUCACAUCUCAAAAUGAUGAUGACUCUAUAGGAAAUGCCUCCGACUUGUACCGGGAUGUUCAACGAUCUAGCAUGGCGUAUGACGUUCGAAACAUCUCGCUAGCUAUCUUACGAUCAUGCAAUGGCAAUAUAGGAGUGACGGCACAAGUCAUGAGACGGAACGGUGGGAGUUGCAUGGCAAUAUAUCUCGGAAUGGCUAUGAAAAUGCCAUAGUAGGUAGGUUUGGUGGUUGUUUUGAGGAAGGCAUAUGGUGGGUUUGUGUACCGGCGAGAAUUGCGCGGCACUAAAGAGGCUAGCAAUGGUGGAAGGUGAAAGUGCAACUAUACCAUGGACUCACAUUAGUCAUGAAGAACUCACAUACUUGUUGCGAAAGUUCUUAUUAAUAAUCGAAACAAAGUGCUAAAUGCAUACUCUGAGGGGAAGGGUUCGUAGGUGUUAACUAACCUCGAUGGUGAGCUCGACUGGCCGUGGACGACGUGUUAUCUCCGGACAAGAUCUCGUUUGGCGUGCCUUUAUCUGCCAGAGAGUGCUAGGACAACGUAUAAGGCCGUCUCCAAUGGCGAUCGAGCCAUGGGGCCUCCCGUUGCCAGCUAUCAUCACCAGCUCUGGAUCAAUAGGCCCCUCGCUCGGGUUAAAGUCCUCCCCUUUCCUUGCCUUCCCGUGAUCUCUGUACUUCACGAGCUUGUCGUGGGAGCAGAUGUUGGUGAGGUUUUCUGGAUGCUCGAGGUCAGACUCAGAGAAUGCCUUGACCUUCUUGUACGAGGCAGCAUGGGCCAUCGCAUACAGGUCGUACAUCUGUGGCGCCUCUGUCUUAUUGUGACACGCCUAAAAGAGAGAGAGAGGAAAAUUGUAUUGGUAAAGGGCUCAAGAUAGCAUUAAGAAGGAAUUGCAUGAGGCAUGAAGCAAACCACAUACCCAGUUCUCGCCAAAUUGGAUUAAGUUGACACUCCCUUGAUGGUGUGGCACGCCAACCAUUUUGCCACGCCUCUCCUUGGCGUUGUUGUGGUUGGCCUCCCACGUUUCGGAGCACCACUGAUCCACAAAGGCCUCUCAACAAUCCAUCUUAUCCACACCCCAUCUCGGGGGCACCUAAGUUAAUAAAGAGAAAUUUGAGCGCGUAAGAACCAAAUCAAGGAAACUAACUACAAACCUUAAUAAUAUGUAAUUACCUUCAUGUAAUGCUCCUUCUCCAUCUUAGCAUCACGGCACUUCGCCUUGUCAAGCCUAAUACGCCGCGUGGCAUAGUAGUCUCGAACAGCCUGCACCCGAGCCUCGUGCCGAAAGUUUUGAAGUAGGCGGCGACAUUCGAUUUCGAUAACCUUUGCUGCGUCCUCCUCGUAUCCCUCCUCACACCUGUAGUAGGUCAGCAAAUGAGACAGCACCGAUUAGUACAAUAAAUAGCUAUGGUUGAUUUAUAAUUGUGUGAAAGAGAAAUUACCCAGAACUUUCGGAUCACCAUGUCCGCCCUCGUGUCACACAAAACACCGUCGAUCUCCACCUCCGGCGGGGCCGGGGCACCCAAGUAGUGCUCCCAGGUCAUUCCUACCUCUCGCUCUCGAUCGGGCAACGUAACAAACCCUGGGAAGUUUUGACGGCAAAGAACACCAAGGACACUGUUGGGCUUACGGACACCCUUGGCAACAAUCCAACCCCUACAGUAUGACAAAUUAAAUCCAAAACAUUAGAUAUUUGAGAAAACGCGAGGGCAAAAGUUUAAAUAAGAGUAAAUUAACUUACUUGUCCCCAUUUGGCCUAAUCGACCACCUCUGCUCGGGGGUCGCUGGCACGAGCGGGAGCCCUGAACUACCACACUGGUAGACGGUAGCCCCCUCACCCAGCUCCUCGUCGCUACCAGCAUGGCCACUUGGCUCAGGCCAGGUAUCCCACUGAGUCUCUUGGGACAUACCCUCAUCCCUGCUUUGCUCCAGAGUCACCUGGAAGGAAGCCUCUGGGACACGAGUCUCGUGGGUCGAAGGCUCGUCGAACUGAGGCUCGUCGACCCGAGGCUCGUGAACCGGAGACCGUGUAGCCUCCACCUCAGACGAAUCCACCCUAGAAGUCCUGUGCUCAGGUGAAUCAGCUUGGGGUGGUGGCGGAGACCGUGUAGCCCUACCUCUCCCGCGGCCACGUGUACCUUUAGUACAACAUAAAUACCAACAUGAGUAAUAAAAUGUAUAUAAAUACCAAUAUGCAUACAACAUGAGUUCAACAUAAAUACCAACAUGAAUACAACGUGUACCUUUAGUGCCUCUCGGCUUCACGGGGGGUCGACCUCCUCUCACGGGGGGCGCUCCUUGCAAAGUAGAGAGCAACACUCUCUGAAGAGGCGAGGUAGGAAUGGAAGUAUCCAUCCCAUCACCCGCCGACGAAGAAGCAGCCGCGGAGUGCUUUCGACCCUUUCCCACCAUCUUUCGACACCUGUCAUGACAAAGAGUAAAUGAAAUUAGUACAACAUAAAUACCAACAGGAGUAAUAAAAUGUAUAUAAUUUAAGUGUAUCAUUGUCAUAAAUACCAACAUGACUAAUAAAAAUUGAAUACCUAACAUGAACUCAAAAUUUAUAUAUAGUAUAAUAGUUGAAUACCUGACAUGAACUAAUAACAAUCGUCCUUGUCUAUAUAUGCUUCGGGGUCAAUAAAUGCAUCAUGAUCAUCACUAUCAUCAAUAAAUGCAUCAUCAUCAUCACUAUCAUGAAGAACAUGUGGAAGGCCACCAUUAUGUAAUCGGUCAAGAAGUGACAGGUCAUCCGCAGCAGUAAUCUCUUCUUCUUCCAGCUCUUCCUGUUCGGGCUCAGGGGUUAAGACGGAUUCACUGUCGCUAUCUACUUCAAUGUUCUGGGGUGAAGUAGAGCGGUUCUUGAAACGUUUCUUGGACAUACGUGUUUCUUGGAAGAAUUCUCCUUCAUAUGUGUCUGGGUUAAUGUGAGGUUCGUAAUCCUAUUCAUUGAGGGUAGGUGGUCUAAAAUGUGGUGGCACUUCAUAAACGACAUCCCAACCUUUGAGAUUUGGAUCAGUUUGGCAGGCCCGUGGUAGAUAGAAAACUUGUGUCGCCUGUUGAGCCGUAAUAUAGACAUGGGGAACAUCUAAGUGGGUGUUUUGGUUGAUUUUGACUAGUCCUAUAUGUUCAUGAGUCCUUCUAUUCUCCCUCGGCUCAAACCAAUAACAUUUGAAGACUACGACGGUCGGUGGGUUUUCACCAUAGAAUUAAAGUUCAUAAAUUGCUUCAACUCUUCCAUAAUACUCGGUGUCUCCUUUGCCGAUAGCAGAGACAGAACAAUUUGUAGUCUUUAGGUCGGGCAUAGAUAGCUCUUUGCCAAAGGUACGAAAGUGAUACCCGUUGAUGUUGUAUUUGUCAAAUGAACGGACCUUAUAGUCAAAACCAUUAGCGACUUGUCUCAACUCGGCGUCCAUAGACUCUGCAUCAGCCUACAAGUUUAAUACGAAAGAAUGGAUGCAUUAGCCGCAAAUUAGACCAAUAAAUCAAAUGGGCCCUUAAUGGUAAUUAAUUACCCUUUGUUUGAAGCAAGAGAUGAAACUGGGAUAGUCGCCUCCAUGCUUUGCGAGAAGCUCAUACUCUUCGACGGAAUCCUUUUUGAUGACCGCUCCAUCCGAGAAUUCGGAGACGUAUCGACUAUAUCAAAUAUCCGGGAAUAAGAGUAGUUCAAAGUAAUUAGAAGUUGCGGAACAAUAAAUUACCGAGACCUUACUCGAUGUACGGCCGCACUUCUUUUAGGUUGGUGAAGAUAUACAAUGAAAUGGUCCGCCAUUCUUCGACAUCCAACGAUUUCCCUUUCGAUGCAACGGAUGGUGCGAGCUUACCUUUGAAUAGGCUGAGGUGGGAUCAAACUUUUCUCGAUCGCCAUCAUUGUACCGAGGCUUCGGGUUAUGCAAAUGAUGAUUUUUGGCUUCGUAGUGUGUUGUCACGAAGUUUGCCGCCUCCUCAGUAAUGAAUGCCUCGGCCAUCGAUGCUUCAAUUCUACGUUUAUUUUUACACUUAGCUCGAAGCGUCUUCUGCAUCCUCUCAGUUGAGUAGCACCAUCGAUUUUGAACGCCCCCCCCCAUUCUUGCCUCAGUCGGGAGAUGCAAAAUCAAAUGUUGCAUUGGAUUAAAGAAGCCCGGUGGAAAGAUCUUUUAUAAUUUGCAGAUCAACUCCGGCGCCAACUCUUCCAUUUCAUCUAGCACGCCAGGCGAUAGUUCUUUCGCACAAAGAGAACGGAAGAAAUAGCUCAGCUCUGCCAGUACUAGCCAUUCAUGCUCAGGGAUAAAGCCACACAACAUCACCGGCAUUACCCGCUCAAUCCAUAUGUGCCAAUCAUGACUCUUGAGCCCAAAUAUUUUCAAUUUCUCAAUACUCGCUCCCCUCUUUAGAUUCGCAGCAUACCCAUUGGGGAAUAUCAACCGCAUUUUCACACACAAUAGCAUUUCCCUCAUAGCUGGCCUUUCAAGAUUGAACCAUGCCUUUGGCUUCGCUAUGCUUUGCUUUCCUUUCCGUUGUCGCAAGUUUUGCAACGGUCUAUCACAUAGAGCCUCCAGGUCGAUUCUAGCCUUAGGAUUAUCUUUUGACUUCCCCUCUAUGCCGAACAAUGUACUAGAAAUGGCCUCCGCAAUAUUCUUUUCAGUGUGCAUCACGUCAAUCUUGUGUGGGCAAAGGAGGUCUUUGAAGUAAGGGAGAUCCCAUAAGCAUGACUUGUGAGUCCAGGCGUGUUCCGUAUUAUACCCUUUGAAGUAUCCUGGACGCAAAGGAUCAGGCUCGAAAGCAUUUAACUGAUCAAGGGUGUGUUGGCCUGUCAACGCAGCUGGUGCAGUGUUUUUGACAACUCUACCUUUGAUGAAAUUCUUCUUUUCUUUUCUGAACUUAUGGUCAGGAUCCAGGAAUUGUCUAUGCAUGUCAAAGCAAGAAUACUUGCGACCAGCCUACAGCCAACGGAACUAAAGAUCUACCUUGCAUGUGGUGCACGGGAACCUUCCAUGCACACACCAGCCAGCGAAUAGCGCAAACGCCGGAUAAUCAUGUGUCGAGUACAUGUACCACACAUGCAUUUUGAAAUUUGUUUUGGUAGCCGCGUCGUAGGUCUUGAUCCCAUUAUCCCAGGCUUCUUGCAACUCAUCCUUAUUCUUCCCCGGAUAGUUGGGCCCUGGAAUUAUCAACGUCAGGAAAAUGUUCUUUCUUUUCAUAAUCUCUCCGGGUGGCAAAUUUAGUGAAAUGACAAAUACAGCCCAACAACUGUAUUGUGCUGCCUUCAUACCAUACACAUUGAACCCAUCCGUGCUGAUGGCAACUCUAGGUUGCCUUGGAUCUUCCGAUUUAUCCUUAUGUAAUGCAUCGAAGUGCCUCCACGCAAAACCAUCUGUAGUGUGUACCAACAUCUUGUUCCCAUUCGCAUCUAGUUCGGUUCUUUUGCCCAAUUUGUGCCAUGUCAUCUGUCUGGCCGUCUCUUCGACCAUGAAAAGACGUUGAAGUCUUGGUAUGAUUGGCAGAUAUCGAAGAACACUAAUGGGGAUUUUGGUCUGAUUCUUCUCACCCAUGCCGUUGUCUACCACAAUAUACCUGGAAGAAUUGCAAAUGGGGCAAUAGUUCAAGGCCGCAUACUCAAGCCUAAAUAAGGCACAUCCAUUCUCACAGGCAUGUAUCUUCUCAUAGGGCAUCUUAAGUACACGGAGGAUAUUCUCUAACUGGUACAGGUAUGCAGGCAGUACAUGGCCUUUGGGUAGAAAGCUUCCAAAUAUCGUCAUCAUCGCGUCGUAGCAUUCUCUGCCUAGUUUGAAUUGAGCCUUCAGAGCCAUUACUUGCGCGAUGGCAUCCAGCUGACAAAGCUCAGUCUGCUCGUGGAGAAGACGUUUUGAAGACUCCAGCAUUUCAUAGAAGGCCUUUGAAGAUUCCUCCAUCUCAUCAUCCGAAUCACGAGCAUCAUCAAAGUCUUGCACCAUGUCUUCAAUCCCGGUACCAUGCUCGUCGGUGCGACGACGAAUCACCUUAGCUCUGGCACGUUGGUCAGACUCACCAUGAAAAGUCCACACCGUAUAAUUAGGCGUAAAACCCCACUUCUCCAGGUGCUUACCCAUUUCAAACUCUGUCUGCUUUUUCCAGUUGUCGCAGUUGGGACAGGGGCACCAUAUUUUAUGCUGGCCAUUUGCAAAUGCGUCUCUCACAAACCCCCUGGUUUUUGUUAACCAUUCAUGGGUCAUGUCUUUCUGACUAGGGUGACCAGCGUACAUCCAAGCACGAUCACUCAUGUUGCCUAGCUACCUAUGGAGGCAUAAGAAAUAAAUAUAUAAUUCAUCAUCUAUAUUCAUACGCUAAUCAAGUUUUUCAGUUUUAUUACGUCCAUGCAACCUACACGCUAAUAGGUAAAGAUAGGUCCUAAUCCCACCCGAGUAUGUGUAGACUGGGUUCGUUUUCCCAUGCUCUCCUCCAGAUGCAACGCAGAAUUUCGGCAGCACCUCCCCGCUGUUCUCCUGAUACACGUCUCGGCAAUAAGCAGAGAGGAUGUGUACCCAGAGAACAAGAGGGGAGGCACUGACGAAAUUCCGCAUCGGAUCCGGAGCACAGCAUACGGGAAAACAAACCCAAUCUACACAUACUCGGGCUGUCAAUGGAUAAUGUUGGACAAUUCGGAAGGAUGGCGGUUAUAAAUACGCAAAGAAAUGCAUAUUUAUAGAUGUCGCCCUUUCGAACGGGAGACGCAUACUGGUCACGCAUACUCAUGAUUGAAGAAACCUAUAGCUAGCAAGUUUCAUCGGCACGAAGACCGGGGGUAGGAGGAGAAGUCAUUUGUGCUCACCAACAAACGCAAGGGCGGAGCUCGUCCAACGCACAUGGAGGUCGUCGAACAACUGCACAUUGAAAUUCACACAAUCAACACAAAUACGAUGUUUUUAUAAUUAACAUAAUCAGAAAAUAUGUGAACUAACUCAUAAUUUACAAAAUGCGUCGAUGGUCGGGAGUCGGGUUAAAUGCGUCGAUGGUCGGNNNNNNNNNNNNNNNNNNNNNNNNNNNNNNNNNNNNNNNNNNNNNNNNNNNNNNNNNNNNNNNNNNNNNNNNNNNNNNNNNNNNNNNNNNNNNNNNNNNNNNNNNNNNNNNNNNNNNNNNNNNNNNNNNNNNNNNNNNNNNNNNNNNNNNNNNNNNNNNNNNNNNNNNNNNNNNNNNNNNNNNNNNNNNNNNNNNNNNNNNNNNNNNNNNNNNNNNNNNNNNNNNNNNNNNNNNNNNNNNNNNNNNNNNNNNNNNNNNNNNNNNNNNNNNNNNNNNNNNNNNNNNNNNNNNNNNNNNNNNNNNNNNNNNNNNNNNNNNNNNNNNNNNNNNNNNNNNNNNNNNNNNNNNNNNNNNNNNNNNNNNNNNNNNNNNAAUGCGUCGAUGGUCGGGGGUCAGUGUCAUCGGGGGUCGAGGGUCACUAGCGUCGGGGGUUGGGGUCUUUUCGAUCAACAAGAGGCCAAAGAGGUGUCGAGGGCCCGGGGUUGGUAGUUCAUGGCGUCGGGNNNNNNNNNNNNNNNNNNNNNNNNNNNNNNNNNNNNNNNNNNNNNNNNNNNNNNNNNNNNNNNNNNNNNNNNNNNNNNNNNNNNNNNNNNNNNNNNNNNNNNNNNNNNNNNNNNNNNNNNNNNNNNNNNNNNNNNNNNNNNNNNNNNNNNNNNNNNNNNNNNNNNNNNNNNNNNNNNNNNNNNNNNNNNNNNNNNNNNNNNNNNNNNNNNNNNNNNNNNNNNNNNNNNNNNNNNNNNNNNNNNNNNNNNNNNNNNNNNNNNNNNNNNNNNNNNNNNNNNNNNNNNNNNNNNNNNNNNNNNNNNNNNNNNNNNNNNNNNNNNNNNNNNNNNNNNNNNNNNNNNNNNNNNNNNNNNNNNNNNNNNNNNNNNNNNNNNNNNNNNNNNNNNNNNNNNNNNNNNNNNNNNNNNNNNNNNNNNNNNNNNNNNNNNNNNNNNNNNNNNNNNNNNNNNNNNNNNNNNNNNNNNNNNNNNNNNNNNNGUGAGCGCGAGGGGGAGAGAGACAGUACCGUGGGGGGGACAGAGAGAGACAGUGAGCGCGAGGGGGAGAAGACGGCCGUUAAACGGUCGGCCCCUUUGCCGUGUGCCCCCUGACGGCAAAGGCUCAACGGCAGACGGAAAAGGCCGACACACGACAAAGCUAGUCUUCCGUCGGGCACGGCAGGCAUGGGACCCAUCCGUGCUCUUUGUCGUCUGCCCUUGGUCCCUUUGCCGUCCGCUGGCAGACGGAAAAGGGCCGACACAUGGCAAAUAGUAAUUUUGCCAUCUGUCAGCCCUUUGUCGUCCGCCUUGUGUCAACUGACGGCAAAGAGGUUCUUUGGCAUCAGCCAGCAGACGGUAAAGACAUGGCUGACAUCAAAGAACUGGAUUCCAUUAGUGUGGGCAAGAUGACUACGACUCCAUUCUCAGGAAUAAUCGAGAGAGCAACCGACUUAUUGGAAAUAAUACAUACUGAUGUGUGUGGCCCAAUGAACGUUGAAGCUCGCGGUGGCUAUCAUUAUGUUCUCACUCUGACCGAUGAUUUGAGUAGGUAUGGAUAUAUCUACUUGAUGAAGCACAAAUCUGAGACGUUUGAAAAGUUCAAGGAAUUUCAGAGUGAGGUCGAGAAUCAACGUGACAGAAAAAUUAAGUGUCUACGAUCUGAUCGUGGAGGAGAAUAUUUGAGUCACGAGUUCGGCAUGCACCUAAGGAAGUGUGGAAUCGUUUCACAACUGACGCCGCCUGGCACACCGCAACGCAACGGGGUGUCUGAACAUCGUAAUCGCACUUUAUUAGAUAUGCUACGAUCUAUGAUGUCUCUUACCGACUUACCGCUGUCAUUUUGGGGAUACGCAUUAGAAACUGCAGCAUUCACUUUAAAUAGGGCACCGUCUAAAUCCGUUGAGACGACACCAUAUGAACUAUGGUUUGGCAAGAAACCUAUGUUGUUGUUUCUUAAAGUUUGGGGCUGCAAUGCUUAUGUGAAGAAACUUCAACCAGAAAAGCUCGAACCCAAAUCGGAGAAAUGUGUAUUCAUAGGAUACCCUAAGGAAACUAUUGGGUAUACCUUCUAUCUUAGAUCCGAAGGUAAAACCUUUCUUGCCAAGAACGGAUCCUUUCUAGAGAAAUAGUUUCUCUCGAAAGAAGUAAGUGGGAGGAAGGUAGAACUUGAUGAGGUAAUUACACCCCCUCUCGAACAGAAUAGUAGCGCAACGCGGGAAGUUGUUCCUGUGGCGCCUACACCAACUGAAGAGGAACUUAAUGAUAAUGAUCAUGAAGCUUCGGAUCAAGUUACUACUGAACCUCGAAGGUCCACAAGGGUACGCUCCGCACCAGAGUGGUACGGCAACCCUGUAAUCGAAAUCAUGUUGUUAGACAACAGUGAACCUUCGAACUAGGAAGAAGCGAUGACGGGCCCGGAUUCCAACAAAUGGCUUGAAGCUAUGAAAUUCGAGAUAGGAUCCAUGUAUGAGAACAAAGUAUGGACUUUGGUGGACUUGCCCGAUGACCGGCGAGCCAUAGAAAAUAAAUAGAUAUUCAAGAAGAAGACUGAUGCAAACUGUAGUGUAACCGUUUAUAAAGCUCGACUUGUCCCAAAGGGUUUUCGACAAAUUCAAGGGAUUGACUACGAAGAGUCUUUCUCUCCCGUAGCGAAGCUGAAAUCAGUCCGAAUCAUGUCAGCAAUUGCCGCCUUUUAUGAUUAUGAAAUUUGGCAAAUGGACGUCAAAACAGCGUUCCUUAACGGGAACCUUAAGGAAGAGUUGUAUAUGAUGCAACCAGAAGGUUUUGUCGACCCUAAGGGUGCUAACAAAGUGUGCAAGCUCCAGCGCUCCAUCUAUGGGCUGGUGCAAGCAUCUCGUAGUUGGAACAUUCGCUUUAAUGAGGUGAUUAAAGCGUUCGGGUUCAUACAGGUUUACGGCGAAGCCUGUCUGUACAAGAAAGUGAGUGGGAGCUCUGUAGCUUUCCUCGUACUGUAUGUGGAUGACAUAUUAUUGAUGGGGAAUAAUAUAGAGAUGUUGGAGAGCAUAAAGGCCUAUUUGAACAAGAGGUUUUCAAUGAAGGACCUUGGAGAAGCUGCAUACAUAUUAGGCAUCAAGAUCUAUGGAGAUAGAUCGAGACACCUCAUAGGUAUUUCGCAAAUUACAUACCUUGACAAGAUAGAAGUUCAAUAUGGAAAACUCAAAGAAAGGGUUCUUGCCAGUUUUGUAAGGUAUGAGAUUGAGUAAGACUCAGUCGCCGACCACGGCAGCAGAUAGAGAGAAGAUGAGUUAUGUCCCCUACGCUUCAACCGUAGGUUCUCUUAUGUAUGCCAUGCUGUGUACCAGACCUUAUAUAAACCUUGCCGUAAGUUUGGUAGGGAGGUACCAAAGUGAUCCCGAUACGAAACACUGGACAGCGGUCAAGAAUAUACUUAAGUACCUGAAAAGGACUAAGGAAAUGUUUCUCGUUUAUGGAGGUGACGAAGAGCUUGUCGUAAAGGGUUACGUCGACGCUAGCUUCGACACAGAUCGGGACGACUCUAAGUCACGUAUAUGUUUUGAAUGGUGGGGAAGUGAGCUGGUGCAGCAGCAAGCAAGAAGUCGUGGCAACAUCUACAUGCGAAGUGGAGUACAUAGCUGCUUCAGAAGCAGCUCAUGAAGGAAUUUGGAUGAAGGAGCUCAUCACCGACCUUGGAGUGGUUCCAAGCUCGUCGGGUCCAAUGACACUCUUCUGUGAUAACACUGGGGCCAUUGCCAUAGCCAAGGAGCCCAGGUUUCACCGGAAGACGAAGCACAUCAAACGCCGCUGCAACUCCAUCCAGGACCAUGUCCAGAGUGGGGUAAUAGAGAUUUGUAAAGUACACGCGGAUCUGAAUGUUGCAGACCCGUUGACUAAACCUCUUCCACGAGCAAAACAUGAUCAACAUCAAAAUGCUAUGGGUGUUCGAUACAUCACAAUGUAACUAGAUUAUUGACUCUAGUGCAAGUGCGAGACUGUUGGAAAUAUGCCCUAGAGGCAAUAAUAAAAUGGUUAUUAUCAUAUUUACUUGUUCAUGAUAAUCGUCUAUUGUUCAUGCUAUAAUUGUGUUAACAGGAAACAGUAAUACAUAUGUGAAUAAAUAGAUCAUAAUGUGUCCCUAAGCGUAGCACUAGAUUGUAUUGUUCGUAUGCUAANNNNNNNNNNNNNNNNNNNNNNNNNNNNNNNNNNNNNNNNNNNNNNNNNNNNNNNNNNNNNNNNNNNNNNNNNNNNNNNNNNNNNNNNNNNNNNNNNNNNNNNNNNNNNNNNNNNNNNNNNNNNNNNNNNNNNNNNNNNNNNNNNNNNNNNNNNNNNNNNNNNNNNNNNNNNNNNNNNNNNNNNNNNNNNNNNNNNNNNNNNNNNNNNNNNNNNNNNNNNNNNNNNNNNNNNNNNNNNNNNNNNNNNNNNNNNNNNNNNNNNNNNNNNNNNNNNNNNNNNNNNNNNNNNNNNNNNNNNNNNNNNNNNNNNNNNNNNNNNNNNNNNNNNNNNNNNNNNNNNAAUCGAGAUCGGGAUUUGUAACUCCGUGUUAUGGAAAGGUAUCUCUGGGCCCACUCGGUAGAACAUCAUCCUGAGCUCAAUGUGAAUAAAGGAGUUAGUCACACGAUGACGUUCUACGGAACGAGUAAAGAGACUUACCGGUAACGAGAUUGAACAAGGUAUAGGUAUACCGACGAUCGAAUCUCGGGCAAGUUCUAUACGGACAGACAAAGGGAAUUGNNNNNNNNNNNNNNNNNNNNNNNNNNNNNNNNNNNNNNNNNNNNNNNNNNNNNNNNNNNNNNNNNNNNNNNNNNNNNNNNNNNNNNNNNNNNNNNNNNNNNNNNNNNNNNNNNNNNNNNNNNNNNNNNNNNNNNNNNNNNNNNNNNNNNNNNNNNNNNNNNNNNNNNNNNNNNNNNNNNNNNNNNNNNNNNNNNNNNNNNNNNNNNNNNNNNNNNNNNNNNNNNNNNNNNNNNNNNNNNNNNNNNNNNNNNNNNNNNNNNNNNNNNNNNNNNNNNNNNNNNNNNNNNNNNNNNNNNNNNNNNNNNNNNNNNNNNNNNNNNNNNNNNNNNNNNNNNNNNNNNNNNNNNNNNNNNNNNNNNNNNNNNNNNNNNNNNNNNNNNNNNNNNNNNNNNNNNNNNNNNNNNNNNNNNNNNNNNNNNNNNNNNNNNNNNNNNGCUGAUGGUUAUUGGCCAGAGAGGUGUCUUGGUCAUGUCUACAUGUUCCCCGAACCCGUAGGGUCUACACACUUAAGGUUCGAUGACGCUAGGGUUAUAGGGAAUUGUUAUAAGAGGUUAUCGAAAGUUGUUCGGAGUCCUGGAUGAUAUCCGAGACGUCACGAGGAGCUCCGGAAUGGUCCGGAGGUAAAUAUUGAUAUAUAGGACGGAUGGUUUCGGACACCGGAAGUGUUUCGGGCGUCACCGGUAACGUACCGGGACCACCGGGACCACCGGAGGUGUCCCCGGGGGUCCACCGGAAGGGCGCAACGACCCCGGGAGGAUAGAUGGGCCAAGUGCGGGAGGGGACCAGCCCCUAGGUGGGCUGGUGCGCCCCCCACACUCAGCCCAAGNNNNNNNNNNNNNNNNNNNNNNNNNNNNNNNNNNNNNNNNNNNNNNNNNNNNNNNNNNNNNNNNNNNNNNNNNNNNNNNNNNNNNNNNNNNNNNNNNNNNNNNNNNNNNNNNNNNNNNNNNNNNNNNNNNNNNNNNNNNNNNNNNNNNNNNNNNNNNNNNNNNNNNNNNNNNNNNNNNNNNNNNNNNNNNNNNNNNNNNNNNNNNNNNNNNNNNNNNNNNNNNNNNNNNNNNNNNNNNNNNNNNNNNNNNNNNNNNNNNNNNNNNNNNNNNNNNNNNNNNNNNNNNNNNNNNNNNNNNNNNNNNNNNNNNNNNNNNNNNNNNNNNNNNNNNNNNNNNNNNNNNNNNNNNNNNNNNNNNNNNNNNCACCUCCCAUCUGGGGGGCUGCCGCACCACCUAGGGUGGGAACCCUAGGGGUGGCACCCCCCUCCCCUCCUCCUAUAUAUAGUGGGAGUUUCGGUGCUCUUUUACACACAGUUUUCUCUCUCCCACGACGCAGUCGUGCUCUUCUUUCUCCUCCUCUCUGCCGGUGCUUGGCGAAGCCCUGCCGGGAGACCUCGUCUCUCCAUCGACACCACGCCGUCGUGCUGCCGGAGAUCUUCCCCAACCUCUCCCUCCUCCUUGCUGGAUCAAGGUGCGGGAGACGUCACCGGGCUGCACGUGUGUUGAACGCCGAGGUGCCGUAGUUCGGCACUAGAUCGGAAUCACACCGCAAUCUGAAUCGCCGCGAGUACGACUCCAUCAACCGCCUUCUAGUAACGCUUCCGCUUAGCGAUCUUCAAAUGUAUGAAGACGCACUCACCCCUCUCUCGUUGCUGGUCUCUCCAUAGGAAGAUCUGAAUAUGCGUAGGAAAAACUUUGAAUUUAUGCUACGUUACCCAACAGUGGCAUCCGAGCCAGGUUUUCUAUGCGUAGAUUCUAUGCAUGAGUAGAACACAAAAGGUUGUGGGAGAUGAUUUUUCAAUUGCUUGCCGCUACUAGUAUUAUUAUUUUCCGGCGGUAUUCUGGGAUGAAGCGGCCCGGACCGACCUUACACGUACGCUUACGUGAGACUGGUUCCACCGACAGACAUGCACACCGUGCAUAAAGGUGGCUAGCGGGUGUUUGUCUCUCCCACUCUAGUCGGAUUGGAUUUGAUGAAAAGGGUCCUUAUGAAGGGUAAAUAAAUUUGGCAUAUCAUCGUUGUGGCUGUCACGUAGGUAAGCGUUCUUGCUAGAAACCCAAAUCAGCCACGUAAAACUUGCAACAAGAAUUAGAGGACGUCUAACUUGUUUUUGCAGGGUUUGACAUGUGAUGUGAUAUGGCCAAAGUUGUGAUGUUGCAUGUGUGAUGUAUGACAUGUUCAUGUUAUUGUAAUAGGUCUCACGACUUGCAUGUCGAUGAGUAUGACAACCGGCAGGAGCCAUAGGAGUUGUCUUAAUUUAUUGUAUGAGAUGCAACGCCAUGUGCUUACUACUUUUACUUCAUUGCUAACGGUUAGCUAUAGUAGUAGUGAUAGUAGUAGUUGGCGUGACGACUUCACGGAGACACGAUGAUGGAGAUCAUGAUGAUGGAGAUCAUGGUGUCACGCCGGUGACAAUGAUGAUCAUGCGAUGCCUGAAGAUGGAGAUCGAAAGAGCAAAGAUGAUAAUGGCCAUAUCAUGUCACUAUAUGAUUGCAUUGUGAUGUUUUUCAUGUUCUUCAUCUUAUUUCUUAGAACGACGGUAGUAUAAUAAGAUGAUCCCUCUUCAAAUUUUAAGAACGUAUUCCCCUAAGUGUGCACCGUUGCGAAGGAUCGUUGUCUCGAAGCACCACGUGAGGAUCGGGUGUGAUAGAUUCUAACGUUCGCAUACAACGGGUGUAAGCCAGAUUUACACACGCGAAUCACCUAGGUUGACUCGACGAGCUUAGCAUGUACACACAUGACCUCGAAUACAAGAGACCGGAAGGUCAAACAUGAGUCGUAUGGUUGAAUACGAUCAACAUGAAGUUGCUCGACAUGGUGACUAGUCCGUCUCACGUGAUGAUCGGACACGGGUUAUUCAACAUGGAUCAUGUACCACUUAGAUGACUAGAGGGAUGUCGAUUUAAGUGGGAGUUCAUACUUAAUUUGAUUAAAUGAACUUACUUCUCAUGAACUUAGUCUAAAAGAUGUCUUUAUAAAUAUUGUAAAUGGCCAACGUCAACCUCAAUUUCAACGCAUUCCUAGAGAAAAACAAGCUGAAAGAUGAUGGUAGCAACUAUGCGGACUGGGUUCGCAACUUGAAGCUCAUCCUUGAAGCAGCUAAAAAGGCUUAUGUCCUAGAUGCGCCGCUAGGUGACUCUCCCGCUCCCGCAGUAGCCCAGGACAUUCUGAACGUCUGGCAAACGCGGAGUGAUGGCUACUCUCUGGUUAGGUGUGGCAUGUUAUACAGUUUAGAAACGGGGCUCCAAAGGCAUUUUGAGCAACACGGUGCAUAUGAGAUGUUCCAAGAGCUGAAGCUAGUUUUUAGCUGUAAGAUAUGAAGUCUCCGACAAGUUCUUUAGCUGUAAGAUGGAGGAGAACAGUUCUGUCAGUGAGCACAUACUCAAAAUGUCUGGGUUACACGGUCGUCUGACUUCACUUGGAGUCGAACUUCUGGAUGAUGCUAUAAUUGACAGAGUCCUCCAGUCUCUCCCACCAAGCUACAAAGGUUUUGUGAUGAACUACAACAUGUAAGGGAUGGAGGAGACCAUUCCCGAGUUGUACUCGAUGCUCAAGUCUGCAGAAGUAGACGUCAAGAAAGAGCAUCAAGUGUUGAUGGUCAACAAGACCACUAGUUUCAAGAAGGGCAAGGGUAAGAAGAACUUCAAGAAAGACGGCAAAGCCGUUGCCGCACCAGGUAAGCCAUAUGCCGGGAAGAAGAAAAAGAAUGGACCCAAGCCUGAGACUGAGUGCUUCUAUUGCAAGGGAAAAGGUCACUCGAAGCGGAACUGCCCCAAAUACUUAGCGGACAAUAAGGCCGGCAACGUUAAAGGUAUAUGUGAUAUACAUGUUAUUGAUGUGUACCUUACCAGCGCUCGUAGUAGCUCCUGGGUAUUUGAUACCGGUGUUGUUGCUCACAUUUGCAACUCAAAGCAGGAACUGCAGAAUAAGCGGAGACUGGCCAAGGACGAGGUGACGAUGCGAAUCGGGAAUGGCUCCAAGGUCGAUGUGAUCGCCGUCGGCGCGCUACCUGUACAUCAACCGUCGGGAUUAGUUUUAAACCUUAAUAAUUGUUAUUUAGUACCAGCUUUGAGCAUGAAUAUUGUAUCAGGGUCUUGCUUAAUGCGAGACGGCUACUCAUUUAAGUAAGAGAAUAAUAGUUGUUCUAUUUAUAUGAGUGAUAUGUUUUAUGGUCAUGCUCCGCUGGUGAAUGGUUUAUUCCGGAUGAACCUCGAUCGUGAUGUUACGCAUAUUCAUAGUGUGAGCACCAAAGGAUGUAAACUUGAUCAUGAUAGUCCCACAUACUUGUGGCACUGCCGCCUUGGUCAUAUCGGUGUUAAGCGCAUGAAGAAGCUCGAUACUGAUGGACUAUUAGAGUAUCUUGAUUUUGAAUCAUUUGACACAUGCGAACCCUGCCUCAUGGGCAAGAUGACUAAGACUCCAUUCUCGGGAAUAAUGGAGAGAGCAACCGACUUAUUGGAAAUAAUACAUACUGAUGUGUGUGGUCCAAUGAACGUUGAAGCUCGCGGUGGCUAUCGUUAUAUUCUCACUCUCACCGAUGAUUUGAGUAGGUAUGGGUAUAUCUACUUGAUGAAACACAAAUAUGAGACGUUUGAAAAGUUCAAGAAAUUUCAGAGUGAGGUCGAGAAUCAACGUGACAGAAAAAUUAAGUGUCUACGAUCUGAUCAUGGAGGAGAAUAUUUGAGUCACGAGUUUGGCAUGCACCUAAGGAAGUGUGGAAUCAUUUCACAACUCACGCCGCCUGGCACACCGCAACGCAACGGGGUGUCUGAACGUCGUAAUCGCACUUUAUUAGAUAUGCUACGAUCUGUGAUGUCUCUUACCGACUUACCGCUGUCAUUUUGGGGAUACACAUUAGAAACUGCAGCAUUCACUUUAAAUAGGGCACCGUCUAAAUCCGUUGAGACGACACCGUAUGAACUAUGGUUUGGCAAGAAACCUAAGUUGUUGUUUCUUAAAGUUUGGGGUUGCGAUGCUUAUGUGAAGAAACUUCAACCAGAAAAGCUCGAACCCAAAUCGGAGAAAUGUGUAUUCAUAGGAUACCCUAAGGAAACUAUUGGGCAUACCUUCUAUCUUAGAUCCGAAGGUAAAACCUUUGUUGCCAAGAACGGGUCCUUUCUAGAGAAAGAGUUUCUCUCGGAAGAAGUAAGUGGGAGGAAGGUAGAACUUGAUGAGGUAAUUACACCCCCUCUCGAACAGAAUAGUAGCGCAGCGCGGGAAGUUGUUCCUGUGGCGCCUACACCAACUGAAGAGGAACUUAAUGAUAUUGAUCAUGAAGCUUCGGAUCAAGUUACUACUGAACCUCGAAGGUCCACAAGGGUACGCUCCGCACUAGAGUGGUAUGGCAACCCUGUAAUGGAAAUCAUGUUGUUAGACAACGGUGAACCUUCGAACUAUGAAGAAGCGAUGGCGGGCCCGAAUUCCAACAAAUGGCUUGAAGCUAUGAAGUUCGAGAUAGGAUCCAUGUAUGAGAACAAAGUAUGGACUUUGGUGGACUUGCCGAUGACCGGCGAGCCAUAGAAAAUAAAUAGAUCUUCAAGAAGAAGACUGAUGCAAACGGUAGUGUAACCAUUUAUAAAGCUCGACUUGUCGCAAAGGGUUUUGACAAAUUCAAGGGAUUGACUACGAAGAGACUUUCUCUCCCGUAGCGAAGCAGAAAUCAGUCCGAAUCAUGUUAGCAAUUGCCGCCUUUUAUGAUUAUGAAAUUUGGCAAAUGGACGUCAAAACAGCGUUUCUUAACGGGAACCUUAAGGAAGAGUUGUAUAUGAUGCAACCAGAAGGUUUUGUCGACCCUAAGGGUGCUAACAAAGUGUGCAAGCUCCAGCUCUCCAUCUAUGGGCUGGUGCAAGCAUCUCGGAGUUGGAACAUUCGAUUUAAUGAGGUGAUUAAAGCGUUUGGGUUCAUACAGGUUUACGGAGAAGCCUGACUGUACAAGAAAGUGAGUGGGAGCUCUGUAGCUUUCCUCAUAUUGUAUGUGGAUGGCAUAUUAUUGAUGGGGAAUAAUAUAGAUAUGUUGGAGAUCAUAAAGGCCUAUGUGAACAAGAGUUUUUCAAUGAAGGACCUUGGAGAAACUGGAUACAUAUUAGGCAUCAAGAUCUAUGGAGAUAGAUCGAGACACCUCAUAGGUAUUUCGCAAAGUACAUACCUUGACAAGAUAUUGAAGAAGUUCAAUAUGGAAAACUCAAAAGAAAGGGUACUUGCCAAUUUUGCAAGGUAUGAGAUUGAGUAAGACUCAGUCGUCGACCACGACAGCACAUAGAGAGAAGAUGAGUUAUGUCCCCUAUGCUUCAGCCGUAGGCUCUCUUAUGUAUGUCAUGCUGUGUACCAGACCUGAUAUAAACCUUGCCAUAAGUUUGGUAGGGAGGUACCAAAGUGAUCCCGGUAUGGAACACUGGACAGCGGUCAAGAAUAUCCUUAAGUACCUGAAAAGGACUAAGGAAAUGUUUCUCGUUUAUGAAGGUGACCAAGAGCUCGUCGUAAUGGGUUACGUCGAUGCUAGCUUCGACAUAGAUCCGGAUGACUCUAAGUCACAGACCGGGUACAUAUAUGUUUUGAAUGGUGGGGCAGUGAGAUGGUGCAGCAGCAAGCAAGAAGUCGUGGCCGCAUCUACAUGUGAAGCGGAGUACAUAGCUGCUUCAGAACACUACAAGAAAUAUGUCCAUUUAUGACAAAAAUAUAACGACCAGGGUUUAUUGGUCAUAGAUCAGUGACCAAAUAAUACAAAAUGGUCAAGGGGUGUCAAGGUGGUCUAAAAACCCCAUAAUUGUGACAAUUUUUGUAAAAAAGGUCAUGGCGUUAUCACGUCAAUUGGUCAUAAAAUGUAUAGCACUAUCCAUGGCCUUAUUUUGGGUUCACCUUGAUCAUAUUAAUAUGUUCAUAGACUGGGUAGUUACCUCAAAUCCGGAUUUUCUUUUGUGUCAUGUAUACAUGUAGUAAUUUUGUAUAGGUGUUAGCCAUGUGUGUCAAAUCAACCUAAGUGUGGAGGACCAACGAGGUAUAUCUACACUUGACACGUGGGUCCUAGCUAUUCGGCAAAUCCGGAUUUGACGUGUGAGACCAGCAGUCCUAGAGAACACAUCAAUCCUCUGAUCCGCUAGCAUGCAGGGCCCACCUAAAAGACGAGAAUUCAAUGGCCCACGGGCCACCUUACACCUGAGUCCAUCUAACCUACCUUACAAAUAGAAUACCGAGAAAAUAAAAAGACCCUGAGCGGGUGGGCUAGGCCCGUUACGAAGAGGAAUAGUUGGGUAGGUUGUCUACUCACGACAAGGGCUGGAUUUCGAUUAAAAAUGCAAGGGAUUGCUUUUAUACUUUUUUUAUUUCAAUUUUUAAAAAUUCAAAAUUGUUCGAUGAUUCAAAUUUGCUUCAACCUUUUUGUAAUUUUAUGAGGAUUAUCCAUAUUUUUCAUAUGCAAACAAAAAUAAUCGUAUUUUGUAACCUUACGCCCGUUUGGGGCACCUAGGUGCCCAGGCACCUUGCCUAGAAAUCGUUGGAUUACAUUGAGAUGCGUGCAUUUGUAAUUAGUAUUAACAAUAAUGGGUCAAUCCAUUAGCCUUUAUUAGGAAAGAAUUAUUGCUUGAAAUAUAGAGAAAAUCAGCAAUUAAUGGUUAAUUAAGGCCAUGCAUGCUCUAUGGUACGUGCCCAACUUUAGUUCUUAUACGUACACUUUUUCUUUUGUACAUAACAUAGGAAGUCAUAUAGACAAUUAGGUACGUAGGUAUAUCAUCAUCUUGGGUAUAAAAUGUAUGAUUACCAUUUGUCACCAUGGAAAAAUAAUCCCGUAUGUCGUUAAACAUAUACUUGUAUUUAAAAAAGAUAUAUUUUUUGGUGUGUGCAUACCCAUCGUAUUUCUGUACAUAACCUCAAAUGUGUGAUUUUUACCCCGGGUAUUCAGAUACAUAUGUAUGUCAUAAUUCACGUAGUCGAGUAUAUACGUAACCAUAUUUUACUUUAUAUACAUUAACAGGAUAUCUACAAUAGUUUUCUACUUUUUUCCAUGUAGUUGGAUAUAUAUGUGUACUAACACAUUGGGUAUAUUGUUUUACUUUUAUGUGCAUUUGGUAUAUAGUAGGAGAUUUAUGUGAGUAUCGUGUAAAUUUGUCGGUAUACUAGGAGUUCAUUGAGUAUAUUUUAUGUAGUCGGGCUGAUAUUUUUAGGCAUAUUUUACGUAACCUGUUAUAUACGUUGUUACAUUUUAUAUAGUCGGAUAGAUAAGUAGCCGUAUUUUACAAAUAAAAUUCACAUCAAGAUACGCACUAUUUGUUUGCGGGUAUUUGAGUAUAUUCACUUAAAAAUACAUUAGACUACGUGUGUAGGUAUUUAAUGUCCAGAAUAAAUUAUUGGGUAUAUAUGUAUCUAAGUACGAGUGUUCAGAUUAUUUUUAACAAGAUUAUAGUAUAAUUGUUUAUUAAGGAAAUAAGUCAAUUAUGAGGCGGUCAAUGACAUGCAUUUGUUUUGAAAAUCCAUCUACAAUCUGUGACGUGAGUACUAGUGCAUGCAAGCAAAAAUGGAAAGUGAAUUAUUUGGAAAGCAUUAGUGGUUAUUUAUACGUACAAAAUGCACUGACGAAUUAAAUCCAAACAAGGUGCCUGGGCACCUAGGUGCCCCAGGUAAUUUACCUAUAUAUAUAUAUUGGUCAUAUAGUUGAUGUUUGUUGUUUGAUGAAUAUGCAUUUUUGUAACAUGGUUUCCUUCGAAAUUAAAAUCAAAAAUCAAAAAUUUAUGCUAUAUAAGACAACCAUUAGGCCCAUAUAAUGGAUUAUUUAAUGUUUAUACUAGUGUUGUCAUGAGACCGUGGAACUAUGGAGCUCACCACCGCCCUUGUUAAUGUAUAUAGUUUAGAUGUCAUGUUUCUACUACCCUCUAUCCAUUCCAACCUUGCCUUAUAAAAUAUCACUUGAAGAAUUAAACGCACACGUACAGAGACAAGAGACAAUUCCUAUUACAAAAAGAAGACAUCACACGGAAAAAAGGUAGUCUUAACGCUGUCAAAUAAAUUUUUGAUAAUAACGCUAUCAAGUAUAGCCAUCAUGAUUAGAAAAGAUCAUCUAAACCCUCACGUACAAUACUGGGCCACUUCGUAUUAUUAAAGGGCUAUGUCAUGUGGAGAAAAAAGGAGUCCUUAUGCUAAAAGAGGUUUUUUCUUUAUUGGAAUACACACGCUCGCGCCAUAUGUCCACCAAAUUUCCAGCACGCGCCAAAUUUCCCAACGAUUACCCGCGCGCGGCUUCUCGGCCCAAACUAGAGCAGCCCACAUCGUAUAAGGUGUAUGAAACCCUAACUCCUCCCAAAUCCCCUCGAGCGCCGCCACCCCCUCGUCCCUCCCCGUCCCCCGGUUUUGGGACUCUCCCCACGAGCCCCUCCUCCUCAUCGAACCUUGAUCUGGCCAGAUCCAUCCAUUCCACCAGGACCGCCGUGGCUAUGGCGGCAGGCCACCAGGAUGGUGGAGGGAACCAGGACCGCCGUGGCUAUGGUGGCUAUGUGGUCGCUACCGCCUCUGCCAGCAACAAACGACGUGCUUCUUGCUGAUUAGCAGGUGUUCGGUGAGCCGCGUCGCUGGAGUGGGUCAUCUCCAAUGGCCCCGGUACCAGCGGCGGUGAGGAGUAGGACGACCGGACCGUGCGGCGGGAGGUGGUGCUCGCAGCAGCCGCUCGCAUCCCCAUCUGGACAUCCUCACUAUCGUCGUCACCUUUGAGUUCAGCAUCGGUGAGUGUCUUCCUUUUCUUUCUAAUCACUAUCAAUCAAUGAAGGUAUUUGUGGCUGCUCAAAUAAUAUCUGUGUGCCAAAUAAAUUGCUAUGUAGGAACUAAAUUUUUUUGCUCUGAAGGUGCCGGCGUCGGUGAGGCAAUUUAUCAAUGGUGGGUUCAGUAGUUAGUGGUAACUCAAAUCUGCUGCUAUUUUGUUUGCAGCCAGAGAAGAAACAUGUUCAUGCCAUUUUCUUCACUGAUUGGCAUUGAUUCGGCUUCACACAGUUGUUGCUUCUGCUUCGGCUGAAAAAUGGAACGAUGCCAGUGUGUUCUUGAAGCUUAGUUAGCCGAAUAGACCUGCCAGAUUACUCAAUAGUUCAUCAUUUUUAAUCAUCCCAAGCCCAAGGAUUAUUGUUCAGCUAGCUCUACAAAUACCACACUGAUAGCCAAGCUGAUAGUGCGAUCACUGUUGUUUUAGUCAGAAACAAAUGGCCUGCACCUUUUCAGAUCAUACUACUACCGGCUUCAUAAUUUAGCACCCCUCACCACCGGAAUUCCAAGAUCAAGCUGCAUCCCCGUAACACCAAAUGCAAUGCUUCCAAUGUGUUCUUGCGGCUUAGUUAGCUCAGUGUAGCAAGUAGUAAUUGGCAUGUCGCAUUGUUAAACAGUUGGUUGUCUUCAUUUUCCCCAAAUUGUGGUGGAUCUGCAAAUCCUCCACUGCUAACCAAGCUGCGAAUGCAAAUACUACUGUUUUUUUAAAUAGAGAUGUCAUUGUAUUUUACCCUUUUCUGAACAUACUGACUCUUUUAUAAUUUAGCACAUGGCUACCUGAAUUUUUGUAAGAUCGAACCUACGACCUCAUGGCACUAGAAAGCAUGAGAUUCUUUGCUGAUCGACUAAACCAUUAUUUGCCAAGUCUCCGAUUAUUAAUUGUGUUAAAGAUAAACGAUUGACGUCUCUUCAGCUUGGACGUUAUUAACAUGAGCUUUUUGUGCACAAAUUGUUGAUCUAACACAAGAAUAAUCUUGUAAUUCCUGAAAUUUCUAUGGGACCAGGUCUUAAGUCUUGUGUUUCUAUUAAUUGUUGUGGAAUUUUAAGUCUGAUUCCUGAAUGUAGAACCUCCAUUUGUCAUUUGGUUGCUCAUAUUUUGUAUGCUCUCUUAUGUUUGAUUGUUCCAAUUAUCAGGAUGAUCGGAAGCACUUGGGAGAAGCGAAGUGUUCCUCAUGUUAUGUGUGAUAAACUAAAAUUUAUCUUCUUUGUCCAAUCUCUGUAGAACUAUGUUGAUUUAUUCUUGUGCACUUCUAGGGUGUUUUUGUUGUCCGCUUGCACGUUUAGAACCAUUUGUUGCGCACUUGUGCACUUGUUGUGCCUCGAAACUUAUAUGUACAGAUUCCCAGAUGUUGUAUUGUAUUCCAUGUGAUGUGUUGGUGAAAUGAAAUAUACAGUUUAUUUGCAAUACUGUAAUUUGUUGUACUCUGUGCUUGUUUUCAAAUGGGCCUAACAUGAGAUAUGCAUGAAAAAAUAAUAAUGCAUCUGCCUGAAUAAAUCAGAACAUUUUAAUAAAAUAAUAGGUAUUGGGCCAGGCCCAUGUAAACUAGAUUGGGAUGUGAAAUUUAUGAUGAUUCCAUUUGGUCACUAACAAUGCCACGUAAGCUCACCCACAUCAGAUCCUAUGUGGCUCAGUCAAAUGAGUAAUGACCAAAUCAAAAUUUUGGUCAAUAGAGAGCUACGACGAAAAUUUUAGAAAGGUCAUGUUUGUUCGUUCUUGACGGCCAACUGUUGACCUUUUGAAUUUGGUCAUCGAAAGGUCAUAAAACAUAAAUAAUGACGAUAUAGUGACAAAAAUAGAGGGUCAAUAAUGAACGAAUUUCUUGUAGUGGAAGCAGCUCAUGAAGGAAUUUGGAUGAAGGAGCUCAUCACCGACCUUGGAGUGGUUCCAAGCUCGUGGGGUCCAAUGACACUCUUCUGUGAUAACACUGGGGUCAUUGCCAUAGCCAAGGAGCCCAGGUUUCACCGGAUGACGAAGCACAUCAAACGCCGCUGCAACUCCAUCCAGGACCAUGUCCAGAGUGGAGUAAUAGAGAUUUGUAAAGUACACACGGAUCUGAAUGUUGCAGACCCGUUGACUAAACCUCUUUCACGAGCAAAACAUGAUCAACAUCAUAAAGCUAUGGGUGUUCGAUACAUCACAAUGUAACUAGAUUAUUGACUCUAGUGCAAGUGGGGGACUGUUGGAAAUAUGCCCUAGAGGCAAUAAUAAAAUGGUUAUUAUCAUAUUUCCUUGUUCAUGAUAAUCGUCUAUUGUUCAUGCUAUAAUUGUGUUAACAGGAAACAGUAAUACCUGUGUGAAUAAAUAGAUCACAAUAUGUCCCUAGCAAGCCUCUAGUUGGCUAGCUCGUUAGUAAAUAGAUGAUCAUGGUUUCCUCGUCAUAGGCAUUAGAUGUCAUUGAUAACGGGAUCACAUCAUUGGGAGAAUGAUGUGAUGGACAAGACCCAAUCUUAAGCGUAGCACUAGAUCGUAUUGUUCGUAUGCUAAAGCUUUUCUAAUGUCAAGUGUCUUUUCCUUCGACCGUGAGAUUGUGCAACUCCCGGAUACCGUAGGAGUGCUUUGGGUGUAUCAAACGUCACAACGUAACUGGGUGACUAUAAAGGUGCACUACGGGUACCUCUGAAAGUGUCUGUUGGGUUGGUACGAAUCGAGAUCGGGAUUUGNNNNNNNNNNNNNNNNNNNNNNNNNNNNNNNNNNNNNNNNNNNNNNNNNNNNNNNNNNNNNNNNNNNNNNNNNNNNNNNNNNNNNNNNNNNNNNNNNNNNNNNNNNNNNNNNNNNNNNNNNNNNNNNNNNNNNNNNNNNNNNNNNNNNNNNNNNNNNNNNNNNNNNNNNNNNNNNNNNNNNNNNNNNNNNNNNNNNNNNNNNNNNNNNNNNNNNNNNNNNNNNNNNNNNNNNNNNNNNNNNNNNNNNNNNNNNNNNNNNNNNNNNNNNNNNNNNNNNNNNNNNNNNNNNNNNNNNNNNNNNNNNNNNNNNNNNNNNNNNNNNNNNNNNNNNNNNNNNNNNNNNNNNNNNNNNNNNNNNNNNNNNNNNNNNNNNNNNNNNNNNNNNNNNNNNNNNNNNNNNNNNNNNNNGACAGACAAAGGGAAUUGUAUACGGGAUUGAUUGAAUCCUUGACAUCGUGGUUCAUCCGAUGAGAUCAUCGUGGAGCAAGUGGGAGCCACCAUGGGUAUCCAGACCCCGCUGAUGGUUAUUGGCCANAAUCGAGAUCGGGAUUUGCCACUCCGUGUGGCGGAGAGGUAUCUCUGGGCCCACUCGGUAGAACAUCAUCAUGAGCUCAAUGUGACUAAAUGAGUUAGUCACGCGAUGACGUGCUACGGAACGAGUAAAGAGACUUACCGGUAACGAGAUUGAACAAGGUAUAGGUAUACAGACGAUCGAAUCUCGCGCAAGUUCUAUACCGACAGACAAAGGGAAUUGNNNNNNNNNNNNNNNNNNNNNNNNNNNNNNNNNNNNNNNNNNNNNNNNNNNNNNNNNNNNNNNNNNNNNNNNNNNNNNNNNNNNNNNNNNNNNNNNNNNNNNNNNNNNNNNNNNNNNNNNNNNNNNNNNNNNNNNNNNNNNNNNNNNNNNNNNNNNNNNNNNNNNNNNNNNNNNNNNNNNNNNNNNNNNNNNNNNNNNNNNNNNNNNNNNNNNNNNNNNNNNNNNNNNNNNNNNNNNNNNNNNNNNNNNNNNNNNNNNNNNNNNNNNNNNNNNNNNNNNNNNNNNNNNNNNNNNNNNNNNNNNNNNNNNNNNNNNNNNNNNNNNNNNNNNNNNNNNNNNNNNNNNNNNNNNNNNNNNNNNNNNNNNNNNNNNNNNNNNNNNNNNNNNGCUGAUGGUUAUUGGCCACAGAGGUGUCUUGGUCAUCUCUACAUGUUCCCCGAACCCGUAGGGUCUACACACUUAAGGUUCGAUGAUGCUAGGGCUAUAGGGAAUUGUUAUACGAGGUUAUCGAAAGUUGUUCGGAGUCCCGGAUGAGAUCCCAAACGCCACGAGGAGCUCCGGAAUGGUCCGGAGGCAAAGAUUGAUAUAUAGGACGGAUGGUUUCGGACACCGGAAGUGUUUCGGGCGUCACCGGUAACGCACCGGGACCACCGGAGGUGGCCCCGGGGGUCCACCGGAAGGGGGCAACGACCCCGGGAGGCUAGAUGGGCCAAGUGCGAGAGGGGACCAGCCCCUAGGUGGGCUGGUGCGCCUCCCCACACUCAGCCCAAGGCGCAGGAGGUGGGGAGAGGGGGAAACCCUAGGCGCUGGUGGUCCUAAGGCCCACCUACGGGUGCCCCACCCCUCCCCCCUGCCCUGGCCGCCGCACCUCCCAUCUGGGGGGGUGCCGCACCACCUAGGGUGGGAACCCUAGGGGUGGCACCCCCCUCCCUUCCUCCUAUAUAUAGUGGGAGUUUCGGUGCUCUUUUACACACAGUUUUCUCUCUCCCACGACGCAGCCGUGCUCUUCUUUCUCCUCCUCUCUGCCGGUGCUUGGCGAAGCCCUGCCGGGAGACCUCGUCUCUCCAUCGACACCACGCCGGCGUGCUGCCGGAGAUCUUCCCCAACCUCUCCCUCCUCCUUGCUGGAUCAAGGUGCGGGAGACGUCACCGGGCUGCACGUGUGUUGAACGCCGAGGUGCCGUAGUUCGGCACUAGAUCGGAAUCACACCGCAAUCUGAAUCGCCGCGAGUACGACUCCAUCAACCGCGUUCUAGUAACGCUUCCGCUUAGCGAUCUUCAAAUGUAUGAAGACGCACUCACCCCUCUCUCGUUGCUGGUCUCUCCAUAGAAAGAUCUGAAUAUGCGUAGGAAAAACUUUGAAUUUAUGCUACGUUACCCAACAUUGACAUCAUCACUCUACCAGAAAAACCGAGACUGAUAGAAAUCCAAACUUUUUCGCACCCCAACUGGUACUUCAAAAAAUGAUAGGAGGAACAUGAGCAUGCUUGAUAAUACAGAAUUAAAAAGUACCAAACGUCCUCGAUUGGAUAAAAGAUUGCGUUCCCAGCAACCUAACUUUUUUUCGAAUCGAUCCUCGAUACAUUUCCACUUCUUAUUUGAUAACUUUCGGUGGUGAAUAGGAGUCCCUAAUUACGUGAAAUGGAAAUUCUCGCUUUCACAACCGAACAGUUGGUUAUAAGUGUGCUGUUCUGUUUUGGCCUUUUCAAAGCAAAACAAUUCACUUUUAUUAAAAUUAAUCUUCAGUCCAGAUAGCUGCUCAAAUAAGCAUAAUAUAAGUUUCAUGUUUCUGACCUUGUUAAGAUCAUGCUCAUGCAAGGAAUCAUCCUCGUUUUGCAAAAAAUAUAUAUACCGUGCUCACACUCUCACAACAAUAAUGUACUAUUGCUAAAACAACUCAUGAAAGAUAUCACCAUUCAAACCAAACCUAUAACAGCAUAAUAAAACACUACCAGAAAACUCAUUGCAUGUUCAUUUAAUAGUGGACGACCAUCACGUCAUCGUAUCUGUCGACGGAUGGACUCCGCUCCCCACGGUUGGCUUCGGUUGCAGGCGCCGUCUUCAUUGAAAACGGCAAGUUAGAGCCAGCCAGCGACACCGAGAGCACCCGGGCAUUUCCUGACUUUCCACAGAGAGCACAGAAACCGUUCAUCCAUGAUGCCCUCGCAGUCGCCGCAGGCGCAAGAACUACCUUAGCACGGUAGAAACGCAAUUUCGAACACUGUACGGUUAGUCCACGUCGGUUCAUGACCCCCACCGUUUACGGGACCCGCUAACCGCGACUAACCCACUUUCGCGCAUGUUACCGUCGGUCCCACCUCACUAGUAGAAAAUUAGGCUUCCGGUCGGAACAGAAAAUUGCAUUAGCCUCGGGUCAAAAUAAAACCGAGAUCAAUGCCAGGCAUGGGUCCCGAUUCACGGUGCCAGGGCCUUGCGGGGCAAUAUUCCUCGUAGUAAGUGGGGAGUGCCAACGUAAUUGUCCAUACGGAUAAUGAUCAUUCAGAGCCUUGGGGAGUGCCAAAGUAAUUGUCUGAUGUCAACACAGUGUAUGCGUGUUUGUAUGGGCGCUUGCGACUGUACUGUGUUAAAAACAAGCGACUCAAUAGUUACGGCAAAUAUUAUCAUAUCUUAAUUGUUACCCAGAUCUUAAUUUGAACUAUUUUUUUCAUAUCCGGCAGAAAGAUAAUGGUUUAUAAGGGAUAUUUGAGCCACGAGGCAUGACAUAUUCCUCACCUCUUUGGGGCACCUAAACACUCAAACAACGACAACAAUGCUAACUAUAUCCAUUCACUACGGGUGAAACCAGACUUUCUCCUGCACUCAUCUAUGCAGCAACGGUGGCAUCCCCAAACCCCUUCAACAGGGCUGGUCCUCAUACCAAAGAUCAGGCAUGACUAAAGCAUACUGUCACUCGAUUAUAUAGGUUUAAAUAUGUGUUAAUUCGAUAAUACACCAAACAUUGAUGCUAAAAAGUGAUUGUAGUACUAAAGUAAUAAAAGUGAUCUCAUUAUCUGCCGAAAACCAUCAUCCAUCUACUAUCAGUUUUGUUAUUGUACAGUGCACAUUGCUGAUAAUUGCAAGAAAAGCUAAAGAUAUGAGUUACAGAGAACAAUAUAUGAACAUUCGCUACAACUUGCUGGAUAAAUCUCGCCACCUAUGGAUGGAAAAAAUCAAGUAAUAUAAUUGAUUGGCUCAGAGACUUGUGAUUAACACCACGGAGUUAAUAACGAAUGAACUAGGGGUGGCCGAUAAAUGAACAUGGGAUUGUCUGUGUAGAGGAUAUUAACCUAGAUCGGUGGUCACCUGAUCCAUUGCAAGUUUUUUAUUUGACUUCCGAUCCGUUGCAAGUUAGUGACAGGUCCUUCGUACCUUCGCAAAGGUCAAGUAAUCGGGUCAUGAGUGUGCGAUCGGUGAAAUAGCCUUUUCGUGGUUAAUUUUUCUUUUUUUCUGGGAAAGGGGAGGGGGUGGCAUCUUGGGACAAGUCAAAUUACAAUAAAGUUUUUAUAUAAUUAAAAAACACAUUAUUUAAUCAAAAGUAAUAUGCUUAAUUAAACUGACCACAAAUAUUCCUAUAAAAAAGAUCAUUACAAAUAAUAUUACACCAAUAUAUGUUAAGGAUAGAUAUAUGUUAGUAACUUGUAAGCAAUGACCAUCCUUUAAAUGUAAAGGGAAUUCGAUGAGUCAUGUCAUGACCUAUAGGUGUCGGUUCAUCUUAUGAUCUGGGAGAACAAUACAAAGCUAGUUUUAUAAAAAACAGUCGAGUCUAGAAGAACGGUCCACAUGUAAGGCUUUAAUAAUCGAGCAUAUCUUAACAACCCACACACGAUUGCAACUUAGUCCUACAAAAGUUUUGCCUUUCUUGUUUCUCGCUAACAACCUAUACAAGGUUCCAAAAUCGUUUGCAGAAGUGAUACUAGCUUGAUAAGUGCGUGACAUGUAAAGUGAAUAAGGUGAGUCAUGUAUACCAAACCUCGGGAUUUCUAUACUUUGUGUAUGAUCAUAUGCACAACUAAAAAGGAACUUUGAUGAUCAAUCCAAAAGUACGUUUGUAGCUUGUGCAACCUACCAUAAUGUACCAAAAAUCCAUUUCCAAACAUCGAAACACAAUUGUUAAAGUUGAUGCAAAGAAGGAAAGAGAUGAAGCCAUGGCUACUAUAAAUAGGCAUGUAGUACACAGAUCAUCACAAGCACAAGCAUGAAAACGAAGCAACACUAGUUAACACCAAUCCACCAUGAAGACCUUCCUCAUCUUUGCACUCCUCGCCAUUGCGGCAACAAGUACGAUUGCGCAGCAACAACCAUUUCCGCAACAACCCAUCCCACAACAACCACAACCAUACCCACCACAACCAUACCCACAACAACCACAACCAUAUCCACAACAACCCUUCCCACCGCAACUACCAUUUCCACAACAACCCGUCCCACAACAACCACAACCAUACCCACAACAACCCUUCCCACCGCAACAACCAUUUCCACAACAACCACCAUUUUGGCAACAAAAACCAUUUCCACAACAACCACCAUUUGGGCUACAACAACCAAUUCUAUCGCAGCAACAACCAUGUACACCACAACAAACACCACUCCCACAAGGACAACUGUACCAACCGCUUCUGCAACUACAAAUACAAUAUGUUCAUCCAUCUAUUUUGCAACAGCUAAACCCAUGCAAGGUAUUCCUCCAGCAGCAGUGCAGCCCUGUGCCAAUGCCACAACGUAUCGCUAGGUCGCAAAUGUUGCAGCAGAGCAGUUGCCAUGUGUUGCAGGAACAAUGUUGCCAACAACUGCCCCAAAUCCCCGAACAAUUCCGUCAUGAGGCAAUCCGUGCAAUCGUCUACUCUAUCUUCCUGCAAGAACAACUCCAACAAUCGGUCCAAGGUGUCUCCCAACCCCAACAACAGUUGGGGCAGCAGCAAGUCGGACAAUGUUCUUUCCAACAACCUCAACCACAACAAGUUGGCCAACAACAACAGGUACCACAGAGUGCUUUCUUGCAGCCACACCAGAUAGCUCAGCUUGAGGCGACGAUUUCCAUUGCGCUGCGUACCCUACCAACGAUGUGCAGUGUUAAUGUGC